ACAGGAUCUGUUCUAUAGGCUCGUACCUCUGUUUCCUUGAUUUCUCAAGAGACAGGCCCUUAACCCUGGUUGAUGAACCAUGACCGUGCGGCUAGAGCGUGAUUGACGGCUACGAUCGUCCUCGGACGCAUCCGGUGCUGUAGAGGAUCGUUACUCGGCUCGGUUUCUACCUUGCCGGGGUGGUCGCACGGCGGUCUGACAGGUCCCUUUCCUUUUUUCUUUUUUUUGCCAUAAACUUAAAUUUGUAUAUCGAUCAUUGUAGAUAUUGAAAACCUAGAACAAACCAACAUCCAUGUGAAUGUCUUUCAUGACUGAUUUAGAGAUAAUUCUUGAAUUUUGGAACUAGAAUCUAUAAUGAGCCUAAAUUAAAACAUUGUGAAUGGUCCCAUAGAUACUUCACUUGUGUGUAGGAUCGGCUCUCUUGAUGCGAGAAUAUUCACUUUUGAGAAGAGGAGGGAAGAACGGAUUUAGUGGAAAUAUUUGUGGGCAACACUUUGCAUCUAUUGCCGACAACGUCGUGCAACGCAUUAAUUGGUCCAACAUUAUCAAACUUUCUUGUAAAAACUGAUUUAUAGAUUUCAGUUACGCAACCUUAAACAUUGACAAGUGAUGACAAACAUUUUUUGAGAUCGAUGGGAUAACCAGGGAUGACAGGGAGUUGAGGUGUCGUGUGUGCGGGUGCACUUGAGAUGAUGCGAGAGCAACCAUCCUUGACAAGAGGAGGGAAAAAUGGAUUCAGUGGAAACAUUUUUGGCCAACAGUUUGCAUCCACUUCCGUAAACGCUUUGCAGCUUUCAAACUUAGCGGUUAAAACAUAUUUUAAAAUUUCGAUAUUGCAACCUUGAACAUUGAAGAGCGAUGACCAACAUUUUGUGAGAUCAACUAGAGAACCAGGAAUGGAAGGAAAUCGAGUUGUCACAAGCCCCUCGGCUGUCCCCUCCACAUCCAUUUGUUGCAAAUGAAACUUGUUUUGAGAUGGUAGAAUUUUUAUGUUGGUCAAAGGCUAUGAACCAUGAACACAAAUUAAGGCUAAUUUCCCCAUAGGGUAUACUAGACAGCAAUAACCAUGCAGCAAAAUUACCGAGUCGUAUGAUAAUCAAUUCAUCAGUAUCAUAGUCAUCGUCUUCAAAGAUUGUAUUUUCUUCCUUUUCAAAAUAAAUUGUCUUCUUUAUCCAUUAAGCAUCAUCAUCGAACGGACCUUAUGUUCAUAUCUACUACAAUUUCGAUUUAUAAUGAAACUAGGUGACGCUGUUUUUUUCAUUAAUAAUACCUCGUUUUUUUCUUUAUCCACUCGUUACGUUCAAUCUCGAUUUCUUUAAUUCUCUCCAUUCACUAGUUGAUUCUUUCUCAUACAAAAUACGAACAACCAUGAUUCUGGAUAGAAACUCCCAUGCUCAAUAAACCUAAAACAUAAACCAACGAAUUUAAAAUCAUCAGCAAAACAAUAUUGAUAUAUAGUAAAAUAAGAAGAACUCACGGAAAAUUAAUUCUCGAAAUCGAUAUCAUCUCGAACAAAAAAAAAUAGUUCGAUUCAAAGGAACCGAAAUAAUUAAAAAAAUCCAACAACUGUAAUGAUUUAUUUAGCGGCUAUGGCCUAAGAAGUAUGAAUACAUAUGAUAUUUUUAUAUUUAAUGUUUAGGGUAAGCCGUCAUAAUUAUCUUCCAAAAUUUUGACUUUUUAAAUUAGAAAAGUUUCAAAUAAAAAUAUUCACCAAAUAAUUUAAGUUUUAUCUCUAAAUUUUAAAAAUAGAGGAAACGCAAAAUUCCAUAUUCUAUAUCAAAUACUUAUGAUUUUAUCAUUAUCUCAUUACAAAAUCGAAACCGAAAUUCAUACACUUUUCAUUAAGGAUAGCUUCGAGUUUUGACGUCAAAUUUCAACAAAAGAGUUUCAUUGCCCCUUCUUUUAACGUGGUACAAACUUACUUCUCAUAUAAUGUUCAUAAAUAUAUGUACAUACUUUGUUAAAAUACUAUAAAAAUUGUAGUAUUUUAUUUUUUAAAAUGUUAAUUAGUAUUAAUACUUUAGUAUAUAUUCCAUAAUUUAUCAUAUUUUGGUAAGAUUCUUCUUAGAAAGAAAAAGGCCAAUGAGGAAACAAAAAAGUCAACAACAAAAAAGAAUGUAAGGUAAGUUUUGGUCAUGGAAAGAAUUCACUACUGUAAAUCAAAUAUUUAAUUGGAAACCAAUUAUAAAAAGGAAAUAUUGGACCGAAAAAUAAAUAAAAGGUAAUAUAAAUUUUCCAAAUAAUAAUCCUACGUGGACUAUUCCACCGCCUCAAUAGAGUAUAAAUAUAAGAAUCUCUGAAUUUACACAUUACAAAUCUCUUUGGUCUACCCACAUCAUGGAAGCUACUCCUGUAUUCAACUACCAUAUUGAUGUCAAUCCUGAACGCAAAAAGAUUGGCACAAUCCAAGUCUAUGUAAGUUUCGUCGGAUCAGCCAACAUGUCGCCGAUACUAACCCGGUCUAACUUCUCAUGUUCAUUACCUGCCAAUGAAUUAACUGACGACGAAGAUUCUCCCCACAAACAAAGACUCUAUUACUUCUUAACAGAUUCAGCAGUUGAUUCACAAGAUGCUUACACGUUAAUACUAAAACUCACUCAACUUGCACGUGAUUUAACUUCUAAUUCGUUUGAAUACUGUCCACGUUAUGCUUUGUCAGUGUGGUUGACUCUUGAUGUGGCUCCUUUGAAUGAAUAUGAGAGGAAUAGCGAGUAUAGACCCGCGAGCAAUUUAAGGGUCGGAGCCUUGAGCAGGAGAAUAUACAAGAGGAAACAAAAGACCAGCUCUAUUGCUAACAAGAGCACAAGAUACAUGAGAAAACGAGAGACCUAUUCUAGUGGUGAGUACAAAUGCGCAAUUUGUUUUCAGGAGUUUAAAACCGGACGAGAAGUUGCUACUUUACUUUGUGGUCAUGAAUUUGACAAUAAGUGUAUUAUGGAAUGGUUUAAGGUUCGCUACAAUUGUCCAUUGUGUCGCUUCGAAUUACCACGUGAAGAUGAUCAUAUUCCUCAAAGAACUACAGAUUUAUAACUAACAUACAUUAACACUUAAGCGCUUUAUUUGGUUUUAUUUAAUUUUAGGUAUAGAGAUCAAUAUUAUACGGUUUUUGAAAUGAGUAAGACACUUAUAUCUUUCGUCAUAACUGAUAACUUAGUGGUUUAAUUUGUGCUAGUGUUGUCGUUGUGUCACCAUCCAUAUUCAAUCAUGCAUAAUGCACGCAUGUUGACAAAUAAAAUAUUUAUAUCUAUUAUUACUUUUCCAAUGAUUUCGAGAGCUUCAUCUCUUGAUUUUAGUAUAUUUUCUUAUGUUUUCCGUGUAUCGACUUUAGCUUUUCAAUUUGUUUUCUACGGACAUUGUAUUAUACAAUGAAAAUAAUAGAUAAGUUCACAAACGUUAUGUUGGUUACGUCUACAACCAAAAGAAAACAAUGUUAUUUGUAAAGGUUGGAAAUUUGAGUGUUCUACGAGAAAACAAAAGUAUAUAUAUGACGCAACCUAGAUUUAGGAUAACCACUCAAUAUUUGUAUUUAAUUUUAUUCAUAGUAAUAAUAUAUUUAAAGCGUAUCCUAUUUUGAUAAAACUUAUCUUUCAGGAUUUUCAUGGUUUUCAGAUUAAAUAUUAAAUAUAUACUUUAUAUUUAAGGUUUCUUUUUUUUAUUAUGUAUAUCUUUGUAUAAUUAAUUAAACCCUAAGCUUUUGUGUGUCUAUUUAGACGAAAAUAUCUUUCUAUCUACAUUUUUGGAAAUUUCCUCUUAAUUUUUCUCUAUUUGUGACUUGACAGCGUUUAAAUUCGAUAAUUAGGUGAAAAAAAAAGAAGAAAAUGUUAGCUUGGAAUUUCAUCAAACACUUUCCGUGCAAGAAUCUCUCCCGCCAUAUCCUCAGAGACAGCAGAGUCAGACCUCUCUGCUUCUUCACUUCUUCUACUCCUCCAUCCUCCUUUUCAAUCUUUGCGUCUCUCUCUACUUCUUCUUCUUCCUCCUCCUCAUCUUCGUGCUUCACUGAUGAGUCUUUCGCUGCACCUUACCUCUCAGUUCGUAUCCACUGUCCAAAACAUGCCCUCGUAUGUGUAUCUCUCCCAUUGAUCUCUUUUAAGGAUAUGAGACUGCGAUUUGACUCUUUGCUUGUUGGGUUUUUGUUAGGAUCCAUUCUCGGAGGCACUUUUGUGUUUUGGAGCAAGCUCUGUAGCUGUAGAUGAAGCCAUCGAAGAAGCCGACCAAGAUGAGACUUCUCUUGCUUCAAAAGAGGUGAAAAAUCUAUGCUUUGAUCGUUUUUUGUUCAGCUCCAUUUCCAGAAAGCACCAAUCUUUUGUAUGAUUGAACAAUGUUAGAGCAAAUUGAUGCAUAAAAGGAACGAUUUUGCUCUUAGGAAGCAUCUUAAGGGUUGAUCUGUCUAUAUUCUUGUAGUCUCAUCAAUCAUGCUUGUGCUCUUUGGUAUUACUCUCUGCAGAUAUGUAUAGAAUCAAUAUUUCCAGUGCAUGAAGAGGUGAAAAUGUGCAUUUCACAAGCUGCAAAUUCCAUAGGCUUGAAAGAGAUACCCAAAUUCAAAGUUGAAAUGGGAGAUGAACUUGACUGGAUUACCAAAAACCAGGUGAGUUCUGAGUUUAACAAAGAAAGGAUCAUCAUUUCAGUAAUUGCUUUCAUUUAAGAAAACUUGCAUAGUUAUGCUCAAAACUCAGCGCAAAUACUAUAUUUGUUUUGCGGCAAUGUCACUUGAAGCUAAUAUCUUUUGAAUCAUAUUUUGCAGGAUUUGUUUCAGCCUGUUGAAAUCGCCGAGAGACUUUGGAUUGUACCUGAGUGGACAUCUCCUCCUGUAUGUGUAUAAAUCAAUAUUCUUUAACAAAACCAUUGCACUCAUUUGGAUUCUUGUUACUCUUUUGCCUUAGUUGACAUAACGAAGAGCGGUCUUAGGGUACUGAAUUUGCAGAAUAUGAAUCACCCUCUUUCUGUGUCAGCUUAUAUAGAGGGAUAUAGAAAGUUAUUAUGUGUGGUUUUAAAGUACUCUUUCACUAUCCUUUGCAAGGUCGCUGAAGCGGUAAACAUAAUUCUGAACCCUGGAUUUGCGUUUGGGACUGGAGAACAUCCUACUACUAAGCUGUGUCUAUUGCUUCUACAAAGUUUGAUAAAAGGCGGAGAAGCUUUCCUCGACUAUGGUACCGGUUCAGGAAUACUUGCAAUUGCAGCCCUCAAGGUAAAAAUCUCACGCCUUUGAUCUUUCAAAAACCAAUCAUUACAACAUAAAUCAUCUUAUUUAAAUCUUUGUGCAUCGCUCAUUUAAAUUUGCAGUUUGGUGCUGCAUCAUCCGUUGGUGUUGAUAUUGAUCCUCUAGCAAUAAACUCUGCAAUUCAUAAUGCAGCUCUGAACAACAUUCCGUUGGAGAAACUGGAGCUGCACCUUGCACCUAUUGAGAAUAGCUCUUCUGGAAGAGAAAUACCAUUGCAAAAGGAACAGUUUGAUGUAGUCAUUGCAAACAUACUCUUGAACCCGGUUAUGAAUCUGGCGGAUCAUAUCCUUUCAUUCGUGAAACCUGGGGCAACCAUUGGCAUUUCUGGUAUCUUAUCUGAACAGGUAAAUAAAGAGUACUGUAUUGUUAUAACAAGCAAGCAAGCUACCUGCAAGUCAUAGGAAUUGAAAAUUAUACUGUAAACUGACUAAUUCAAUGCUCUUUUUGCAGCUUCCAAAUGUAAGAGAACGGUACUCUCCCUUCUUGGAGGACAUUUCUGUAGCCACAAUAGGUGAUUGGGUAUGCAUGAGUGGUACCAAGAAAGAGGAGUUUAUUGAUAACUAAUCAUUUCUUCAGUGUUAUAUCAGAAAACAGACAAUAACAUAAAAAGCACUAGUAAAGCAAAGGUAAGAACAAAAGUGUCUAAUCAUCAGACAUUAAGAACAUAUCAGCCUUAAUGGAGUUGUGUAAGAGGUUACAACUACACAUGAUAUGAAACUUAAUGAACUCUUCAUUGUUGUAUUCAAAGUUUCAAGUCUAUGAUAAUAAAAUUUGUGUUGUCACCAACUCUGGUUAUAACCAUUGUAUUUAAAUUCUACAGAAACAAAAAAUCUGUCAACAUAGACUAUCUUCAUGUCGUCGCUUCACCUGUUGAGUUUUCUUCUACCCAAAGAAGAGGCCUUCUUAGGAAUGUAGACCUUGUAACUCACCUGAACACAAAUUUCAAAAGAAAAAUGUUAGGACUCAAAUAGACAUACCUGGAAACUACAAGGAAAUCAAUAUUUCAAGAAUUGCAGAAACUUUACCUGAACCAUUUCUCCACCCCUCAUCACAGUCAUCGUUUUCUGUUCGUACUGUGACUCAUCUUUUGUUUCAUCAAUUGUUUUCUGUUCAGACUGAGACCCUCCUUUGACUUCAUCUACCUCCUCAGUGUCAGCAUGAGAAGAAGACUCUGCGUUGAGCGUAGAACUAACUUUUGUUGGUUCUAUGUGUUCACCUUCAUUCUUUGUUACCAAAGCUAGAGUACUUUCUAAACAAUUCUUGUCAACGGUACUGCCAUCAAUGCUCUCUGCUUCAGCAUCUUGGCUACCACUAGCUUCUUUCUUGCUAGCUAGAUUUAAACUAUCUUUACUCAAUACCGGUCUAACCAACUUUCGUUUGGUUGUACAAGAGCUAAGACCAGAACUAACUUUAACCUUGGCAGUAUCACCAGACUGCUGAUCUUGUUGAGAGGCAGAAUUAGCCAAUGCUGUUCCAGAUUCCUUAACAUUAAUAACAUGUAAAAUCUUUUCUGAAUUCUCAAGAUCUUUGCUUACAGCAGAAUCACAAAGUUUCUGCUCCAUGAGAUCAUGGUCUUGUGACUCAACUUUUUCAGAUUCAAUUUGCAUAGGUUCUCCUUCUGAAACAGAAGACACCUCUUUUUUAGCUAUUCCACUCUUUUGGGUCACUCCACGAAAUCUUUUAAGAUUCUCCAGAGCUCUUUUCUUUAGAAUGGCUUCCAAAUCAUCAUCUUUCAAGCUAUUGUCUGUAUGAGAAACUUUGCUAGUUUCAGAUUUAUUAUAUUCCCCAAAUCCGUUGUCAUCAGCACGAAUUCUAGAAUAAGAGUCAAUAGAUUCACCAUCCAUCUCAUCAGAGUCCUCACUAUAUCCUAACUCUCUAUUGCCACCACCGCGUGUCAUAUAGACAUCACGGUCAUCUUCUUCCUUUCUCUCACCAUUCCCAUAAUUAUACGAUACAACAACAAUCGAUUUAAGCCUUCUAGGAUUCUUCUCAGGUAUAACUUCAUCUUCCCCUUGCCAGCAUUCAUCAGGUUCUUCACUCUCUCCUUCCAACUCAUCUCUACUUCUACUCCGGGAAUCCUUAACCUUACCAAGUCUUCUUCCUCUAUCCCUAGACCAUCUCUUCCCAUCAUCACUCUCACUACCGUCAUUAUCACUCUGCUCACUACUUGUAGAGCUUGAACUCAAAUCUCUCUUACGUCUCUUUCUUGACACAACUUUCUUCUUCUUCUUCCCUACGUUUUCAUCCUUCCUCUUAGAUCUUUUCUUUUUCUUUAAAAGACGAUCAUCAUCACUAUCAUCAUCACUCUCACUACUAGAGUACCUCUUCCGUGACCUCUUCUUACUCAAUUUAGAUCUACGCUUCUUCUUUCUCCUGUAAUCAUCUUCUGAACUAGAAUACAAAGAGGAAUCUGAACCACUUGAUUCACUCUCAUCUUUAAUCCGACGAAUCUUCUUUGAUUUGUUUCUCUUACUCUUCUUCUUCUUCACCGAUCGCAACUGCAACAUUGUAACAUGAUUCAUCAAACCAACAAUCCCUAAUUAAAGAUCAAUACUUUAACACAAAUCAAAUCAAAAGUUUCGAUUUUUAAUCUCAUGGAUCUAAUUUCAAUACAUGAGAGGAUAACGGGUCAGUCAUAAAUCCAUUCAAUCGCUAGAAAAAUCUCAUCUUUACGAAGCCAUAAGAAACAGAGAGAAAGAGAGAGAGUACCUUAUUAGACGAAUCUUUGAUUAUCUUUGAGGACGAUGAAGAUUUGCCCAUUGUACUCUCGAGUCUCGAUGGUAACGCUUUGGCUUUCUCCUAAUCUCUAUUACUCUGCAAAACAAAAAAGAAUUGAGGAAUCGUUAAGGUUUGAGAGAGAACACGAACAGUUUUGUCUUCUUUAACUAAUGAUGGCUUUGUCCCUCUUUACACAUGUUAAUGGCUAUUGAACUUAUAAAUAAAUAAAUUUUAUCAAUAUGGGAAUGGAAAAAAAAAAAAAGGAAAUGUUUGAUUUGGUUGGAAUUGGAUGACAAACCCUAACUUUUUUAAGAAAGUUUCCUAAUUAGUACCUAACAGAAGAGGACUUUUCCUUUUUUUCUUAAGGAUGUUGUUAGUAAAUACUUUAAGAAAUUUGGUAAAAAAUCUCAAAGACUUUUAUGAGGUUUUAUGUUUUCUCUUAAGAAUAGUUUCCUACAAUUUACUGGGGAAAAAAAAAAAAACUAUACAAUCGACCUAUCUUGAGAUCGCCGUUUCAAUAGUCUUUUCUAAGAAAAUCGAAUAAAUAAAUUCUGAUCUAAAUUCAAACCUAAUGGUAAUAAAAACACAUAGUCUGCUAAUUCAUCUGCUAGAAAAUUAGUUUCUGUUUUUGUAUACACGUAAAAAAUAUGGAGUAUCAUCCAAUCAGUUUAUGAGAUUUAUUAUGAGAUUUAUUGGUUAGUAAAACUUUUCAUUUAGUGAGAACCCAAAUACGAAUCAUGUGUUAUGAGUUAUUCGUUUAAUGAGUUUUUAUUGGAUUUAAAAUAAAGAUUCGAAUUCACAUAAAAUUUCUACGAGAUAUAAAAACAACACAACAAGUUUGAUACACAUCUCUAUAAACAUGCUACAGAUUUCUACACUAACAAGCUCUGCUCUUGACAAACACACAGAAAAAAGGUAACAUUUAAGAAUCUUCUGUGUCGCUUGUGCUACCAUGAGUAUCGAUAUAAACCUCAGUUGAUAAAUCGAUUUCAUCCACGAUCCUUCCUCUGUAAAAAAAAGGAUUGCAAUAAACCAGAGUUUAUGGCUGAAACCGGACCAGUGAACUUUAGAAGAGAAGAUGUUAUUACCUUUCCAGAACAAAUUUGCCUUCUUUAUACUUCUGAGCUUUCUCGUGCGCUGAUUCCUACAAACAAGAAAGCAACAAAGGUGACAUCAGAAACUGCUCUAAUGAAUCGUGCAAGUGAGACCAUAGAGAGAGGUGAGAUUUACGUAUUUCCAGCCAACAUUCUGUCCACAACAGCAGCAGAAAAUGUCAGCUACGGUGUGCAUACCGGAAAGCAUCAGUCUUUCCUCUAGAGGACCCAUACUUAUGUUCACCCUAAAAUUCAAAUUUAACAUUGGAAUCAGCUAUACUACAUAUCCAACCUGAUUGCAAAAACCUCGCAUUAGAGAAACAAGAACACUGUAUCGAUGCAGAGAAACUGAAGCAAAGGCAGAGAAAACACUAGUUUGGAGUAAUCAGCAAGAUUCAGAAGAUGAUAAAAGCUAAAAGACAGUUUCCAUCUACAAGUUAUAUAUACAGAAACUGAUAGCAACAGAAUACUAGAAUCUAGCAUUGUAUACUGCUUGACAUUGAAGAAACAGAACAAGUCCAUAACAAGUACAUCGAGUAAGUUUAUACUUACGAACGGUUGAAGAGGUAAGCCUUUCCUCUACGGCAAUGAAACGACUGAGGAAAAAAGAUAAGUCAGUAAGGUUUACACUCUAUAUAUAAAGAAAAACUACUGUCAACAUUAAGCAAAGCUUAAAAAACAUUAUACUAUAAUCUUAAUUUGCCUCAAUUUCUCAUAUCUCAAUUAUAAAACUUUCAUCUACUAACACAAGAGUUUUAAGUAGAAGUAACUCUUAAGUACAAGUUCAGCUUAAAUAUAAGAUUCUUCUCUCAAGUCAGACCCUUUAUUCAGGUACAUUAAUUCCCCAAUCUCUAUCCGUUAAACCCAUAUGAAAAACACUAAACUUGAGAAUUUCUAUGUAAUAUACAUCAAUUCCCAAAAAUUCAACAAGCAGUUUCAACAUCAGCAGCAUUAUCUUCACAAUCACAAGUUUUCUCAAUGGUUUUUAUAUAAUUGGGAAGAAAUGAGAACCAACACUAGCUAAACCAAGCAACCUUGUAAAGGGUCCUACAUAAAAUUCUACAAUUAUGAAUCGAACUAACAUCCUCAGAGAGAGAUGUGAAAAAAUAUGAGAACUUGGGAAUAGCUAUUAAGUUAAAGGAGGAAACUUUAAGAUACCCGAGAGACAAGAUCAUCGGGAAGAGCGAGAUGGGUUCUGCAGAACCUGCAUCUGUAAGAUCUUCCUUCAAGCUCCACCGUGAAUAUCCUUCCCAUUUCUUCUUCACUGUUCUAUCUCUCUAUUCUCUCUGUUUCUUUCUUUACGAACUAAUAAGAGGCCGUAUAAGUGAUAUGUUGGGCCUUAACUGGGCCCAUUUCAAAACUGGUCACCAAGAAAAGUCAACAAAAGCAACUAAUGAUUGUUUUUUGAUAUCCCUUUCACAAGUAUAUAUUAUCUGAUGAUGUUCCCAAUAGAAACGUUUGCUUAAAUUUGCAUCUGAAAAAUAUACUACAAAUUUUGAAGAAGUUUUAUUAUUUCAUUCAUCUCAAAGAAUGAAAAGUGAAUUGACUAAGAUUUUUUAUAUUUUUCAAACUAUUGAUAAGAAUGAUGUAAAUUAUUGAUUUGGAAACUCUAGUUUAAAUAAUAAAAUAUAUGAUUAGUGCUGAUAAUUUAAAUAUAUAUAUUUUUAUAGAUGGUUCAGAUAUAGUGAAGAUGAUUUUUUCUUCAUUAGAAUGGUCGGAUUUUUUGCAUAUUAAAAAGAUUUUUAGAUUGAUAGCGCAAAUACCAAAGCAGAUAAUUUAAUACUAAAUUUUUUUUACCAUAUUGUAUCAUAUCAUUUAUAUAAAUAAUAUUCAUCAGAAGAAGAAAAAAGAAAGAAAUUUAAUCAUGUUGAGUUGUGGUAUAACCUUAUCGUUUUCCUUUUGACGUCGUCUAUAAAUUUUUAUCUACUAUGGUAAGCUAAAAUAUAAUAUGCCAUCAAACCCAUCAAUCUUUUUGCUUACUUUAUACAUUCAUGUAUCACCUAAAACUAAAAUUAGAGGAAAAUUUGUUCAUCUAAUACAUCUAAAUUACUCAAAAUUUUAUGAGACAAAUCAUUUAAGUAUUACUAUAUAAAACCAAGUACAUGAAUGUAUCGUAGAUUCAGACCAUUCAUCACGACCCAUAUCCCUAUGCUCACCAGCAGCUGUCUUUCUUCCUGAAAACGUCCAAGCCCUAACUUUUUUCCAUUUUCCUUCCAAUCUCAAUUCACUUUCUCUUUUCCAAAUUAAAUUUUUCUUGUUUCUUCUUAGUUUUCUUUUUUAUGUUUUACCCUGAAACUUUAAAUACAUGAAUUAUCGAAUGAUAUAUCGUCCAAGACCAAGUUCCGAUCCCGUACGACGCGUGGAUUGCUAUUUCCAUGCACCAAGCCUACUCUCUCCACUCAUUAGUACGUAUAACCACAUUGCAUGCAUGCUCGUAUCACGUGCCGUUACCUCGCCGGCCAUGUCCAUCAACGGUUAUGAAUCUGCCAUUUGGCACAACCUGGAGGGUUCAAUACUGUUGGGACCACGACCAUCAUCAUCGUCGGAGUUUGAUGAUGUUUUUUAAUAUUUUUUCACUCUCAGGUUUUGUCAUUUGCUGCGAAACAUGCAUAUUGCCAUGUACUUGUAUUUGAAUACUUAGGGUUCUUGUAAUAAUUGCUCGAUAUAAAUAGAAAUUUAGAGAAUAUUCUUGCUGGGAAGAUUACAAAUACUUGAAAUUAGUUUCAGUCCGACAAAGAAAACAACCCUUAUUUUUACCUCUUUAUGUAGCUAAAGCAGUAUUUCUGCAAUUUUGAAAAUAGUAUAGGACACUCAAAUGCUUAAUUUUAUAUAUUCAUUUGAAAGUGUACAUGUAUGUGUGUUUAAAAAAAAAUCGUUGGCACAUCAUUUGAAUGCAAUUGAUUUAUAUGCGAAAUUUUGAUUUAGAUUUAGUUGGCAUAAUUUUUCUUUUCCUCUUCACAAACUUUCCAGCUGUUUUAAUCACAUGAUAAUUGUUGGGCGUAAUCGGUGUGGGCGUAAUGACGUACAAAAUCAGACAUUUGUUUUUGGGGCAAAAAAUCAGACAUCUUUUAGAAAAGCAAGUAAAAUUUAAAUGUUGUAGUUAUUGAAGCUGAUAAUAAUAAUAAAAUAUAGUAACUUUUGGUUUAAGAUUUUUAUUUUUUAAGUCAGGCCAGCUGAAUUUUCUGCUUUUUUAUAUAUACAUAGUGUGAUAAAAUUAGUCAGUUCUUAUCAUCACUUAGCUGUUCUUUUGUGUAAAUAGCUGGGUUUUUUCUUAUAUAUAUAUAUAUAUAUAUGUUGGUCAAUGUUUUUUGAACCAAUACCAUUUGCCUUAGUUUGUUUUGUGAUUGCAAAUGUAACCAAUGAAACCCAAAAUAAUAAGCAUACAAAUGUGUACAUAUAUUCCUUUAGCUAAAACAUCAUGAAAUUUUGCCAUUUAGCAAGACGUAUAUGUGAGUCUGUGAAUUUGUCUUAUGACUAGGUAGUAUAGGUUGGUGAUGCAACAAGAGCAAUAAUUGAUGAUGGUAAUGAUGAUGAUGAUGAUGAUGGUUGUGUUACACACAUACAUAUAUCAUACUCCUACUAGUAUACACACGUGAAAUGAAAACACAUAUAUAAUGGUAAUAAACAGAGGUAUUAUUAAUUAUGUCUCUUUCUAAAAAUAGAAAUGUGAAAGCCAUCCUUCUGAAAGUGAGGUGGACUGUUGUACAAGAUCUGAAUUUGGGAGUGGUCCGUUCGUCAGCAUGCGCAUCAUAUUCAUCAUCCCCGUUUCAAAAUCCUUAAUUUCAAAACUACUUCUUUUCUUUGGUGGGUUUACAAUGCAUUAAGUUAAUCAAAAUUAGUAUGUAAAUUAUUUUCAGUAACUACCAUGUACAUGCAUGUUAUCUUAAUCAAUUAAGCCAAACGCAAAUUGUUGUGUUUAGUCUCAUAUGUGUACGAUUGUAGCAAGAAGAUACACCUAACUGAAAAUGGUGUUCAUAGACUGAUUAAUCCACUGAAUUAUGAGUACUUACUUUAAAAGCAUGAAACUUUCUUGAAAUAUUUUGGCAGUUACACAUGUCAACCUUAAUUAGCUAGAAUUAAUAAACAAAAACUACAUGCAUGUUUUACAUUUGAGCAUCUUCAAUUGAUGAAGAAAUUAAAUAAUUAGCCAUGUUAUGUAAUUACGGAAAUCAUCUAACCGAAGAUUCGGAACGGUUGAAUUCCGGAAACAUAUAUAUAACCGCCAUAUCAAAUUGUAUUAACAAGAAGAAAACUAAGGUAUCUAGAAGCGACCGAAGAAAUUCAUUUUGUCGGUAAUAUACUGUAUGAUUGUAUUGAUAACCAAGGACACAUGUCAAAUAUCAUGAGAAAUAUAAAACAUGAAAAAGCCAUGAAAUUAACAUAAUGUCAAACAUUACAAAAACGAGCAUAGCUUAUACAUAUGCACGUUCAUAGUCUAGAAAACAUUUUCCUUGCAUAUUACCUCCUAAUUAACACAACCGGAUAAACUUAAAACUAGAGAAUUAAGCGGAACAUCAAGCUAAGUGCAAUAUUAAGCUCCUCGGUACACACAUUUCAUAAUACCAUAAUCAUCCUAGAAAUACAUAAAUAAAACCCUAACGGGAACAAUUAUAAGUCACCUCUUUUGUGAUCAGUAGUUCCAAAUACAGUCAAGUCCAGCAUGAAGCACACCGACCUUUGACUCAUUCUCUUCGGCAGUCGCCGGUAGCCAGUAAUUCAUCCCGGAGACGCCUCCGCCGCCUUGGAAAGAAGGCAGAUUAACGGCGGAGGUCAUAGUCGAUGCAGAAGACGAUCCAAAGUAAGGAAAUUGAUUGAAGUUUUCUUGGAACGAUCUGAAGUUAGAUUGAGUCGAGACGUUUCUAGAAACGAAACGAGGAAAAGGGUCAAAGUCAAACCCUAGCGGCGGUGGAAGACGGCUGAAUGAGUUAACGUCUAAGCCCAAGGCCGUAGUAGUAGUAGGGACAGUGGAGAAACAGGACACGUGCUCGGUUAUUGCGCUGGCUGUGACGGUUGUGUUGGUGCUACGGCUGUCGUAGGAGCAACUGCUGUCGGUGUAGCCGAGGGUAGUGGUCGGAUCCAGGAGAGGUGGGAGUGAGACGGAGGAAGGAGAGCUUGGUUGUUCUUGAUAGUUUCUUGAGAUUGUUGAGGGUACUUUCGUCUUUUUAGAUGGACCAGUACCGCUGCUUACGCUCACAGUUGCUCCUCCUCCUCCUCCUCCUUCGGAGACGGCUCCGGUGCUAGCUAAAGUGGUUUUCUGGAAAACCCUAGAGAUCACCCAUUCAUCCUGAAGGAAUAAAUUAGAGUUUUGAAAAGUCAAAUAUUUUAUAUAAUAUAUGUUUGAUGAGAAAGUCAAUGUUAGAUCUUGGAAAUAAAAGAGAGUGAAGAUUAAGAAAAACCAUAGAGUAAAAGCGUGCACAGAGGGAAUGUACAUUGGACACUACAAGUCUACAAUGGAUAUGGAACACUAAUUAAGUAAAAUUAAUUUAAUUAAAUUUCUUUUUAAUAUAUCUAGGUCAGAAAAAAAUCCUGAAGAUUUGCAUUGGUUCUGGUUUUUUGCAUUAAGCUUUCCAAAAGUAGGAUGUAUUAAUAUUUUAUUUUAUCAGAGCUAUUGAAUGUUUUCUUACUUUAGGAAAACACCAUUAUGAUUGAAAUCCCAAUACAUAAAAACAGCAGAUCUUUUCUAUUUCAUGUUCCAUAAUGCUCUCAGAUAACCACAGUAAAGAACCAUGCCUUUUCAGCCAUCAAAAUUAAAUGCAAUAAAGCAAAAGAGAAAAAAAUCAACGUCACCGACUAUGUCACACUCUCGAAUUUUUUUUCCAAAUAAUAGAUUGUAAAUUUAUUAAUCAAAGAAAAUUAAGGCUUUACUUUAUCAACAAAAUAACUAAUGAAAGGUUAAAUCGAAGUACCUUGGAGCUUCUUGAGAUGAAAUGGUAAGAGAAUUUGCCUUCAAGACGAUAUUCAUGCAUAACCCAAUUACUCUUCUCUCCUUUCGGAGCUCUUCCUUUGUAAAAGACAAGAGUCUUCUUCAUCCCAACAAGUGCACAAGUCUUUGAACUAAAGAUCUCUCUGUCUUUUCCGGUAGCUUUCCAGUAACCAGCCUCAGUUGCUCUGUUAGUUCUCAGUCCCGUCGGAUACUUCCGGUCACGGAGGCUAAAGAAGUACCAUUCUUUCUCUCCCAUCUUAGCUCUCCCUAAGUAACAUUGAGAGUAAAGAUUUCAGAAACCUUAAUUACAAAAGAACUACAAGUAAGUUAGUUUUGUAUUUUCUUACCGGGAAGUUGCCAAGGCUCACACUUGUUGAGAUCAACUUCUGCGAUGGCACGGCUUGAGAAGCAACCGUCGAGGACUUUGCGGAGAAGGUAAUGAGUGAUGAGCUCUUCGUCCGUGGGAUGAAACCUGAAACCCGGUGGAAGAUAUUGGCUGUCUCCGCCAUGGUCGUAGUGGUAAUACGGAAUGUCCAUUAAGAAGAAAGAUCUAAAGCUUUUGUUUGAGAGAGAAAAAACCCUAAGGAGACUCAAAUGUUUUGAAGAAGAAGAUAAAUAGGUUAAUAUAAUGGAUGGUUCUUGAGUAAGGGGCGUGGUAAUAAUGUGGAUGGAUAUUAUUUUUUGGUUUUAUUAGUUUAUUUUUUUUAUACAUUGGGAUUUGGUAAAUCUAAAACGGCGAAAUAGAGGGAAGCUUUUUUUUUGGGGUAGUGAAAGUAAAAUAAUUAUUAAAAGAUUAAAAACCAGAAAGUCGUAGAGAAGAUAAUUAUAAAUUUAGUAAUAAUAAAAAGACAGGUACGUCUACUCUUUCAUAGGAAUCUGUGGUUUUCUCUGCCUUGUCUUGUAGUAAAGAGAGCAAAGCCAAAGCAGAUUAUUACAUCACAUUUUUGAGUUUAUCGAUAUAUUUUUUACAUAACUCGAGAUUGUUUUAAAAUUACAAAAUUAAAAUUAAUCAUGAAGUGUCCGUAUUUCUUUGAAUUAAAUUAUUAAAGAAACGAGGAAUGGGCUCUUGUUUCUAUCUGAGUAUGCGUGCGUGCAUGAGAAAAAGUGCAGUGGUAUUCUCUGUCAGUGAUGAAAAUAAAAGAGAGGAUUCAGAUUGUAUCUUUUUUUUUAUCUACGAACUUGAAAUUUCUUUUUAUUAUUGUGUUUGGAAAUUGGGAUACAUAAUAAUUUAUUAUACGUACAAUGACUAAUCGAAACAAUAGUAGUAUAGUGAGGGAUACAUUAUUAGACAUAUACACUAGUUAUUUGGAAAGUGAAGAGUUUCAAUUUUUAUUUUUAAUAGAAAAAUGGAUAUUAUAUCGAUAAGGCUGUUUCAAAUCUUGGAGUGUCAGCACAGUACAUGAUUAAUUUAUCAAAAACUUUGACAGAGACUUCGUUACUACACGCCACCACCUUCUACACCUUUCACCUCUCUUUUUUUUUUCCUUGAUUUUCUUUUCGUUUUUGUUUCAUCUUUUCCAUUUUCCAAUUUUUUACUCCUGUGAUGGAUUUUUAGUUACUUUUCAUUGCUUCAUAUUCAUUUGUAAGACUCAGCAAAAGAAAAUUAAAUUUCAUUAUUUUCAAGCAACGAGAUUUAUGAUGUAAGAUUGAAAAAUAAUUUAAUCAAGAAGUUACAGGUUGCAAAUCAGAGAAGAUAUUUAUGCUGCCUGGUUUUGUAGUUUUCUUAAUUACUAUCUCAAGUCUGUUUUUUCUCCUUUUUUAUAUAAAUUAAUUAUGGCUCAUCAAAUAACUAAUUAUCAAUUAUGUUGAUUGUUACAGGUCCACCAAAAUGACAUGACUAAACGUAAAUUUCACAAUUGUUAAUUUAUUUCUGUUACUUCCAAUAUUUUGAUUAUUAUCUCAUACAAAUUAUUUAUUUUAGUGGAACUUCAAUUUUAGCCCUAUUUGACAUGACUUGUUUUUUAAAAUUUCCCACCCAAAAAUGUACUAAAGAAUAAACUAAAGAAUAAAAGACACACCCAAAAAUGUAAAGACCUUAAGAUCAAACUAAAAAGAUAGUGAGUUGAUCAAUUUCUACUAAUAAAUUAACUACAGACUUAUUGACUAUUUUAACCGUAUGAAAAAAUUGUAUAAACUUAAAUCAAAAUAACUCUCCCCUUCGAGUAUUCAUAUCUACGGACUUAUCAUGUGUGUAACUAUUAGUUAAAAAAAAGAAGAUGUUAUAAAGUAUGCAAAGUAAUAAUUAUACAUUAAAAAUCAUUAUCAGAGACAUGCUAAGACUAUUACACCUGCUACUACUGUUUAAUAGUAGUAUUUAUUACUAUCUAGAAAUUGUAGGUCUAUCUAUACGUCUUUUUAGACAUAUCUGCAUAUGACAGUAACUAAAUCUAAUUAAUAAGAUCCUUUCCUGUCUUAAUUACAGAUAGUUGAAGUAAAAGAUUAUCACCAAGCUAUGAACCGAAGCAAUAACAUUAUAUAAUUGUAAUUACUUGAAUUUAUGAAGUUUUGAAUACAUUCUAGUGUGCCAAAGUGUUAAUUGUCUUAAACUGAAAACAAUGGCCAAACAGAUUACAAUGUUGAUAUUGACCUUGCCAAAUUUUAGAAAUUUGCUUUACUUUAUCUUAAUUUAAACAUAUAUUUUUCACGGUUAAUUUGUUUGUUUGCUUAGCAUUUUUUUCAUAACGAGAAAAAUAUUCUUAUGACUUUAAAUAUCUAAUAUCCGUACUUUUUCAAGGUUAAAAUGCACACUCCCUACUUUCUAUCACCUUCAUUCCAUUUAUGCUAUAUUUUUGACACUUUAAAUACCACAUUUAUCCCCUUUUGAUUAAUUAACACAAUAGUAGAGUGUUUGAUAUUCUAUAUACAUAUCAUCCUCUUUAUUUUAUUUUUCAAUUUCUUUUCCAAAUUGUUUAUAUUUUUCUAUUGAUCUGAAAUUUAUGGCUGCUUUCGAACACCAAAAUGGAUUUGUUUUUCUCUACAGAAAAACAUAUGUCCUACCAUAAAAUUCGUUGUUGUUUUAUCAAUCAUUUAUUACAAAACUUUUAUUUAUUUUCUAAAAUGUUUGGUAAUACCGCAUAUCAUCUUUUUUUAAUAACUGCAAAAAGCAAAUGAACAAAUGCCAAUAAUAAACUAUUUGACGUAAGAGAACCCAAUAAAAUAAAUAAUGAUAGCAUUAUAAAUGCAGGAGGUUAACACAGUAUUAAGAAACAGUAGAUAUUCCCUUGUGACCUACUCACUUGAGUAAACUAAUAGCCCAAUCUAUGUUUAAUUUCUUUUUGUGGUCAACAUUUUUUUGAUAAUACAUAUUUGUAAUUUUUAUGGUUCGAAAGAGGAUCUUACUUCAGAUAGACUUUCCCAAAACAAAAACCAAAUUAUUUGUUAUCUCGAUGGUCAAGCUCAAGCAGUCGAAGAGUAGGUAAGGAGAAGAGCAGUUAAUAUAGCAUUAUAUGGCUACAUGGACUCUGUUUUCUGUAAUGUAUAAAUAAUUGUAUACUGUAAAUAUCUUAAUUUAUGAUAUAUAUUUAGAUUAAAGGCAAUUGUGUAAGAAACGUCGAAUUUGAACUUCUUUAUCAAAUAAUCAGAAUAUCAGAUAAUAAGUAAAGAUCGUCUAAGUUAAACUAAUUUAGUGUAUAGGCAUUGAUUAUUCUUUCUUCUUCUUCAUCUCUUAACUCUUCCUCUAGUCGACCACAAUGCUAAUGAUUUCCUGAGGAGAAAACAAAGGAAAUGCUGAUCCAUCUGAGUGAAUCACCGUCGUAUUUGAUGAAGGAGGUGCUUCUCCUUCUCGGUCUUGAAUGUUGGACACUUCUUUUAUAUAUUGUUUCAAAAAAUGUGAACAGAUUUGUGAUUUUCACUUUUUUUUACCCUUUAGUUUCUUACGAGACACUUCUUUGGUGUGUUUUUUUUCUUGGUCCCCUUUGAUAGCCUUACACCUAAAACCUAGCUGUUGAUGCAACGUCUCUCUAUUUUUUUCCUUUUUUUUUGCAACUUGUUCGCGUCUUCACUCUUCAAGACUAUAGUACAGCCCCAUAUAUAAAUUUUACCUGUAUACUAUAUAUUUGUUUUACAUACGUAGAAUUAUUUUCUCUCUUAACUUGUAUUUUCUUGAAUUGCACGCUAUAUCUGAAGAAAAUGUAGUAGGAUCGAAGUUACUUUGAUUAAGUUUAUCAAUGAUUAUAUCUUUAUCUCAACUUUACCCAAACAUAUUAUUUUAAAUAUGCCUUGAUGAUAUCAGAUUAUCAGAUGAAUAAAUAAAUUAUAGUAUUCCCAGGCCUGGUCCUGAGGCCCAUUAUAGUUUUUCUUCUAAGAUAAAAAUAAGGGGCCGAAAAAGAAACCAACAAAUUUAUCUUAUAUACUAAAAAGCCCAAACAAAAUGUAGAAUUAAGCAUCCCACAAACCCUAAUUUUCCCUCUUAUUCUCCCUGCUCUUCCUUGCGUGAGAUCUACACUUUCUCAGACUCGAUCCCUACCAUGGCUGCCUCUACAUCGCAACUGGAAGAUACUACCCGUGAGAUUAUAGAAGGUACUUCCAUACUCAACAUCGACGAUACUUCCAUACUCAACAUCGACGAUGUGAUGACAUCGCAACUGGAAGAUACGAUCGAGAAGUUAAAGAAAGGUACGCGAAUAUUUGUUUAUUCUGUUAUUCCUAGUUUCUAAAAAUAUUAAAACUCUGAUUCUGUUCAAUUUUCCGUUUUAGUGGUGAGGAGUUUGGAAGAGAUAAAUAGAAAUUCAACCAUGGCCUCACUCACAUAUAAGCUUUACCGUUUUAUACUGGAGAAAGAAGAUGAGGCUGCCGCCGAACUCAACGCUGUGGACACAGACUCUAUCGAGACAAAGGUUGUGAAAAGUCUAAAAUUUAUUGUCGACAUAUUAUUGAUUGAGACAACAGUUUAACUUUAAACUGUCUGGUGCAGCUGGUGAAACUAGAAAACAAACAGAGAUAUAUCCGUGAAGUUGAAGACAACCCGAUCGACAUCCGUAGUUUGUACAGGCCUAAACUUGUUAAGCUUUUAAAGGAGAGAGGGUUUACACCAUUCCCAUCUGAAGAUAAGCCUUUCUCACACUAUGACUACCUAGAUGUUGCUUUACAUAUGGAAUUACCUAUUCAAAAAUACGAGGAGCUAUGCGAUCAAAAAAAUGUGUUGCAAGACAUAGUUUCUAUUUUGAAGAGGAUUAUUGAUGCCUAUCAACAUUAACUAAUCUGCGGAUUUGGUUCAAGAUUGGUCAACUAGUUUUUUUUUUCUUUUAUGAAAGCUGCAGUCUCUCAAUUGCUAUGGAAAGAUCAAAAUAGUAGUUACAAUUCUGCAUUGUAACACGAAUGUUUUCUUCUUUUAGCUUUCAGUUUUUGUGUGUUGCAAACUCUUUUGUUAAAUUUUUAUGGUUUCUUAACUCGUUUGUCAUCAUUUUCUUCAGCCUUGAGCCGUAGAAACUAAAAUAUACAUAGAGUUUAUGUAUAAAUCAAGGCUUCCGCCUAUCGUCAAUGAGCUCAUGCUUAAUGGGCUAAUGCCGUAUUUUCCCUUUCAUUAGGUCCAGUGGCCCAUUGACCGGUUUGAUUGUCCGUCCAUAUGUUUACAGAGAAACUAUAUACUUUUAUGAAUUUAUCUAAUAUAUAAGAUCUACUUGUAAAAUACACCUAUAAUGAUUAGUUGCCAGAGAACUCCUGGAUCUGUACAAGCAGAUUCACAUUCUUCGUAUAGACACAAUGGUUAUAGGACUUCUUUAACAUGGAGAAACAAUAACCUGCUGGAAGUACACUUAGAUUCUCCUAGGUCUUGCCAUUUUCAUAUUUACACGCAUUUAGUUUCUUUCUAGGUGUAAUCAUACAGAUAGUGUUUAGUUAAAAUCGUGAAGUCAGCCCUUACCAUAUUAUAUAUAUAUAUAUAUAUAUAUAUAUAUUGUCUAUCAAAAUGUUUGAGUAUAACUUUCUUUAUAAUUUUCACAAAAAUCAUUCUUCAAUUACCACUUUUAGUUUUUUAAAAAUUUGAAUCUUGAAUUGAAAACUUUCGAAAUACACAGAUGUCCUCUAGUAGAAAGGAAUGCGUUAAAAACUAUGAAACAAAUAAAAAAUCAUUAUGAGAAAACAGUGAUUCAAUGAGUUGUGGUCUCUUCUCCAUUUGGACAGCGAUAGUGAGACGACGAAUACGAUGAAAAAUAAUUUUCUUUUUUCCGUUGUGUUAGUUUAGGAGAGGGAGAGGGAGAAGAGAGGACAAAUGGAAGCAGCUUGCGUACCAAAAGUGCGACACGUAUGUAAAGAGUCGGAAGGAGACGUACGGUGUAAGUCAUCUCGUCUUCACAAAUAUGUUUUGGUUUUAUCUUAUGCUUUGUCUUAUCCUACGUGGCCAUUAAAUCGUUCCAUUCGUCUAAACCAUAAUAUCAAAUCAAACAAUCGUAUAAUAUCUUAUCAACCGUAAAGAUGGUGUGGUCCGUUUCUCUUUAAAGGUUUUUGGUUUGGAUGAUUCUAAAACGUCACAUGAAUUCUUUUUUAGAUUACCAAAAAGUUAUGGGCUGAAGUCCAUAAUGUUUUCGGAUUAGGGAUUAGAACAUUCAAACAUGGGAUAUAUAUUGUGUCCUUUGUGUGUUGUAUCAAAUUUGCUAUUGUUUGCUGCAUAUAUUUAUCUGAAAUUCGUAAGUAAACCUCACAUAAAUUUCAAACUCAUGCGUGUGUGCUUCUCAUUUCUCAUUUGGUUUAAAAACAAAUUCACCCUCAUUACCAAAAUUGUUUUGACUUUAUUAAUAUCAUUAACAAACCAUCAUCAGUCAAAUAUGAUUAUUUAGACAUAUACAUUGCCUCGGAUUUUGAACUAUGGCCACGCAUUUUUUCAUGGCUAUGCAAAUUUCUUUUGAUAGCUAAUUAUUAAUUAUUAGUUAUUAUAAUAUAUAAUUGUUUUUUAAUUUAGUUUUAAACGAUGAUAUCGGUAAUGAAACAAAUAUUUAUGGGCUAAAAUCGUAAUUUCAACCAUUUCCUAGUUUGGUAUAUUUGUUUGGGUAGAAUAUAUAAAAUCUUAACCCAUCUCCUAGUUGGGUUAAAAUGUAUAAAAUUAUAAGAAAUUUAGUGCAAUUCGUACUUAAACCAAAAUUUUUUGGGUUAAAUCCAAAUUUCACUCCUAAUAAAACAAAUCCAUAUAUAAACAAGGUUAUUUUCUGGUCAAUAAUAAUGUUAUUUUUUUGGGUCAAAAUAAAAUAAUGUUAUAUGAAGGAGAAAAAACGAGUGGCUGGAAAGUAAACAAUAUUUUCUUAGUUUUCUUCUCCAAUCUGGCAAAUAAAUCUCACUCUCUCAAUCAAAAACACACAUCAAAAUCAAAACCUUCUCUUCUUCUUCUUCUUGCGAGUUGCACCGAAACACUCAACAAAACCAAAUCAUCCAAAUUGGGUAAAACAAAAGAAACUAACAAGAAGAAGAUCGAAUUCAAGAAGAAGAGAUGGAGAAUGGAGCAACGACGACGAGCACAAUUACCAUCAAAGGGAUUCUGAGUUUGCUAAUGGAAAGCAUCACAACAGAGGAAGAUGAAGGAGGAAAGAGAGUAAUAUCUCUGGGAAUGGGAGACCCAACACUCUACUCGUGUUUUCGUACAACACAAGUCUCUCUUCAAGCUGUUUCUGAUUCUCUUCUCUCCAACAAGUUCCAUGGUUACUCUCCUACCGUCGGUCUUCCCCAAGCUCGAAGGUCACUUUCGUCUUUUCCCCAUUUCUCUGUUAGAGUUGGUUUAAUUCAACCGGAAUCAGAAAUAACCGAUUAGAUGACUAAACCGAAUUUUUAGUUAGGAUGAUUGUAUAAUUAGGUUGUUUUGAACCUUCUGAUUGCAACGGAAUAUUUCAUUUUUUUAUUCUAUGAGAGACUAACUUGCAAAUCAAGUCUCACACUUUUUGUGUAAUGAUAAAAACAGGGCAAUAGCAGAGUAUCUAUCGCGUGAUCUUCCAUACAAACUUUCACAGGAUGAUGUGUUUAUCACAUCGGGUUGCACGCAAGCGAUCGAUGUAGCAUUGUCGAUGUUAGCUCGUCCCAGGGCUAAUAUACUUCUUCCAAGGCCUGGUUUCCCAAUCUAUGAACUCUGUGCUAAGUUUAGACACCUUGAAGUUCGCUACGUCGAUCUUCUUCCGGAAAAUGGAUGGGAGAUCGAUCUUGAUGCUGUCGAGGCUCUUGCAGACGAAAACACGGUUGCUUUGGUUGUUAUAAACCCUGGUAAUCCUUGCGGGAAUGUCUAUAGCUACCAGCAUUUGAUGAAGGUUAGCUUUAAACUUUGACAAUGAGGAAACAGAACCAAAUUUGUUGUUUGGAAUUUGAUGUAUACAAAUUUGUGUGUUUAGAUUGCGGAAUCGGCGAAAAAACUAGGGUUUCUUGUGAUUGCUGAUGAGGUUUACGGUCAUCUUGCUUUUGGUAGCAAACCGUUUGUGCCAAUGGGUGUGUUUGGAUCUAUUGUUCCUGUGCUUACUCUUGGCUCUUUAUCAAAGAGAUGGAUAGUUCCAGGUUGGCGACUCGGGUGGUUUGUCACCACUGAUCCUUCUGGUUCCUUUAAGGACCCUAAGGUUAGUAAUAGCUUCAAUCUUAUACAAAAAGUCGAUGAUGCAAAGAGCGUAAACAAGCCGCUUACUUACUGAAAUCUUGUUUUGUUCUUUUGGAUCAGAUCAUUGAGAGGUUUAAGAAAUACUUUGAUAUUCUUGGUGGACCAGCUACAUUUAUUCAGGUAUAUAUAUGUCACAUUCGAAAUCAACUUCAAUUGUUUCUGAUUAUCUUAAGACAUUAAUUUUGUUCUUGAUUGUGUUGUAUUAGGCUGCAGUUCCCACUAUUUUGGAACAGACGGAUGAGUCUUUCUUCAAGAAAACCUUGAACUCGUUGAAGAACUCUUCGGAUAUUUGUUGUGACUGGAUCAAGGAGAUUCCUUGCAUUGAUUCCUCGCAUCGACCAGAAGGAUCCAUGGCAAUGAUGGUCAGCCUAUGUAUAAAUUGUGAAAAAAUGUUCACAAAUUACUUACAUGGUCUUACAUAUUUUAUUUCUGUAUUUCUUAUAGGUUAAGCUGAAUCUCUCAUUACUUGAAGAUGUAAGUGACGAUAUCGACUUCUGUUUCAAGUUAGCUAGGGAAGAAUCAGUCAUCCUUCUUCCUGGUAAGGAUAUUAUUUCAAUCUUUCAUAAUGAUUCAUUCAUCUUAAGAGUAAUCUUUUUUUUCUUUUUUUGAUAUAUACCUUGUGUGUGGAUGGAUGUGGCUGAGCAGGGACCGCGGUGGGGCUGAAGAACUGGCUGAGGAUAACGUUUGCAGCAGAUGCAACUUCGAUUGAAGAAGCUUUUAAAAGGAUCAAAUGUUUCUAUCUUAGACAUGCCAAGACUCAAUAUCCAACCAUAUAGUUGAUUUCUGAUUUUGGUAUGGUCAUAAAUUGUUCUUAAAUUACAUGUUUAAAAACACAGAUACAGUACAGUGUCUUUUUGUUCUCCCUAUAUAAGUGUUGAUAUAAAAUUUCUUUAUUGUAAUAAGAUUAACUCUUAAUUAAAAACAUCAACUAAACGAAUAAACAGAAAAAUGUUAACUUUAAUUGUAUGUUUUUAACUGUGGUUCUUAAAAGGGAUUUAAAACUUUUAUGUAAUUUGAGUUUUGAUCUUGAAACUUCGUGUAGCUAUAGUCUAAGAUCAUAGACUUCAAUUCAUAAUGGUAGCUUGAUGAUAUGCAAAUAUGAGCCCAUUCUUUUCGACACAGCAGAAAUGAGUAUAGGGCCUCUAGGCCCAAUAUAUUUGGUCGUAACUGGUAAAAGAUAUGUCGUCUACAAUACAACAGAGCGUAUCUAAAAUGGGAUAUAAAGUGCUUAAAGAUUCUGAUAUGCAAAUUCCAAAAUUGAAAAUUAAAGAACUCGUAAAACAAGAUGCAUUGUCCCAAAGAGAACAAAAAAGAGUUCAUACUUUAUUUUUUUAUUUUUUGCUUAAAUGAUAAUGUUAUUAAAUUUAAGUAGGUACGAUACGACCAGCCCACGUGAAGACAUGCAUGUAUUUGAGAGAAAUACUUGUUAAUCAACUACUUAUUUUAAUUAAUCAAUCAGAAUAGUUUAUGUUCUCUUAGUCCCAAUUCAAUCUUCUGAAUAGUACAAUGGGUCCAUAAAGAACAGUUAAGUGAGUCUUUAGGCCCCAUAGCUUUGAUUCCCAAAUGACCCCUUCUAAACAAACCGACUCUUGUGUUCUUGACUUCUUUUUAUCCAUUUUGGAAAAUAUUUCUUACUAGAAUAAGCUAUAUAUAACACUAUUAUAUAAGGGAUCAUAAUGGAUAUAAUUGUUCUAAGGUAGGUUUAGAGAUUUUCGAACCAUCACUACUUGGUGAAUUACAUUUUGCAACUUUUGAAAAAUAUUUUUUGUGAAAGUAAUACAUGAAUGUUUUGGAAAAAAAAUGAAUGAUACAUUUUCCACUAUAAUGAAUAUGUUCAGAACGUUAAAUUGUGUGUUUUAAUAGUUUUAGUGUCAGAUAAACCACCGUUUUCAGAUAAUACUUCAAAUCCAUUUCGUUAUACAUGCAUCGAAAGUCUUUUAAUUCACAUUAAAGUUUUUGCUCUAAAAAUUUUAAAUGUGAUUUCUCGUUUUACUAUCAAUGCAUUAGUAACUUUGACAAUAUAAGUUAGGUAGAUGAUAUGAAUUUUUUGAUGUCAUUGUAUGUCUUCUAUAGUAUAUGUUAAACUUAUAUCACUAGAAACUUAUCUUAGUUAUGAAUACAAAGUUUGUGUUAAUUUUGUUUGCUUAUCUUUUACAUAGAACACCAUCAAUGUUUUAAGUAUGAGUGCGUGUGUGUAUAUAUACACAUCCUUAGCCACAACGUUGUACAUAGCUCACAACAAAAGAAAAAACAAAAAAGAAGAGAAAAAUGGAGAAUUCUCAGAGUCAGGGUAAAAACAAGAAGAAGAGGCUAACACAAGAUCAAGUUAGACAACUGGAGAAGUGCUUCACUAUGAACAAGAAGCUUGAGCCAGAUCUGAAACUUCAACUGUCGAACCAGCUUGGUCUACCUCAAAGACAAGUCGCUGUCUGGUUCCAAAACAAGCGAGCCAGGUUCAAGACUCAGUCUCUUGAGGUCCAACACUGCACUCUUCAGUCCAAGCACGAAGCAGCUCUCUCCGACAAGGCAAAGUUAGAGCAUCAAGUGCAGUUUCUCCAAGAUGAGCUGAAGAGAGCAAGGAAUCAGCUUGCUCUGUUCACAAAUCAAGAUUCUCCUGUUGAUAAUUCUAAUCUUGGUUCUUGUGAUGAAGAUCAUGAUGAUCAAGUGGUGGUAUUCGACGAGCUUUACGCUUGCUUUGUUAGCAAUGGACAUGGAUCUUCAUCAACCUCAUGGGUCUGAUUCUGUUUCGACGCAGACAAGAUUCCAAUAUAUAUAGUCUUGUCUCUGUUUUGUUUCGUUUGAUCUGUUUCUCUUUGUCUGAAUAGAUUUAAAAUUUGUAAUUAAAGUCAUUCAGACAUUCACUAAUACAAAGAGAUGAUUUUCUUCAUUUCUUGUUAUGGUUAUAAGAAUUGCAAUGUUGUAACAACACAAGAAACCAACAACUACUCCAUGGUCUAGUUUCAUCUUACCUUAUUGAUCACAUCAAGUCUUUUCAUUCAAUAUUUAGUAUCAUGCACUAGAUUAUGCAAUAAUUCAUAAAUCUAGUGUUUAAAUAACUUGAUCAAACAAAUAUAAGCUACAGUAUUUGGCAAUCACUUGCCAGAGACCGCCACAUUUAUUCGAACCCGCAAUGAUUCAUAAACCAGCCUAGUGAUGGAUGAGCAAAUAUGAAAUAUCAAUGGUUCACAAAGCCCACCACCCUGCACCCGCUACUUGAGCCAUUUAGUAACGCUUAUCGAAUCUUAGAUUAUCCUCUCGGUGGCUUUACCGAUAUAACAAACGUAAACCUGUAAGCUCCAUUCCUAAGCAGAGUUCUUGAAGUUGAUCCUUCUCGAGAGUGACUUGGUUCCCUAGUGAACUAUAUAUAUCACUGAGCCCGGUUCAAAUUGGCUCAUCCAGGGAUAACAUUGAUCAUCUAGUGUAUAAAUGUAUAAUCUUAAUUUCUUCUUAAAUUGACGACAUUUUUUACGAAUUUGUAUAAUAAUGUAAUAUAGAGGGAAAGAAAAAAAAACAAAUUGUGUGAAAAUAAUUUUCUUAUGUAACUUUAUAAAGAUCACAACUCUUUUUUGUUUGGAUCCAAAAUUUAGAAGGAGCAUUAAGGAUUCUAGAAAACUUUUUGUUAUCAAUGCUAACAUAUCUUGGUCAAUCCCAUGUCUUUUAUAUAUGAAAGAAAAAUCGCAUUCUUGCUUUGUGGAUUUGGAUCACUAGAGUCAACAAGCAGUUUUUUUUUUCAUAAACGAGUUGAUGAAUUUAUAGAAAUAAAAUAAAAUUGAACAAAGACAAAUCUAUUACAACUUUGAGGAAGAGACAAGACACUAAUAACGACUUCAUGGUCUAGUUCCUUAUUUUACCUUAUUUGUGACAUAUUUUCUUUAUAAUGAAAUUGUUUCAUUCAAGAUUUGUAUCGUUGACUAUAUUCUGCAAAGUUUCAACAAAUUCAUCGGUGUAACCGGUUAAUAAUCCAGGACUAACCAAAACCUCCUUUAAUUUAGCGUGGUUCCUCCUCACCAGAUUCCCUAACUCACUAUCUUUGUCCAUCACCGAGGUGAUCGCAACACUUAAGCUCUCUUUCGAGAACCAUCCUGUUUCUUCUCUUUUCACUUCCACCGAAACCUCGAGUUCCUCACUCAUCAAUCUAGUGUUGAGAAUUUGAUCACACAAAUAUGGAAGCAAGACUAUUUGACAAUCACUCACUAGAGACUCCCACAUUGAUCCAAACCCACAAUGGGUCACAAAGCAGCCUACUGAUGGAUGAGCCAAUAUCAAUGGUUGCUGCACCCAUUCUCCCCAAACUACUCCAUGAUUCUUCACCCUCUCCUCAAACCCUUCUGGCAACGCUUCUUGGAUCGUCUUUGCGCCUUUUGGUGGUUUUACCGCUACGAGAAACGGUAAACCAGUGAGCUCCAUUCCUAAACAGAGUUCUUGGAAUUGAUCCUUCUCUAGAGUGAUUUGACUUCCCAAUGCACAAUAUAUUACCGAGCCGGGUUUGAACUGAUUCAGCCAGUGAUUCCAUCGAUCUUCGAGUGGUCUACUGUUAUCUGGCUCUGGAAGCAUUGGACCUGUCAAAAGAACCUUCCUCUGGUAUUGACGCUCUAUAUAGUCGCAGAAUUUACCUUCGAUUUCUUUACAAGUCCUAAUUGAGAUAAAAUCACAAUUCUUUAGACCUGUUGUUAUCCGGUAAUGAAGCCUCUCGUAGAAGAUGGAAAAAGUCAACAAAGCGUGAGCAUCGUGUCCACGGUACAACACUUUUGACGAAGGAUAGCCAGGUGGAGGAACUCCUAAUUCACCACCUGGUACAAGUUCAUGAGCUAUGGAGUUAGCUGAUAUCACAAAGUAUAUCACACUCUUGACUCUGUGUUCUUUCGCCAUUUCCGGAACCCAAUAAGCAGUAUCGAAAAAGAUCAGGUCUGGUCUCAAAGCACGAACCGCGGCUUCGACCUGAUCGCGAGUGAGAUCCAUGGCUGCGGUAAGAAACUUCCCCAACGAGAUGGGGAUGUCCGAGGCGGUCUCCGCGCCAGCAGGUAGGCCAUCAACAUGGGGAAUAGUAAGAGAAUGAAAGAUGAUCCUGUCUGGAAACAGAUUGUGAUGUUCCAACUGUUUUUGAGCUUUCUUAGGCAGCAAGAAAGUAACCCUAUGACCUUUAGCAGCUAGCUUGUUGGCUAGAUGCAAGUAUGGAGUCAUAUGACCAAAAGCGAACCAUGGGAACAUAAAAGCGUGAAAAUUUUGGCCCAUUUUUAUUUCCUAAAUUCUCGAAACAAGUUGAACACAAAAAAAGCAAAGGUGUCAAAGAGAGCUUAAAGAAGAAAUUUUUGCUGUGUUUCAAUUUUCAAAUCAUAAGCAUCUUUGUUUUUCUUGCUUAAAAACUUCUGCGAUUAAGAAAGCCCCUAUAUUUAGCUUUGAGAAUGUGCUCGUGGAAGUCUUUGAAGGGUGUUUUAGGUUUAUUUAUUAGUGAGGGUUGGUGGUUUAGUUGGUGAAAGUAGUGGUUAACAUGUGUUAAAAUGACCUUUGUUUUUAUUAGAAAAGUUGUCUGAUCUAAACAUUAAUGUAAUGUAAUGCCUCGAAGAAAUACAAUGCUGCGUGUCAAAAAGUCAAAAGUAAUCGAUCUUAUGAUAAUAUGGCAUACCAGGUUUGAUGACGCGUGUUAAUCUGAACCAGAUCAGCCUGGCCAAAACAUUAGUCAAACGUGAGAUGAAGAAAAACAAAGACAAAAACAAACACUCAAGGCAGGUUGUUCGUUUAACCUUCUAACGUCACUAUUAGGUUCAAAAUCUUUUAGAAAGAUCGUCUAACAACACUUACACAUACCCAAAUGAGGGUUUGAUAUUAUUGGCAACACAACACAAAUGAUAUAUCACGUUCCAACAAAGAAGCAAACGGGAUCUUAUUUCAAGGAUCAAGUAACUAAAGAGACAUGUGUAUUUUGAAUAUCAAAAGCAGACUGAUCAAUGUUUUUAACUUCAGAUCAUUGCAGCUUCGAUCGGUCUUCGACCUUGUUGAUAGUAAUCGAAGAAGUUUUUCUCAGACUUCUUAACUGCUUUGUACAACCUUGGUCUAGCCUCAGACACAAGCCCAUUUAAAGGUUGAAUCUCUUUGUCUUCAUCAGCAUUACAAAAUGUUGCCACAUAUAUCCUUUCCUUUUUUCCGUUAAGCACCACUCUAUGAACCGGACUCUUGUAUAUUCCAUUGCUCAUUACCUGAACAUGCAUAAGAGAUUUCUAUCAAAUCUUCACCAAUUAACUUCAACUAUCAUAGAAACAUAUAUAUACAUGAUUGAUUACCUCCAUAGUAUCUCCUACAUUGAUCAGAAUUGUAUGAGGGAGAAUUGAAGCUUUAUACCACUUCCCAUCUUUGAGGAACUGAAGUCCUUCUACAUUUUUGUCGGGUAGGAUAAGAGUAAAGGCUGAGCCAUCAGAAUGCGGUUUUAGCCCAAGAACCUUGUCCGGCCUCGGACAUGGAGGGUAGAUGUUGAAUCUUGUCUCCAACGUAGCAUUUUCACCAUGCAUCUCUAGAAAGCAAUUAUCUUCCAACUCCAACGAUCUAGCUAAUGCCUUGAAGAAUUUCUCAACCACUAACUGUUGCUUCAUUGUGUAUUCAUGUAAAGUUUCCCUAAAGAAACGAUUUUAAAAUCACAGAUUUACAGUCUAAAGGAAACUGAAAUCUAUGCAUGGAUGAUCCUAUGGAUUUUACCUAAAUCCGCUUGGAUUUUCAGGCCAGAAUUUAAGCUGUCGUUGAUCUUCAGGGUACGUAAUGAGGUACAAGCGGUCGACCCAAUCGAGAACUUGAUCAUCAGACAGAAUCAUGUCGUUUCCAAAUCCUUGAAAACUACUUAUCUCUCUUGCGUACUUCUGUUUCUCUUUGGUCGGAAGUACAAAGAACUGCUUCGUUAGCUCGUGAAUCUUGUCGAGCAAGGCUUCUGAAAUUCCAUGAUUCAUCACCUACGAGAUAUAAAAUUUCUUCGAUGAUUUUUUAAGACUAUAUGAUCAUCACUAAGAGGGUCAAAAACUUAAACCUGAACAACGCCCCAUGUAGAGAUCGCCGAGUGAAGUUUACUCAACUCUUCUCGACCGUCGUCAGAAGAAGAGAAAAGGAGAUUAAGAUCGAUGAUCGAAAUUUUCAUCUCUGGCAACAAACCAUUGAAAGGUUGAUCACCUUCGCCGUCGCCGGUGGGUGUGUAGAGGUAUCUUUCCGGUAGUUUUUCGCCAGCUGCGACCACCUCUUGGACUGUCUUCAACUUUGGUUUCUCCAUUGUUUCGGAGGAUCUUUGUUUGAUGAUCCUUUUGGUCAGAAGAACUUUUGUAUUACACGUAGCUAGACACGAUCUUGAAUUUAUGGUCUUGCUUGGUAUAUCCAAACCCGGCCCAAAGAUAAACACUAUGAUACGUAACAUGACAAAAAAUGCCGUUUCGUAACAUUUAUCUCAAGAGAGAAUUUAGUUUACAAACUAACAGUUAUCCUCUCUUUUUUUUUUGUAGCUUUUGAUUGUGGCCAAAAUUUAAAGGACAAUUAACAAAUAGCAAAAAAAAACUAAAAAUAUAUAUUUUUCUUGGUAAGAAACUAAAAGAUAUCUUUGAUAUUAAGAAAAUACACUAUGCUUAGUAUAUAAUGUUACUUAAUAUAUAUUUAGAGUUUAGGGUUGAUGUCAACAAACCUAAAUUUAAGUAUGUCUCGGCUAUAAAUAUUUUUUUGCAUUACUCCCAAAGUUUUAUUAUAUAUUUCUUUUUUAACACCAAAAGAAUUAGAAGCAAAUCUUUUUUGUAAGGCAAUCUACCUAAUUUCCAUCUCAAAUUGAGUCAUCUACCUAUUUCACCCAAAACAUUUAUUCAAAAAUAGUAAUAUAUCAAGAUGAGUUCAAUCAGGUUAUAUUUGAUGAUAUAAAAUUAUUUCCUAGCUAGUAAGUGAAGCUUGAACAGAACAUAGACGAGAAACGAACAACUACUUGGUGGUCUACUUUUUUUACCGUUAUGACUCUUAUCGAUCAAAGCUGCUCUUUACAAAGUUUUUCAUUCAAGAUUUAUAUUUUGGACUAGUUUCUCCAAUGCUUCUACGAACUUAUUAAGAUAACCACUCAUUAGUCCAUGACGAAGCAGAGACUCCUUCCACUUUACGUGGUUCCUCCUCGCCCAAUUCCCGAGCUCGCUAUCUCUGUCCAUCACAGACCUGACCGCACCGCUCAAGCUCUCCUUCGAAAACCAUCCCGUUUCCUCUCUUUUCACCUCUACCGAGACCUUGAGUUCCUCGCUCAUCAGUCUUGUGUUCAAUAUUUGCUCACCCAAAUGUGGAAUAAACACUAUUUGGCAGUCAUUCACUAGAGCCUCCCACAUUGACCCGAAACCACAAUGGCUCACAAAGCAGCCUAUUGAUGGAUGAGCUAAUAUCAAUGGUUGCUGCACCCAUCCUCCCCAAACCACUCCACGUGCUUUAACCCUCUCUUCAAACCCUUUUGGUAAGGCUUCUUGGAUUGUCGAUGAACCUUUUGGUGGCUUUACCGCUACAAGAAAUGGUAAACCUGUCAGCUCCAUUCCUAAACAGAGUUCUUGGAAUUGAUCCUUUUCAAGAAUGAUUUGGCUGCCCAAUGCACAAUAUAUUACUGAUCCCGGAUCGAACUUGCUAAGCCACUGACGCCAUUGAUCUUCUAGCGGUUUGCUAUUGUCCGGCUCAGGAAGCAUUGGACCUGUCAAGAGAACUUUUCUUUGAAAUUGGUUUUCGAUGAAAUCGCAGAACUUUCCUUCCAUUUCUUGGCAUGUCCUUAUCGAAAUGACAUCGCAGUUCUUAAGUCCUAUCAUGAUCCGUUCGUAAAAACUAGUUCCAUCUCCAAACGGAUAGGAGAGGAACGACAAACUGUUGGUUUCGUGUCCCCGAAGCAACACCUUGGAGGAAGGGUAUCCCGGUGGAGUACUACCCAAGUCAUCUUGACUACGACCAGGGACGAACGAAAUAGCUACACAUGCUGCAGAAAUCGUUAUGAAAUUGACACUCUUGACUCCAUACUCUCUAGCUAUUUCCGGAAUCCAGUGAGCAAAAUCGAAGAAAAUCAGAUCCGGUUUACCAACAGAAACUGCUUCUUUGACCUGAAUGCGUGUCCGAUCCAUAGCCGAGGCGAGAAAACUGCCUAACGAGAUCGGGAUAUCCGAGGUUGUCUCAGCACCAUCAGGGAGGCCAUCUACAGAUGGGAUGGUAAGAGUCUGAAAGACAAUGCAGUCUGGGAAGAGAUUGAGAGAUUCAAGUUGCUUUCGAGCUUUCUUGGGGAGCAAGAAAGUUAUUUUGUGGUCUUUCUCCGCUAGUUUGUUAGCCAGAUGCAAAAAUGCAGUCAUGUGACCAAAACCAAACCAUGGGAACAUAAAAGCAUGAAACUUUGACCCCAUAUAUGUUCUUCGGGGAAAAUAAAAUAAAAUAUGUUCUUAUGUUCCUCUGUUUUUAUCCUUAUAGUCUUGUUCUUAAGGUUCUUGUGUUUCUGUUUGUGAGAAUUCUGUUUCAGAUUACCUGAAGUUUAGGAGAGUACUGGUUUAAAUUGAAUGAGUCAAGUCUGUUACGAAAAUAUCCCAAAUUGUUUUUUUGAUUACUAAUUUACUAUCUAUUUAAGUUAUGUUAAUAAUCCUUUCUUUUUUUCGCCAGUUGUUUAUAUUCUGUAGUUUCCUUUUGUUAUGUAAGUUCCGGAAAUUAUUCCCUAAUCUAUGGUAGAUCAUCUAGCUUCCGAAAGCUAACCCCCAACUUAUGGAAAUUGCAAAGAUCAUGACAUUCAAGGUUUGUUACGAAUAAAACUGCAACUAAAGAGAUUAUGUUAUGUGAUUCUUUGUUUUUUUAGGUCCACAACGGUUAUGAAUAAAUAUUCUCAUUAUUCAUAAUCCGACGUAAAAGAACAAUAAGUAUGGCAUCAAAUAUUCUUAAAACCCAAUUAUAUUCUCAAUAAAAAUUACCAUGCGAGACAAAUAAAAAUAAUAAUUGGAAAUGGUUCUUAACAGAAAAUGUUGAAAGACUUUUAAAGCACACUGUUUUACAAUUUAGACAGAGAAUGUAAAACAUGAAUUCGAAUAGUAACAACUAGACCUUAUGAGCAGUCUAUUGAACAAGCGUGUGAUGCAGGUUCUUCUUCUGUACUCCUUAUGAAGAAAGGGUUCUUGCAACGAACUUUACAACCACUGCAGAGAGGUCGAGUAGCCUCAUUGUUUGGACAUAUUUCAACAUCAGGUUCUGGGAUUCCUAGCUUCAAAUAAUAUAAAUCUCCAAGUACACAAUCAAUAUGAAGACUAAGCCCACACUCAUCACAAGUAUAAUAACAUACACUCGGAUCUGUCUUCGUCUCACAAAUAUCGCACCACAAGUCGCCGGAAUCGUUUACGGAAGAACCUUGACAUAGUGACAAAAAAUGAUCAUCACACCUGUGUUUUACCUUUCUUGGUAAAGUAGUGCACCUCAUGCAUAAAGAGUAAUCAUCACAAACCGUACAACUUAAGGGAUCAUGAUCUAUUUUUGUGCCACAAGCCUGACAUUGUCUGGAACUUUGCAACGUAAAGUAUAAGGGAUGUUGAUGGAGAUCAUGGUGAAACGGUUCUGAUACAGAGCUACACCGAACAUCAUACUUAAUACUUUUAACGAGGUAUCUACAAAGCCCAUCAUGACACGCGUAUAUGAAGCCAUCAGUGUGGGUUUGACAAGCAAUACACGUAUAAAAGAAAUUGUCUGAUCGACGAAAACGUGUGAAUGAAACCUCUAGAGAGAGUUUAUGGUUGUGCAAUAAAUGUCGCAUCUUCCGAGGAAGAUUAGCACACUUUUCAUGAAGUAUGAAAUCACAUUCCAGGCAUCUGUAGCAUGGAUCCCCGUCGAUGGCAAGAACACAACACCGACAACGCAUGUUAACAUUAUCUGUAACAUAAUUCUCAUCCAAUCUGAGAACAUGCUCUUCAUGACAAAAAUGAACGAUAUCUCCCUUUUCAUUAACUACCUUGAAUGGAUCUUCUAUUUCUUCUUCUUCUUCGGGCACAUCUUCGAGCUCUAACCCAUCCCACACUUCUCUUCUUGUUGCACACCUUGAAUGAACGGCAUAACUAGGACAACGAGAGCAUUCAUAACCUCCGUAGGCCCAAUUAAUCUUCUUCCGACAAACUCCACACUCUUUAUCUCCUUCUCCUUGACCAAGAUGAAAGGUAUGAUUUAUGCGAUGGUCAUGACGGUUUAUGCUUAUGACGCGUGGUAGUUUCUCAAUACAAUAUUUAUGGACCAUCAAAUUGCAUUCAAGACAAACAUAAGGAUUGCGGUCGUCUUCCACACCACAUGCAUUACAAGUAAAGGUGACUAACCUUAACAAGAGGGUGAGGCUAUGCUUGUGGUGCUUUGGUUGAUAAAUUGUGAGUGGUGGUGGAUCUUUCACACAUUCUCUACCCACGCUUAUGUUGCAUAUCGUGCACCGGAAAUGCUUUAACUUAAGCUUGCUUCGACAAAAAUGACAAAAGUGGUCAUCUGUACUGUCAACUAAUGGUGUCUUAGCCCGGCGGAAGAUCUUGAGAACGUGAUUGCAGAUAAAUUGCUGGCUGAAGAAGCUGUCAGCCCAUUCUUUGUGAAACGUCAAGCUGCACUCCUUGCAGUGAUAGCAGUUGUAUAUGCCAUUUCUUAGCUUCGGGAUAGAUAAUAUGGAGCGGAAAGUGUAAGACUCAAAAGUACCACAUGAUAAAGGAUGAUGAUGAAACGGAAGGGUAACUUCUUCGUGGUCAGUAGAAGACAUUGCUUUCAAAUUAAAAAAGAAACAAAGCAUAAGUUGAGUUUCAGUUUUUUCUCUUUCUAAAGAGAGCUGUUCUUUAUGUAUACUUAAGGAACUCAUAAAUUCAUUCUAAUGGUAAUUGAACGGCCGACCAGCUAAUUUUGUUUUUUUUGAAAAAAUCAAACAUAAGCCAACUAAUAAUAAUGUAUGACCUUCCAGUCACUUGCUACGAUUAGCCAACGUGGUAACGUGCCCACAACUUUAGAUUCCCAAAGUCGUCGCCUUCUACAGAAUUUGUUAAUAAAAAUAUAUAUUUGUUUGGUUUAUUUUUGGCUACUCCCAUUAGCCUAUUGGACUCUUUCGGCAUAAAUUAUUCACAGAUCGUUGCGAUCUGUCAUCGACUUAUGUAAGAUUCUUGACAUUUUGGUAGAUGACAAAUGGGUGGGUUUAAAUAUUCAUACAAAUUAUUGAAACCACAAUAUGUACGUGGAAACAAAACAGCAGUAAAAUAGUGAUACACUGACUAAAAAUAAUAGGAUAUGACCUUCCAACCACUUGUUACGAUUUAGCCAACGUAGUAACAUGUAAGUCAUCGUGCCUACAACUUCAGAUUACCAAAGUCGUCGAACGUUGAUCGCCUUGUUCAGAAUUUGUAAUUAAAUUAAAUUAUAACAAUUUGAUAUAAUAUACAAGUUUGGUUUUCUUGACUUUCGGCACUAAUAAUUAACAGAUGAUGGCGAUUUGUCUCAUGUAAGAUUAUUGACAUUUUGGUAGAUCUAUUAUAUCACCUACCAUACCAAUGAAUCUCCCUCGCUAACUCUAUUUUGCCUUUUGUUUUUGUAAACAUUUCGUGUACGGAAAAUUCGACUUUCAAAUAUCACUAAAACCCCAAUUUUAUAUCAAUUUUGCAAAAUUUUAUGGGUGGCCUUUGCAACUGUCUACAAACACAACGUUAACGACAUGAUGCGGUUCAAUAAGAUUGACACGAGUCAUCAUAACGUUUUAUAAGUUAUAAUAACACAUGCAUUAUUGAAAUGAAUUCAUGACUUCACAAGUUUCAACUUUCUAUGUAAUAUAUAAAUGUAUUUAAUACUUUUUUGACCAAUAUUUUUUUUCAAUAUAUUUUUCUAUUGGUUAAACUAGUCAUAUUUAAUGAUUUUUUUUUAUGUAAAAGAGAUAAAUUAAAUGUGAUUUUUUUUUAUUUUCUAAUUUUUGUGUAAAAACCUUAAACUACAACUAUAUUGAAACGGAAGGAAUAGUAAAGUUAAAGACAUCCCAAAAAUAGGGGUCUUAAAUGUCUAUUGGGGACACAAUUCUCAUUUUCAAGACACUUAUAUUUCUUUUUUUCCUUUCUUUAUUCUUUUAUAUUAAAAAGUAUGUAUUUAAAUAUCCAUACAAGUAACCAAUGUGGAUGCUCUUAUAUUCUCAAUAAAAAAAUAAUUGCAAGACAAACAAAAAACAAAAAACAUCUUUUCUUUUCUUUGCUUGUGUUUACAGUUCAACAAUCUGGGCAGCUCUUGCGCAUGGUUUACUCAAGACGAGGUACACAACAGAUUGGCCUACUAUUCUAGAUUAUCUUUCGACUCAUCGUUUCAGCCGGGUGGAAGAAUUUCUCACAAAAUACAUAGUCCAAGCUACAGUCUAUGCGAUUUGGAGAGAAAGAAAUAAUCGAAGACAUGGAGAGAAUCCCCAAACCGCGCAACGCAUUAUUGGAUGGGUGGAUAAACAAAUACGGAACAGAAUUUCAGCGAUUCGACUUGCAGGAGAUAGGCGGUACGAUGACGCCUUCCAAUUUUGGCUCCAAGCCAAGAUUUAGCUUAUGCCAUUGUUUUGAAACUUAUUUUUUUUCAGCUUUUUCUCAAAUAUUCGAUGCACUAGUUGUAAAAAUGUAUAUUUUUUCUUUUGAAUAUAAUUUAACAUUAGAUUCAAAAAAAAAAAAAAAAAAAAAAUUGGAAAUAUUGUUCUUAACAGAAAAUGUUGAAAGACUUAUAAAGCACAAUGUUUUACAAUUUAGACAGAAUGUAAAACAUGAAUUUGAGUAAUUAUAACUAGUCCUCACUUGCGCAGGAGUAUAUUGAACAACUGUAGACAGCAGGUUCUUCAUCAAUAAACCUAAAGAAGAAGGGAAACUUGCAACGAAAUCCACAAUUGAUGCAGAGAGGUCGAGUAGCACCAUUGUUGGGAUGUAUUUCAACAUCAGGUUCUGUGAUUCCAAGCUUCAUAUAAUAUAAAUCUCCAAGUACACAAUCAAUAUGGAGACUUAGCCCACACUCAUCACAAGUGUAGUAACAUACACUCGGGUCUGUCUUCGUCUCACAAAUAUCGCACCACAAGUAACCACUUUCGUUUCCAUCACCUUGACUUAGUGAUAGAAAAUGAUCAUCACACUUAUGUUUUACUUUUCUUGGUAAAGUAGCGCACCUCAUGCAUAAAGAGUACCCCUCACAAAUGGUACAAUUUAAGGGAUCAUCCUUUAUUUCUUUGUUACAAGCCUGACAUCGUCUCGAACUUUGCAAGGUAAAGUAUAGGGAUGUUGAUGCAAAUCAUGGUGAAACGGUUCUGAUACAGAACUACACCGAACAUCAUACUUAAUAAUUUUCUUUUUGCAAUCUUCAUGACGACACUCGUAUAUGAAACCAUCUGUAUAGAUCCCACAAGCUCCACACUCAUGAAAAAUAUCUUUAUUGAUAAGUGUCGAUGAAAGAGUGAGUUUAUGGUUGUGCAAUAAAUGUCGUUUCUUCCUAGGAAGGUUAGCACACGCUUCGUGAAGGAUGAAAUUACAUUCCACACAUCUGUAGCAUGGAUCACCGUUGAUAGCAAGAAUGCAACACCGACAUCGCAUGUUAGCAUCAUCUAUAACAUAAUUCUCAUCCAAUCUGAGAACAUGCUCUUCAUGACUAAAAUGAAUGAUAUCUCCCUUAUCAUUAAUUACCUUGAAAGGAUCUUCGAUUUCUUCUUCUUCCUCGGGCACAUCUUCGAGCUCUAACCCAUCCCACACUUCUUUUCUUGUUGCACAUCUUGAAUGAACGGCAUAACUAGGACAACGAGAGCAUUUAUAACCUCCAUAGACGCAAUUAAUCAUCUUCCGACAAACUCCACACUCCCAAUCUCCUUCUUUUUUACCAAGAUGAAAAGUAUGAGAUAUGCGAUGGUCAUGCCGAUUUAUGCUUAUGACUCGCGGUAGAUUCUCAACACAAUCUUUGUGGACCAUCAGAUUGCAUUCAAGACAUACGUAAGGAUUGCGGUCGCCUUCCACACCACAAGCAUUACAAGUAAAGGUGACUAGCCUUAGCAGGAGACUGAGGCUAUGCUUGUGGUGUUUUGGUUCAGAAAUUGUGAGUGGUGGCAGUGCAAACAAACAUUCUAUAUCCACGUUUAAGUUGCAUAUAGUGCAACGAGCAAAUAAAAAUUCUAACUUACUUUGACAAAAAUGACAAGUGUUUUCAUAUAUACGGCCAGAUGAUGUGAAAAUAUGAGUAUACACCUUGAGAAUGUGAUUGCACAGAAAGGGUCGGUUGAGGGAAAGGCUGUUGAUGCAUUCGUCGUGUAACUUCAAGCCGCAAUCCAUACACUGAUAUCUGAUGCGAGUGACUAUUUCUCCUAGAAACGUAGAGAAAAGGCACAAAGAGCAAGAAGUCAAAAAUUCAGAAGCAUAACUUGAUAAAGGAUGAUGAUGAAACGGAACCAUGAUUUCAGAUAUGGUUUCCACUUCGAAAUCAUCAGUAGAAGACAUUUUUACAAUCAAAAAAGAAAAAAGAAAGAAGAAGUUUGAGUUUCAAUUUUUGUCUUGCGAGCUUGUACUUAACUUCCUUUGAACUCCAGCUAAUUGAUCGGCCGCCAGCUCACUAAACAAACAUAUGCAAGUUUACAUAUUUUAGAUUUUUUGUCUUCUUUUUUAAGUUGUUCCACCCAACAGCUGUGCAAUAAUGAUACAAUGACUAAUAAUAAUAAUAAGAAUAAUAUAUGACCUUCCAGUCACUUCCUACCCCUAAGCCAACGUCGUAACAUGUAAUUCAUCGUGCUCCGCAGUUUGAUUACCAAGGUCAUCGCUAUACGAAAUUAUAAAACAUACAUGUCUCUGUUUUCUCUUUUUCCUUUUGAAGUCUGUGUUUCUUGGCUACUCCCAUUAGCUUAUUGGACUUUCAUAAUAAAUUAACCAGUGAUAUAUCUAUCAACUACUCAUGUAAGAUUCUUGACAUGUUAGUAGAUCUAUAAUAUAUAUAUAUAUAUAUAUAUAUAUAUAUAUAUAUAUAUAUAUAUAUAUAGGUGGGUUGACUUUGAAAAUGAAGACAAAUUAUAGAAACCACACUAAUUAGUAACAAAAUAGCUGGAUAAUAAUAAUAAUACUGACUUAUAAACUUAUAAUAAUAUAUGACCUUCCAACCAUUCUGCUACGACUAAGCCAACACAAAGUAACAUGUAAGCCAUCGUGCCUAAACAGAGUUCAUGAAACUGAUCUAUUGUCUACAACCGGUUGGCUACCGAAGCACAGAACAGAACGAACCGGGGUCGAGUUUGGCUUAGCCACUCCGACCACUGAGGCUCUAAGGAGGGCUGAUUAGGUUGGUCUCCUGCAGGCAGAAUUUGAUUUUAUGACAUACACGGAUCAGCCUGGCCCUUAUUUUUAAAAAAAUCAGCACAGAACAAAAGAAAGUUUCUACAUACCUAAAAGGAUAUCAUCAUUUACCCAUAUAAAAAGUUGAUUGAUUCAUCUAGAGGAUGGUUAGAUGAAUUAAGAUAUUGAUCAUAUUUGGUGAGUAAUUAGUGGAUUAGUUGAAUAAAUCAAGUUUUUAUCUUGUCCUGAUUUUUCUCUCCGCAGCAGGGACAAGAGACAGUGCGAUUGACGCAGCGCUAACGAUGUUGAAGCAAACGGUUUUAGCACCGAUCGGUUUAGCAAUUUCCGGUAUCCAAUGGGCAGAGUCAUAGAAAACCAAGUCCGGUUUGAUUGUACGGAAAAUGGUCUCGACCUCUGGCCGGGUUUGGUCCAAAACACAAAAGGAAAACUUACAUAUUUAGAUAACUUCUAAAUAUAACAUUGUUCAUAAUCUCUUUAAGAUAUUGCAAAAGUUUUUUUUUAUUUUUUAUUUUUAUUGCUAAAGUUAUCUUUCAAGCUUAUGUCGACAUUCAGUUCCAUCAUUCACAAAUGCAUAAUGUGAGAUUGGCUCCAAUCGUCUAUAUAUAUAGAUAAGAUUUAUGCCUAAUCGUUGUGUUUAGCUCUUACAUGAAAAAUCAAGAAGUAUGGAAUCCAUUAAUAUCCAAAAGAAAACAAAUAAUAUUCUCAAUACAUACAAUGCACAAUACAAUAAAAAUUUGAAAAUAGUUCGUAAUAGAAUAUGUUAAAAGACUCUCAAGUCCCAGUCCCGAAGUCCGAUGUCGAGAGCGAAUCUAUAAGGUGAAACUGCAAAAUUAAACUCCUUUGGGCAGAGAUCUUUUGAACAAUACCAAAUACCAAGAUCUUCUUCUGUACCCUUUAUGAAGAAGGGGAACUUGCAACGUAAUUCACACUUGGUGCAGAUAGGUCGAGUAGCACCAUUGUUAGGAUGUACUUCCAUCCUAGGACCUGGGCAUCCGACUUUGGUAUAAUAGCAAUCCCCAAGUACACAAUCAAUAUGGAGACUUAGCCCACAAUCAUCACAAGUAUAGUAAAAUACACUCGGGUCUGUCUUUGUCUCACAAAUAUCACACCACAAGUCACCACUUGCACUUCCCACACCUUGACAUAGUGACAGAUAAUGAUCAUCACAUCUGUGUUUUACCUUUCUUGGUAAAGCAGCGCACCUCGUGCAUAAAGAGUAAUCAUCACAAACCGUACAAUUCAAGGGAUUCCAAUCUAUUUUUCUUUUACAAGCGUGACAUUUAUUGGUUUUCUCCAACGUAAAAUAUAAGGGAUGUUGAUGCAGAUCAUGGUGAAACGGUUCCGAUACAGAACUACACCGAACAUCGUACGUAAAACUAAUACUUUUGCAACCUUCAUGAAGACACUCGUAAAUGAAACCAUUAGUUUUUAUGUCACAAGCUUUACAUCUCAAAAAACGGUUACCUGUCGAUGAAAGAGUGAGUUUAUGCUUAUGCAAUAAAUGUCGCAUUUUUCGAGGAAGAUUCGCACACGCUUUGUGAAGGAUGAAAUCACAUUCAACGCAUCUGUAGCAUGGGUCACCGUUGAUAGCAAGAACGCAACACCGACAACGCAUGUUAGCAUCAUCCGUUACAUAAAUCUCGUCCAAUCUGAGAACAUGCUCUUCAUGACUAAAAUGAAUGAUAUCUCCCUUUUCAUUAAUUACCUUGAAUGGAUCUUCGAUUUCUUCUUCUUCUUCGGGCACAUCUUCGAGCUCUAAACCAUCCCACACUUCGUAUCUUGUUGCACAUCUUGAAUGAACGGCAUAACUAGGACAACGAGAGCAUUUAUAACCUCCAUAGACCCAAUUGAUCGUCUUCCGACAAACUCCACACUCCCAAUCUCCUUCUCCUUGACCAAGGUGAAAAGUAUGAGAUAUGCGAUGGUCAUGACGAUUUAUGCUUAUGACUCGCGGUAGAUUCUGAACACACUCUUUGUGGACCAUCAAAUUGCAUUCAAGACAUACGUAAGGAUUGCGGUCAUCUACCACACCACAAGCAUUACAAGUAAAGGUGACUAACCUUAACAAGAGGGUGAGACUAUGCUCGUGGUGUUUUGGUUCGAAAAUUGCGAGUGGUGGUCCCAAUGCCAUUAAACAUUUUUUAUCCACGUUUAUGUUGCAUAUCGUGCAACGAGCAAAGAAAGACGGAAGAUUACGUAGCCGAGCAAAGAAAGACGUAAGCUUACGUCGACAAAAAUGACAAGAAAGGUCGUCUUUACGGUCAGGGUCAGGCCACGCGAAGGUAUUACGGUAGAUCUUGAGAACGUGAUUGCAUAGAAAUGGCCGGUUGAGGAAGAGGUGGUCAACGCAUUCUUUGUGCAACGUCAAGCCACAAUCCGUACACUCGUAACUGAUACAAGUAACACUUCUUCUUAGCCAUGAAGAGUUCUUAGAGAAAGAGCACAAAGAGCAAGAUUCCAAAAAAAUACAAUAAGAACUUGACAUAGGAUGAUCAUGAAAAGGAACCGUGAGUUUAGGCAUGGUGGCUAGUUGGAAAUCAUCAGGAGUCAUUUUUGUAUAUUCAAAGAAGAAAAUAAAAAGCAGAAGUUGAGUUAUAAUUUUGUCCUGUGAGCUCCUCAUUAUGUAGUACUUAACUUCCUUGGAACUCAUCAAUUAAUUUUUAGUUUAUUUUCUUUGUACCAAUGGUAAUUGAUGGCCGACACUGCCGGCUAAUUAAUAUAAAUUAUAUAUAUACAUAUAUAUACGCAACUUUACAAGUUGUACGAAAUAUUUACUUGUUUGGGUUUCUUGGCAACUUCAACUAAACUACACGUAAGAUUCUUGAAAAUUUUGAUAGGUAUAUAUCAUAAAAGAAAAUUACAAUAUAUAACCUUUUCUAGCCACUCUACUAUGAUUAGGCCAUCGUGCCUACAACUUCAAAUUACCAAAGUCGUCGCCUUGUUCAGAAUUUAUAAGUAAAUAAACAUAUACUCCCAAAUUGAUAUAAUAUACUACUUUUUAUUUAUUUUAUCUUUGCUAAAUAAUAUAAUCAUCUACUACUUGUUUGGUUUUCUUGACUUUCGCACAAAUAAUAAAUAACUGAUGAAUUGAUGAUGACGAUUUGCCUCAUGUAAGAUUCUUGACAUUUUCGUAGAUCAGUUAUAUAUCAUAGCUGAAUUUUUCUCCGACCAAUGAUUUUCCCUUGCUAACUCUAUUUUGCCUUCUUCUUUUCGUAUACGUAAACACUUUGAUUAGAGUUUUUUUUUUUUUUUUUUUUUGAAAUUAAAGUUUAAAUUGUAUUCAACAGAAAAAAAAACAUUUCUACAAAUAAUUCAUUGGUUUAUUAACAACUGAAUAAUUACGAUAGAAACGUUUUUUGCAAACCACAUCUGUAGCCUUAUUAAAAAAAAAAUACAUCUUUUUUUUUUGCUAAAAAUGUAAAUAUUUCAUAUAAUGAAAAAGUUUUUAGAAUUACAUGAAGUAGAUCCUAUGGUUUGGUCCCAUGGCAAAAAAAGAUAAAAAAACAUGGAAGAAAAACAAUCGGUCCAUUGAAAAAAAAACAUAUUUAGCCCUUCCUCGUCUCUUUGGUCCCCCUUUCAAAGAUUGAGCUGAGGCUGUUUCUAACGUACUUGUCGAUGAGCUUGAUCAAACGAGUAUGAGAUGAGUGAUUUUCUCCAUGUCUUUAAGCAUUUCUCUCAAGCCAAAUGUGGUAUAAGGUUGCUUGGAAAACAUACCGUAGAGAGACGUGAUUAUAUUAGACGAUCCCAAUCAGUCGAACAGUCAUUUACUUGGGUUAGAACUCGCCAAAUUUCAGCUGACUACUCGUCUACUCAUUACUGGCAAGAGAAGAAGAGAUGACACCUUGUCUCUUCAGAAUAGGGAAAAUUCGACUUUCAAAUAUCACUAAAGCCCCAACUUUGUAUCGUUUUUCUCAAACAUUUUUGGGUAUUAUUUUUGCAUCUGUCCACAAACACAACGUUUACCAACGGUUGCCUUUAAAUAGGAUUGACAUGUCACAUGUGUCUUUUCAUAAAGUUUUAUAAGUUUAUAACAUAUAGAUAUUAUUGAAAUGAACUCAUGAAUUCACAAGUUCAACUAAAUUCUGUCCAAACAUAUUAAUAUAACCAUCUGCAAAACUAGAGCCAGUCAAAACACAUCUCCACUAGUCAUGAUUCUUUCUCACUUUCUAACCGACCUCACUACCUUCCUCCAUCACACUCUUUACUGCGAUCUCCAAGCUCCACCGCGAGAACCACCCAUUCUCUUGCCUCUCCACUUCAAUCGCCACCUCCAUCUCCUCCGUCAUCAGCCUCGCGUUCAAUAUUUGCAAACCGUACUGUGAAACCAAAACAAUCUAACAAUCACUCAUCAAAGACUCCCACAUUGACCUAAACCCGCAUUGGCUAACAAAAUAUCUCACUGAAGGAUGCUUUAACACCAACGGUUUGCUGAAUCCUAUCUCCAUAUACAACGCUUCCUCGACGGUUGAUACACUCGAAGGAGACGUAAUUGCAACCAGAAACGGAAAACCGGUUGAUUCUAGCCCUAAACAGAGUUCUUGAACUAUCUUGUCUACAACGGGUUGGCUACCGAAAGCGCAGAACACAACCUAACCGUGGUUGAAUUUGGCUAGCCACUCCACCCAUUGAGGCUCUAAGGAGGGCUGAUUAGGUUGGGAUCCAGGGAGAACCGGUCCGGGUCCGGUUAGGUAACCCGGUUUGCUGUAUUGGCUACUGAUGUCACAGAAUUUUCAUUCUCAUUGCGGUAACUUUCCCGUCAAGGAAAGAACCAAUCCCCUCCGCGCACGCAAGACGACUUUCGAGACGUCUUAGCUAACUCCUCCCCUCUCUCUCUCGGCGCUUUAGCAAUUUCCGUUAUCCAAUGGGCAGAGUCGUAGAAAACCAAGUCCGGUGUUGAUUGUACGGAAAAUUGUCUCAACCUCUGCCCGGGUUUGUGGCCUUUUUCAGCUAGUUUGUUAGUCAGAUGCAAAAAUGCAGUCAUGUGACCAAAACCAAACCAUGGAACAUAAAAGCAUGAAACUUUGACACCAUAUCUGUUCUUUUGUUCUUCUGCUUUGUCUUCUGAACUUCUUCUUAGAGUUUAUAUGUUUCUGUUUAUGAGAGUACUGGUAUGAAUUGAAUGAUUCAAUUGUAUUACGAAUAUGUCAAAUCUUUAGUUUUGAUUACUUUACUAUCUAUAUUUAAGUUGUUUAUAAUCUGUAGUUUCCUUUUGUUAUUUAAUUUCCAGAAAUUACUCCCUAAAAUCUAUGGUAUAUGUCUACAAAAUUAACUGCAAUAAUUAUUAGCUUCUGGAAGCUUUAUUUACAUUCAACGUUGUUUCUAAUAUGCCAACGACUGCCAAGUAUACAAUUGCAAAGAAUUAAUUAAUUUAUUUUUGGUAGGAAAGAAUUGAUUAACUUAUGUAAUUUCCCCUUUUUAUUCUCAUUUUUUUCUUCAUAAAAUAUACUAUCAUGCGAAAGAAAAUAAAAAUUGGAAUAUAAUUCUUAACAUCAAAUGUUGAAAAACUUUUAAAAGCACACUGUUUUACAAUAUAGACAAAGAAUGUCAAACAUAAAUGUGAAUAGUUAUAACUAGUCCUACCUUGGGCAUAAGUCUAUUGAACAAACAUAAAGAGCAGAUUGUUCUUUUGUACCCCUAACGAAGAAGGGGAACUUGCAACGAAAUCCACAACGGGCGCAAGAAGGUCGAGUAGCACCAUUGUUAGGAUGUAUCUCCAUCUCAGGGUUUUGGUGUCCUAGCUUCAUAUAAUAUAAAUCUCCAAGUACACAAUCAAUAUGGAGACUUAGCCCACACUCAUCACAAGUAUAGUAACGUACGCUCGGAUCUGUCUUCGUCUCACAAAUAUCACACCACAAGUCACCACUUGCGUUUCCCACACCUUGACAUAGUGACAGAAAAUGAUCAUCACACCUGUGUUUUACCUUUCUUGGUAAAGUAGCGCACCUCAUGCAUAAAGAGUAUUCAUCACAGACCGUACAAUUUAAGGGAUCAUCUUUUAUUUCUUUGUUACAAGCUUGACAUCGUCUAGAACUUUGCAAGGUAAAAUAUAAGGGAUGUUGAUGUAAAUCAUGGUGAAACGGUUCCGAUACCGAACUACAUCGAACAUCAUAGGCGUUCUUAUUUUCGCAAUCUUCAUGAAGACACUCGUAUAUGAAACCAUCUGUAUAGAUUCGACAAGCACUACACUCAAGAAAAUUAUCUUCAUCAAUACGCCUAGAUGAAAGAGUGAGUUUAUGGUUGUGCAAUAAAUGUCGCCUCUUCCGAGGAAGAUUAGCACACGCUUUAUGAAGGAUGAAAUCACAUUCCAUGCAUUUGUAGCAUGGAUCACCAUUGAUAGCAAGAAUGCAACACCGACAGCGCAUGUUAGCAUCAUCCGUAACAUAAUUCUCAUCCAAUCUGAGAAUAUGCUUUUCAUGACUAAAAUGAACAAUAUCUCCCUUUUCAUUAAUUACCUUGAAUGGAUCUUUGAUUUCUUCUUCUUCUUCGGGCACAUCUUCGAGCUCUAACCCAUCCCACACUUCUUUUUUUGUUGCACAUUUUGAAUGAACGGCAUAACUAGGACAACGAGAGCAUUUAUAGCCUCCAUAGACCCAAUUAAUCAUCUUUCGACAAACUCCACACUCCCAAUCUCCUUCUUUUUCACCAAGAUGAAAAGUAUGAGAUAUGCGAUGGUCAUGCCGAUUUAUGCUUAUGACUCGCGGUAGAUUCUCAACACAAUCUUUGUGGACCAUCAGAUUGCAUUCAAGACAUACGUAAGGAUUGCGGUCGCCUUCCACACCACAAGCAUUACAAGUAAAGGUGACUAGCCUUAGCAGGAGACUGAGGCUAUGCUUGUGGUGUUUUGGUUCAGAAAUUGUGAGUGGUGGUGGCUCCGCCACACAUCCUAUAUGCAGGCUUAUGUUGCAUAUCGUGCAACGAAGAAACAUAUGAUGAACCUCAAAUCGACAAAAAUGACAAAGGUCGUCAACUAUACUGUCAAGUGGUGAGAUAGUGCUAACAAAGAUCUUGAGAAUGUGAUUGCAUAUAAAUGGCUGAUUGAAUAAGCGGUCAACGCAGUCUUUGUGCAUCAUAAUGUCGCACUCCUUGCAAUGAUAGUUGAUGUUAUUGGAUAUUCGCAGGGCCGGUCCGUGGUAUUCAGAUGUCCUAUACCACCAAAAAAAGCCAUGCUCUUUAAAAAAUUUUCUUUUUUGUAAUAUCAUAAAUAAUAUUAAUACAAAAUUGUCAUACUGAAACUUAAAAAACAGUGAUUAAUUCAAUAAGCAGUUUAUAAAGAAAGAAAAAAAUGGUAAAAUCACAAAUAAUAUUAAUAUACCUUAGUAAGCUUGAAUCAAUGGAAAAAUAAAAUUUUGUAAGCGUUUAGGAUAUUAUUUUAUUUUAAAACCAAAAUUUUACUAAUAAAAUUUGUUAACAACACAUUUUACUAUAAUUUUAUUAACUGAAAUGCUAAACCCCAAUGUAUGGUAAAAUAAACCCCAACAAAUUAAAAAAAACACUUAAAAUUUUGUAUAUGAAUAUGAAAUUAUAUUUAAAAAUUCUAAAACUUAACAAUUAUUUUUGAAAAGUUAUAUUUUAAAAUUCAACAAAUUCAAAUUAAAAAAAAAAACCUCGCCAAUAAAUUCAAAAAAUUUAAAAAAACUUAGAAAAUUUUGUUUUAACAUAUAAGACCUAAAUUUUCUUAAAACAAAUAUGCCUUUUAUAAUUUUAUUACCUAAACCAUGGCUCCACUUCAUUCUGCCAUACGCCGGACCUGAAUACUUGCCAACUGAGGGAAUGAUAAUGAGAGCACAAUGAGCAGUAAAAUUCAGCAGCAACAGGAUCAUCACAACAUGAUAAAGGAUGAUCAUGAAACGGAAAGGUGACUACUUCGACAUCAGUAGAAGACAUUUUUUUCUAAUAAAAAUUAUAAGAACAAAAAGAGAGAAAGCAGUUGAGUUUCAGUUUCAUUGGAACUCAUUUAAUGGUAAUUGGCGCAUACUGCCAGCUAAUCGAAAAUAAAAAAUAAACAAACCAACUAAUAGUAAUAACAAUAAGAUAUGACCUCAGUCCCCAGUCAUUUAAAUACGAUCUAGACAGAGUUGUAAUGUGCCAAAGUCGUCGCAUUCUUAAGAAUUCUUCUUCUUUAUUUUUAUUUAUUGUCGACAUCGUGCCUACAACUUCAGAUUACCAAAGUCGUCGCCUCUUGUUCAGAAUUUUAAAAAAAAAAAUAAAAAAAUACCAAACUGAAAUAUUUUUUUUUUCUUUUUUUUUAAAUUUUAAAUUUCCAUUAAAAGAGAAAUAUACAAUGCCAAAUGGCUAAAAAGGCUCGCAGGCCUGAACAUUACACGGCAAAAGCCCAACACAGGUUCGUAGGCCCCAAAAGAAACAGAGGAAGAGAAGAAGGAGAAAAGGAAACAGAGACUUACCCGAACAACCUAAACCAGGUUGAGAGAACUGAAGAUCCCGGUCUGGCUAACCGCUGGGCUCUAGCGAUCGGAUCUAGGCGAGCUUUCAAGAUAACCAAAUUGAAAUAAUUUAAUUAUCUGGUUUAAUUUAUAGCUGAUGAUGGCGAUCUGUCGACAUUUUGGUAGAUCUAUCUACGAAUCUCCCUUGCAAACAUUCUGAUUUUUGAGUAGGGAAGAUUUGACUUUCAAAUAUUUUUGAGUAGGGAAGAUUUAACUCUUAUCGAUUUUCAAAAAAAUUAUACGUGUUUUUGCCACUGUCCACAAACACACCGUUAACGAACGGUUGUGGUUAGAUACGAUAUGCACCAAUCAUAAAUAAUCGUUACAUCUCAUUUCAUAAAUGUUUAUAACACAUUGAAAUUAUUAAAAUGAACUCAUGACUUCACAAGUUCAAUUAAAUUUUGUUCAAACUUAUCAAUAUAACCAUCUGAAAAACCAGAGUCAGUCAAAACACAUCUCCACUUGUCAUGAUUCUUCCUCACUUUCUCACCGAUCUCACUACCUUCCUCCAUCACACUCUUCACAGCAUUCUCCAAGCUUUGCCGCGAGAACCACCCUUUCUUUUCCCUCUCCACUUCAACCGCCACCUCCAUCUCCUCCGUCAUCAGCCUUGCGUUCAAAAUCUGUUCUCCGUGCUGCGGAACCAAAACGAUCUGACAAUCACUCAUCAACGACUCCCACAUCGACCCAAACCCGCAAUGGCUAACAAAACAACCCACUGAAGGAUGGUUCAACACCAACGGUUGCUGAAUCCAACCUCCAAACACAACGCCACGUCCUUGAACCCUCUCUUUGAAUCCUUCCGGUAAGGCUUCCUCGACGGUUGAUACACCCGAAGGAGGCUUAAUGGCAACCAGAAACGGAAAACCAGUUGAUUCUAGACCUAAACAGAGUUCUUGAAACUGAUCUAUCUUGUUUACAACGGGUUGGCUACCGAAAGCGCAGAACACAACCGAACCGUGGUUGAAUUUGGCUAGCCACUCCGCCCAUUGAGGAUCUAAGGAGGGCUGAUUAGGUUGGGAUCCAGGGAGAACCGGUCCUGUUAGGUAAACCGGUUUACUGUACUGCCUACUUAUGUAAUCGCAGAAUUUGCCUUCUGUCUCACGGCAAGUCCUUAUAGCGAUUGCGUCGCAGUUUCUCAUCGCGGUAACUUUCCCAUCAAAGAAAGAGCCAAUCGCCUCGUGCUUCCUCCACACGAAACUCAGGGAUUUUGCUUCGUGCGGACGUAAGACUACUUUCGAAGAUGGGUAACCUAGAGGCGUCUUAGCUAACUCCUCCCCUGACAUUUCCUUGCCAUCAAUGACCUCUCUCUCCGCAGAAGGGACAAGAGACAGUGCGAUUGACGCAGCGCUAACGAUGUUGAAGCAAACGGUUUUAGCACCGAUCGGUUUAGCAAUUUCCGGUAUCCAAUGGGCAGAAUCAUAGAAAACCAAGUCCGGUUUGAUUGUACGGAAAAUGGUCUCGACCUCUGGCCGGGUUUGGUCCAUUGCAACUGCAAGCAAAUGUGUCAAGAAGAAAGGGACGUCGGAGUUUGUCUCCGCACCCGGAGGGAGCCCUUUGACCUGAGGGAUAGAGAUGGUGUGGAAAGUGAUGAGAUUUGGGUAGAGAUUAAGAGGUUCAAGCUGGUUUAGUGCUUUCUUGGGAAGCAAGAAAACAAUCUUGUGACCUUUCUCUGCGAGCUUGUUGGAUAGGUGAAGAAAAGGAGUCAUGUGACCAAAGGCUAACCACGGAUACAUCACAAUACUCAUGCUUGACGAUUCAUUCGAUCCAAAAACACCCAUUUUCUUGGACUCUCUUGUAUUUCACUUUAACUACCGGAAGAUCCUUAUUAGACUUUUUUUGUUCUCUUUUGUUAAUUUCUAAGUUGUGUGUUGGAUGUGUAUAAAUACAUAAACCUUUAACGGAUCAGAUUGGUGAGUGUCCUGAUGAAUGGUGUGUGGUUAUUGGGUAACCAAAUGACCGGGCAAGUGUAACCUCCUGGUAAGUGCAAACACGUGAUGGUAUCGUAACAUCAACAAAAGCAAAACCAGACUUCACGUGGUAAUUGAUGGGCCUGAAAUAUUCGGCCCCCUUUUUAAGCAAAUUAAUAGACUCUAUUUAAAAGUCGUUAUUUGUUCGUUACGCUUAAUAAUCCCACAGUCAACGUUUUAUGUCUUAAUUCAAAGGUUGUUUACGAACGAUUGUCAAAGUGGUAACUCUCGUAAUUAAUAUAACGUUUCUUUACAUAUUACCCCUAUAAAUUGUUUGUUUAUUUUGAUACCAAAAGCAUCACAAUUAAACAGUCGACUAAUCUUCAUAGAAAACAAAAGAAAAGAUCACUAGAGUCACUAUGGAAGGUAAGAUCCAAGCUCUUCUCUCGACGAUUCUAGUUGUGACUUUGUGUGCCACUACUUUAGUGAAGCCCGGGCUAGCUCAACUCCCUACCAGUGCUGGGUUUUCUCUACCCGGCUCCCAAGUUGAUCUCGCAAAAUGUUGGUCAUCGCUCCUCAACAUUCACGGUUGCAAUAUCGAAAUCUUUAAAUCUGUUUUAACCGGUAAGUUUGAAAACGUUGGAUCCACGUGCUGCAAGGCUUUUACAGAAGUGGAUGCAAAGUGUUGGCCAAAAAUGUUUCCGUUGAAUCCAUUAUUCCCUCCUCUUCUCAAGGAUGGUUGCUCUCGCAUCAUCUCAGGUGCACCAGCACACAAGACACCGCAAUUCCCUGUCAUCCCUGGUUCUCCGAUCGAUCUCACAAAAUGUUUGUCAUCACUUGUCAACGUUCAAGGUUGUGUAACUGAAAUCUACAAAUCAGUUUUCACAGGAAAGUGUGAUAACGUAGGAUUUAUGUGCUGCAAGGCGUUUAUGGCUGUGGAUGCAAAAUGUUGGCCAAAAAUGUUUCCACUAAAUCCGUUCUUCCCUCCUCUCCUCAAAAAUGUAUGUUCUCGCAUCAACACAUCUGCUCCUACACACAAGUGAAGUAGCUAUGGGACCAUCAUUCACAAUGUUUUAAUUUAGGCUCAUUAAAUUCAUGAAUUAUCCCUAUUCCAAAUGUUGGCGGAUGUUGUUUUGUUCUACCUAUAUUAUUUUCUACAAUGCUAUAAAGAAAUUCAAAUUUCGACACACUUUUUAUUGUUUCUUCAAGACUCUUUCUUUCAACUUAGACUGGACUAUCACUUAGCCUAGAGAAAUAGUUAAGGUUAAUAGCUUUUCAAACUUUCUAAUUGAUGGAGGUUUAUAAUUUUGGUAAUAAACCUUUCCAAAAAUAGGCGUAUGCCGAUUAAAUGCAGAGAAGACACGGUAUUCUUUAGUAAAAGGCGAAAGAAUAGCUCGCUUUGUCUUCACUGCUCGGCUCCGUGAAUAUUAAAGAAAUGCUCUCGAUCUUUAUUUAUAGUAGACUUUAGUCACUGUUCCUGAAUAUUGUAACCGAUGUGGGACAUUACAAGAAAACAAACUAAUCCAUGGGUCAUUAAUUUAGCGGGAUAUGGGCCAUUCGCCAAAGCUUGUUUAUUUGUAAGCCCAUGCCAAAUGGGCGAUUUCCUUAAACCGAAGAUUUCUUCUAAAUCUAAACCGAAUGGUUAUCUGGUUAAACCGGCGGUAUCUCACUGAGUUCGUACGAUCAAACCGGGGAAUUAGGAAUCUUCGUUUCAAAUCAAUUGUGCGAUUUUCUGUUCUGCAGAUUCUGUGUUUGGGGUUUUCAAAUUCGAGCGAGAACUCCUGAAUCGUUUGAUUCAAGUUUCGAAUGAAAUUUUUUGUCAUCUUCCUCGGUAGAUCAAGCUAAUUGAUCACUAUGAGAAUGAAGUUUCAACAGAUUGCGUCAUGGAGUAAUGGGAGCUUCAAGCUCGAAAAGGCCCUUCCUUUCGAUAAUCCCAGGUGGUCCUGAGGAUGUGGUUUACCAUGGGGAUGCAAUACCCGAUGGGACGGUAAACUUCAACAACGUAGAGUAUAUAGCUCGUGUUGGUUGGGUGUUUGGGUUACUUAUGCUGAGAAAGUGCCUCUCUGGAAUCCUAAAACUGGUAAGCCUACAGAUUUUAGUACCAGUUUCUCCUUUAAGAUUGAUACCCGUAACCUUUAGAAUUACGGUCAUGGGAUCUGCUUCUUUCUUGCUCCUUUGCGGAUUCAACUUCCUGUGAACUCAGCUGGUGAUUUCUUGGGUCUUUUUUUCUCGAAUCGAGAGCUACGCAUCUUCGUUUCCGCUGGUUCAUAUCGAGUUUGACUCAUUCAAUAACCAAGAAUGGGAUCCUACCACUGUUGGAUCUCAUGUGGGAAUCAAUAAUAACUCUCUUGUUUCGUCUAACUACACUUCUUGGAAUGCAAGCUCACAUAUCCAAGAUGUUGGUCAUGCACAUAUCUCCUAUGACUCUGUUACUAAGAAUUUGAGUGCGUCUUGGGCUUAUGAAUUAACCUCUGAUCCUCAGGAGAGUUUAGGCAUUUCCUAUAUCAUUGAUCUUGCAAAGGUUUUGCCACCACAUGUUACGGUCGGGUUUUCAGCCGCUACUGGAUCGGUCACAGAGGGACAUAAGCUUUUAUCAUGGGAGUUCAUCUCAAGUUUGGAUAUUGAGGUUUGUUUAUAAGGAUCUUGUUUUAGCUACCAACAGAUUCUCAGCCCAGAGGAAGCUUGGUGAAGGAGGGUUUGGGGCAGUUUAUAGAUGGUACUUGAACGAAAUAGAUAUGAUGGUUGCUGUGAAGAAAUUGUCUGGUGGUUCCAAGCAGUGAAAGAAAGAGUUUGUAACCGAAGUUAAGAUCAUUAGCAAACUGCGUCAUCGAAACCUGGUGCAGCCCAUUGUGUUGGUGUAAUGAAAAAGAUGAGUAUUUGCUUAUAUAGGAGUUCAUGCCGAAUGGUAGCUUGGACACUCACCUCUUUGAGAAAAGACCCCUUAUCUCACCUAGGACACACAGAUCUUCACGGAGAGGGAGAUCGGUGUGUGUUGCAUAGGGACAUCAAGGCAAGCAAUAUCAUGUUGGACAUCAAUUUCAAUGUAAAAGUAGGUGACUUUGGGCUGGCUCGAUUGAUGGACCAUGAACUAGGCUCACAUACAAUAGCGCUAGCAGGAAAUUACAUAAUUGUCAAAGACUUUUGUCUGUGUGUGGACAUGUGUAGGGCAAGUGAACCACGUUUUAUUGAAAUUCAAAUUCAAGAUAAUCCAAUCAAGUUUGACAAAAGAGAAACAAAAAGAUAGGGCAAAAAAAGCCAGCACUUAACUAGGAUAUGAAAUCCAAAACAUAAAUAGUCAAAAACAGAAAAGAAGAUAGGUGCAAGCGAGCUACACUGGAAUCAUUAAUGGAAGUACUGAAUACUGAAAAUUCAAAACAACGAACUUGUUGUCCAAGUGACUCCAGUAGAGUUUCAGAACAUCGCCUUCUGAGAGAUCUAACGAAUGCUUCAUAGUACUCCAACCAGUACCGAAAUAAUAUUUAGGUUUAUCGAUACCUGAUACUUUGAGCGUAACUGUGUAUAAGUCGUCUUCCAUUAUGUCGUCGACUUGCACUUCAACACCGUUUAGCAAAUCUUGGUCGUUAACAUUCAUCCUCGUGAGGACAGACAUCACUUCUGCUUUCGGUAAUACCACAUUACCAACGAUAUCACUCUUUGAUAGCACUUUUGUUAUGAUCAUAGCCGGUUCCAAUGGAUCGUUGUAAUUCAUCUUGCUUAAUUUUUUUUAUAUUUCUUACGUUCUCUAUUCAAACAUAUAUAUAGGAGAUUUAGCCUAAGAAAAAAGGUAAAAUACAAAAGAGAAAAAAUCAGAACUCUUUUUGAAACAAAUUAGAAAAUUGUCUAAAUAUCUAGAUUUCUCUUAAUAUGGAAUUGGAAAGUAAACUUUUUGCAAAAUAUUAGAUUUAGAUAACUUUCACUUGGUAAAUUGAGAAUAAAGUUUUGUGCAAAUUAUUGAUUUAGAUCAUUUCCAUUUCUAUUCUCAAUCUCUUUUUGAGCGUUCCAACCAAUUACAUUGCUGCCCCGAACCAAUAUAAUAUUUACAAUAGUAUCAUAGCCGGCUCCAAUGGAUCGUUGUAAUCCAUUAUGGACCGCCCAACUUCAGCCCACAAAAGAAAUUGUCCACACGAAAACGCUCAAUAAUCUAUAAACGGACCAUUUGACAUAUUUAAGUGUUUUGCAAGCCCAAAGUAAUCAUAUUCACUCAACAAAAAGUAUAAAAAAUCUGAAAUUUAAUUUAGGUCGUUGCUAAGCUUGUUGUAGGGUACGUACGUUUGGGAGCAUUUUAAUUAGAAUAAGAUUAGAAAUUUAGAAUAGUUUUAAUCCUCCGAAACUUUUUGUAGUACGGACUUUUGGGAGCAUUUUUAUGAGUCGUGCCAAUCUUGCAAAAGGACCCAUGCAGAGCAACAAAUUUGGUUGUGGCAUGUCGGUUAGGUAGCCCAAAAGCUUCAUUUUAUAUUAGUUAUAAACUUUGCUGUUAUAUAGUUAGUAAAGUUUAGUCAGUAAAGUAGACUGUUACUUCUUUUAGUACUUUGAAUACAUCUUAUUUACUACAAUGUUAACAGUCAACAUGGUAUAAAUUCUAUUCCAUGUUUUGUUUCAAAGGUUGACAUAACGGACGAAUUUUAAAAUGUAACUAUUGUAAUAAACAGUAAUGAGUAUUAACUUGAGUUACUCUAUACAAUUGUUUGUUUCUUGUGAUAACCAAAGCCAUCACAAUCAAACAUUUCACUCUUAAAACAAGGAAACAGUAAGUGCAAUGGAAGGUAGGAUCCAAGUGCUUCUCUCGCAACGAUUGUUUGGUUGAUUCUCGUAAAAAUGUGAGUAUAUGAAAGAGGAAGUUAGACCGAUGCAAUGGUUGCAAUGUGAGCAUAGUCGAAUUUCACCUGCCAUGGUGUUUCUUCCUUUUUCAUCUUCCCACCGGAUUCACUCAAGGCUCGUCGUUUAAUCCAUUAUCGCCUAUGUAACCGUCGCUUCUUCACCUGCGGCCACAACCAAUGCAACCGCUAUAACAAGUUUGUUUUUGAUCUCUUUAUCGACCAUUAAGUCUCUUUAUAUAUUCCUUAAAACUCUAUAUUGCAUUUUGAUUUUCUAGUGCGUAUAACAUUGACGUUACAGUAAAAAUUUCUAGUUUUAAUAUUCACAAGCAUGGCUGCUAUUUCAAUUCAAUAUAAGUUUUAUCAUCGUCUACAAUAAUAUAUGAAUUUUAUCAUCAUAUAGAAGAAUAACAGAGCUCUGAUCACAGACUCACAGCCCUGUAACUCUAGCUAACAAAAUUAUCUUUUAACUCUCUUCUUUAUUAAAAAAAAAGCACUUGCAUAGUAGCAUUUUAACUGAUGUAUAUGCUUUCCCUAAGCGACACUUGUCCUCAUGCAUGAAAUCAAAUUCAAUGGACGACCGAUUCAUCUUGACCGACCACAAAGAUCCAACGGCUAGCUGGAGAUAUACAGGUGUUAAUAAAUUGUUAUAUUCCAAAAAAAUGGGUUAUAAUGUGGCAGCUUUUUGAUAGUAACACUGAUGUAUUUCUUACAAUAAACGACCAAAAAGUUAAUACAAGAAAUAGAAACGGUGUAGGAAGCUACUAUGACGGCAAUUCCAAACGUCGUCGAUAUUGAAUCUUCUUCCUCUUCGCUUUGUCAAGAGACGGCAACGGAGACCGUCACCGUUGAAAGAGGCUCGUCUGAUUCAUCUUCAAAGCCAGACGACGUCGUUUUACUAAUCAAGGAAGAGGAGGAUGACGCCGUUAACUUGUCACUUGGUUUUUGGAAAUUGCACGAGAUAGGUUUAAUAACACCGUUCUUGAGAAAGACGUUUGAGAUCGUCGAUGACAAAGUAACAGACCCGGUUGUAUCAUGGAGCCCGACCCGUAAAAGCUUUAUCAUUUGGGAUUCUUACGAGUUCUCAGAGAAUCUACUUCCCAAAUACUUCAAGCACAAGAACUUCUCCAGUUUUAUUCGUCAGCUUAACUCUUACGUAAGCACAGAACAAGUUUUUACUCUUUAGCUAUGUUUCUUGCUUUACAAGCUUUGUAAAAACUAGAGUUUUUUUGUAGGGUUUUAAAAAGGUCGAUUCAGAUAGGUGGGAAUUUGCUAACGAAGGGUUUCAAGGAGGGAAGAAACAUUUGCUUAAGAACAUCAAGAGGAGAAGCAAAAACACUAAAUGUUGUAACAAGGAAGCGAGUACCACCACGACAGAGACUGAGGUUGAGUCAUUGAAGGAGGAACAGAGUCCAAUGAGAUUGGAGAUGUUGAAGCUGAAACAACAACAAGAAGAAUCUCAACAUCAGAUGGUCACUGUGCAGGAGAAGAUCCACGGAGUUGAUACCGAACAACAGCAUAUGCUUAGUUUCUUUGCAAAGUUGGCUAAAGAUCAAAGAUUUGUAGAGAGACUGGUGAAGAAGAGAAAGAUGAAAAUACAGAGAGAGCUAGAAGCAGCUGAAUUCGUGAAGAAGCUCAAGUUGCUUCAGGAUCAAGAAACUCAAAAGAACUUGUUAGAUGUAGAAAGAGAAUUUAUGGCCAUGGCUGCAACAGAACACAAUCCCGAGCCUGACAUUUUGGUGAACAAUCAAAGCGGGAAUACGAGAUGUCAGCUUAACUCAGAGGACCUACUUGUUGACGGUGGCUCAAUGGAUGUAAAUGGGAGGAUAGAGAUAGAGUAGAGCAAAACCGGUAACAUAGCAAUAGAGAAGGUACCAAAUCCCAAGGCUUGAGAUCCGAAUCCGUAGCGCUUUGUUGUAUGGUUUCAUGUGUAUAUAAGCGAAAGGGACUUGUAAAAAGCGACUCAAGGACUUGUAAAAAAGUGUAGCUCUAGUGAAAAGGGACUUGUAAAAAAGUGUAGCUCUGGUUAACUGUUGCCAUCGCCUUCCAUUACUAAUAAUUUUUUAACUAGCGAGUAGUGACUUGUAGCAUAAAAUAGAAGAAAUUCAUUCAAAGUUUUGAGGGUGAAAAAAUAAAAGAACCUGUCAGACCGCCGUGCGACCACCCCGGCAAGGUAGAACCGAGCCGAGUAACGAUCCUCUACAGCACCGGAUGCGUCCGAGGACGAUCGUAGCCGUCAAUCACGCUCUAGCCGCACGGUCAUGGUUCAUCAACCAGGGUUAAGGGCCUGUCUCUUGAGAAAUCAAGGAAACAGAGGUACGAGCCUAUAGAACAGAUCCUGUUCAAGUAAGGUCGUGACCAAUGGUGCUUUGUAGCCAUAUAUAAAGCAGUUAUUUCUUCACUCGCUUACCGAUGUGGGACGCAAAAUUCGUAAGAAAAAAGAAAUCAUAAGCUUAUGGGCCUAAUUGUAUACAAAACCCAUAUAUGUUCAAGCCCAAUAGUUAGAGAUUAUGGUUUUGUUAGGAAAAAGAGUUUUAAAUUCAGACGUCAUUUCUUCUUCCUCUUUGAUCAGUAUGCCACGUCAUCAUCAUUCCUCCACGUUAUUAAAUAUAUGUAUCGAUCAUCGUCUCUCUCUUUAACAAGCUCCUCUCUCUGAUGUGAAGAAGCCAUGGAAGAGAAGAAGAAGGAGCUUGAAGAGUUGAAGUAUCAAUCAGGUUUUGGUAACCACUUCUCAUCGGAAGCAAUCGCCGGAGCUUUACCGUUAGAUCAGAACAGUCCUCUUCUUUGUCCUUACGGUCUUUACGCCGAACAGAUCUCCGGUACUUCUUUCACUUCUCCUCGCAAGCUCAAUCAAAGAAGGUACAUCAUCAUUUCAAUUGUAAGUUUUGGAUAAUUUCGUUGAAUUGAUUGAUCUUCAUCUUGUUUUUUUUUUCAGUUGGUUGUACCGGGUUAAACCAUCGGUUACACAUGAACCGUUCAAGCCUCGUGUACCAGCUCAUAAGAAGCUUGUGAGUGAGUUUGAUGCAUCAAAUAGUCGUACGAAUCCGACUCAGCUUCGGUGGAGACCUGAGGAUAUUCCUGAUUCGGAGAUUGAUUUCGUUGAUGGGUUAUUUACCAUUUGUGGAGCUGGAAGCUCGUUUCUUCGCCAUGGCUUCGCUAUUCACAUGUAAAAAACUCUUCUUUUUAUUUUGGUAUCUUUGGUGUAGAUCAGUGAUACAUAAAGUAAUGAUCUUUUGUAUUCAUUUUGUUUUGAAGGUAUGUGGCUAACACAGGAAUGAAAGACUCCGCAUUUUGCAACGCUGAUGGUGACUUCUUGUUAGUUCCUCAAACAGGAAGUAAGUUAGUAGUCCCAAUGCCUUACCUUACCACAUCUUUGGGAAAUAAAGUCAGUCAUGUAUUGAGAAUGGAUUCAAGAUAGUCUUGGAUCAGUUCUGAUAGUUUGAGUGGGUGUUUUAGGGCUAUGGAUUGAAACUGAGUGUGGAAGGCUUUUGGUAACUCCUGGUGAGAUUGCUGUUAUACCACAAGGUUUCCGUUUCUCCAUAGAUUUACCGGAUGGGAAGUCUCGUGGUUAUGUUGCUGAAAUCUAUGGGGCUCAUUUUCAGCUUCCUGAUCUUGGACCAAUAGGUACUCUUGAGUUCUUUUAGAUUCAGCCGGAAUAACAUGGAUUCUCCGCAAGAAUCUUAUUGGUGGAUGUGGACAGGUGCUAAUGGUCUUGCUGCAUCAAGAGAUUUUCUUGCACCAACAGCAUGGUUUGAGGAUGGAUUGCGGCCUGAAUACACAAUUGUUCAGAAGUUUGGCGGUGAACUCUUUACUGCUAAACAAGAUUUCUCUCCAUUCAAUGUGGUUGCCUGGCAUGGCAAUUACGUGCCUUAUAAGGUGAGUACAUUGUUUAUUGAGCCUAAUCUUGUAAAACGUUAAUGCAUUGUUUUUCUGAGAAUUUCAAUUUCUGUCUGCAGUAUGACCUGAAGAAGUUCUGUCCAUACAACACUGUGCUUUUAGAUCAUGGAGAUCCAUCUAUAAAUACAGGUUGGUGGUCAUCUGCGCUAAAUCGAUUCUUCUUUUUGUUUUGUUAUGGGUUGGUUACUUGUUCUUUAUUGUAAUCACACUCUUUGGGUGAAUUAUUGUACUCUCAGUCCUUACAGCACCAACUGAUAAACCUGGUGUGGCCUUGCUUGAUUUUGUCAUAUUUCCUCCUCGAUGGUUGGUUGCUGAGCAUACUUUUCGACCUCCUUACUAUCAUCGUAACUGCAUGAGUGAAUUUAUGGGCUUAAUCUACGGUGCAUACGAGGUAAGCUGCUUGAAGUUCCUGCUUCUGCAAAUCAUUAGCUGGCUUGUGUUAUCCUCCUACUGAAAUCUGUAAACUGACUCCACCAUUCACAGGCGAAAGCUGAUGGAUUUCUCCCUGGCGGUGCAAGUCUUCAUAGCUGUAUGACACCUCAUGGUCCAGAUACUACCACGUACGAGGUAUCAAUCCAUCUUAUGCACAGCAGCAACUACACGUUUGAUUUCAUUUUCCUCCGAGAUCAUGUCUAAAUCUAACCCCUGAAUGUAAAAUUAAGUCUGAAGCAUUUUUAUAAUUGUUUUGUAGGCGACAAUUGCUCGAGUAAAUGCAAUGGCUCCUUCUAAACUCACAGGUACGAUGGCUUUCAUGUUCGAAUCAGCAUUGAUCCCUAGAGUCUGUCAUUGGGCUCUGGAGUCUCCUUUCCUGGAUCACGACUACUACCAGUGUUGGAUUGGCCUCAAGUCUCAUUUCUCGCGCAUAAGCUUGGACAAGACAAAUGUUGAAUCAACAGAGAAAGAACCAGGAGCUUCGGAGUAAAGAACACAUAAUUCACCUGCACCACUUUCAAUACCCAAGCUGUACAGACUUUUCACCAUAUACUUGUAUAAGAAAGAAGCAUAUAACAAGUACAUAUGUAAUAAUAAGUAGGUAAUGUUUCUUCAUGUCACUUUAAAUACACUAUUUGUACUCUGAAGCUAAUAUAACGGUGUUGGUUUAGAUACUAAUGAAUAUAACUGUGCCAUUUAGAUUCAGGCCACAACAUCAGUCAGUUUCACUUUCAUCUUCAUGAUGCCUACUUGCACUAAGAUCUCUUUCUUCGAAUGUUCUACCUUCAAAACGGUCGCUUUUUUACCAAGAGAAGAAACAAACACCGAGCUACCGACUUCAGGAACCUUUUGAGCCGCAGCUUCUGUUAAUGCAGAAACAUGGUUCAGUUUCAAAGAUCAUAACCAGAUAGUAGCUAUCUUUUAAAGGGCUUAAGCUUAUUUCAAUACCAGGAAGUGGUCGUCUCUCUACCACAGAUGAUGAACGAAUUCCAUUAUCUUCAUCCUUCGUCGUUUUGACUUUUGUUUGGAGUUGCGUAGCUACCUUUGACUGAGAAGAUUUUCCAGCAGAUGAGCGAAACUGUUGCAAUGUUCUGCGAAGUGUAGAACGAGUCAUCGAACCAGCCUGAGUUAGUUCUUGUCUCAUUUUUCGUCUCUCUUUGGUGGAAUGAUCGUUAAUGUUCUUUUGUGCUGUGAGUAGAUUCUCAUGAAGCUCUCUUGAGAGCCUAAAACCAAAAAAUGAAAAACAUGAAUAGAAUGCUCAUAAGAGAGGUCAAGAUUUACUGCUGUUAUAUAGAAUCUCACCUUAUAUAAACACGUGACUCAUUCAAAAGUCUCUGAUAUUCUUGCUUGUACCGUUCCAUGUCAAGUAUGACCUCAUUGAUCUCAGCACUUGCAGAGCCAUAGAGUUCACGAGCACUUUCGAUGAUAUCACAUGGAAGCCCCAACCUAUCGGCUAUGUUUAUUGCAUUCGACCGACCUGACAAGCAAUUUCAAACGUGGGUUGGUGAAUCAUGUUAACUCUGAUUCCGUUUUGGAGGUAAACAAAUCGAUCAUUAAAGAGCCUAGAUGAGCUUGUAGCUAAACCUGGUACUCCCCAUAGAAUUUUGUAAGUGGGUUUUAGGUUCAGGUCAUCAAACUCCAUGCAAGCAUUCUCAAAGGCGGAAUUGCUACAAUAGAUACAGAAAGAUAGAAACUGAAUACUCAUUAAAAACUUGGGUGAUCCAAGCAAAAUGUCAGGUACAGUUAAAAACCUGUAUUUAAGCGUCUUAAGCUCUCCAUGAUGUGUGGUUGCCAUCGUGAGUAAAGAACCGCUUUCUGCAAAAGAUUCGAGAAUUGCCAUCCCUAAUGCAGCUCCUUCAAGGGGAUUUGUUCCAGCUCCAACCUGUUAUUAGCAAGCAAGACUUUAACGCAGAUUCUUCCAAACAUAUGCUGACCUUAAAUCUCCUAAACUAUAUAAUUAACCAGUCUUUUAACUUACUUCAUCUAACAACACAAGUGAUCUGCUCGUUGAAUGCGAGAGAAUUUCCUGCAAGUUUACCAAUCAGAGUAAAAGAAACAUAAGUUGUAUAUAUAUCAAGAGAGUUACAUCUUCCAAACUAAUUUAAACAAUCAUUCCAAACCGAUAAAAGUUAAAUCAACGCUAAUAAUUUAUCUAAUCCCAUCAUGUUGGAAGAUUUAGCGAGUCCAAACUUCAAAGGAAUAAAGCGUUUUUGAGUCGUAGAAAAAGGGUACAUAAGGAAAACUCUGUUGGAAGUAAUAUCACUUUAUGAUAUAAAAGGUGUGACAACAACAGAGAACAGACUUACACUUAUUUGUUUCAAAUGACCAGAAAAGGUAGAAAGUGACUGCAGCAAAGAUUGUUCAUCACCAAUAUCAGCAUAAAUAUUGUCAAACCAAGGUAUGCGUGCAGAUUCAGUUGCUAGAACAUAAAGACCUACAAAAACCCUAACAAUCAUUUAUAUUGAUAUAAUAUUAAGUGACUGAAAUCUCUCUCUCCCCUAAGGGCUUUAUAUCUUUGGUGGAGUUUUUAACUAACCAAAGAUACUGUAAGUUUCAUGUCUUACCCGAUUUUGCCAUCAUCGCAGCGAGCCCAACUGAUUUCAAGCAAAUGGUUUUACCUCCUGUGUUUGGACCGGUAAUAACCAAAACUCUAGUGCCCUUAGAGAUCUGGAAAUCAGCCGGAAUUGGUGGAGCUCCUGAUAAUACAGUGUCUGCCUAUAAAUAUAACCAUGUAUAUAUUAACUUCAGCUAAAAUGCAUCAUCAAUCGACUCUAUGAUCAUAACAUCUGACGAACUUACUGUUUUAUGAAAUUUUACCGUCUCCCGCGUCUUUCUUAUGCCUUUCUUGUGUUGGUAAAGCAAUAGAGGAUGAUAACAUCUAGGUAGAUACAGCAACCAUUCUUUUUUAGAAAGCGGUUUCUCACUCGGUAAGUUAAUAUCCGGCGAGUUUUCUCCAGCAGACAAAGAUUCAACCUCAUCUUCAGGUGGCAAGUAUAUAUCAGGAUGUGCACCACCAUAUGCACGACUGUAAGUUGCUCGAGCGUUUAUCUAGCCAGAAAAGAAAAAAAAAAACUGUAAACCACAUGUUUGGAAGCUCAUGUUGCUGAGAUUUGUUUUACUGAGUUUUGCUUUAAUAGAAAGAGAAAUGAUUGGUAUUAAAGUAUAAUUACCACAUCCAGCUGAAUCGAGUAGCUCAACACCACCUCGAUUUGACAAAGACCAUCUUGCAUCUGUUUUGCUUGCAUCAAAAUGAACAAAAAUGUCAACAAGCAGAAAACAAUAAGAAGGAAAGUUACAGAAUUCUAACUUUAAAAAUUAAUACACUUUUCAUCAAAAUGAACAAAAAUGUCAACAAGCAGAAAACAAUAAGCAGAAAACAAUUACCUUUUCAGUUAACAUUGAAAGAAUCUCUGCCUCAGCCUUUGCAACUGAUGCUCUCGCACUUUGAAGGUCAUCAUUCAUAGACACCGCAGCUAUUGGCUCCGCCGCAGUCCCUCCACCUGAACCACUGAAACACAUAUUAUCUUCAAGAGAUAGAACUUGAAAAUAAACACUAAAAGAGAAGCAUAACUUCUCAAUAACUUGGAAAAUGGUAAUGAACUCUUGUUAAUAAAUCAUUGAUAAAUUGCAAACCAAAAUUCUGAAUCUUCUUUGGUAACUUAAAUCUAAAAAUUCAAGUUUACCUGGAAAGCAGAAGACCAUUAACAGAAGUUAGCUGAUUUGAGCUCAUUUGUAUACACCAUCUUCCAUCAAUUUCAGCCGCUAACUGGAAUUUUAUCUUCAAUAAUUAAUAAAACCAACUUCAGAAAAUGAAGAUUUAAGAGAAUCCUUACCAUGACAGAUUCGUCAUCCUUUUGGCUCCUUAUGAUAGCAUCCAGCAGUUGCUGCAGCUGAAAGGAGACAACAGGUAGUUUUCAGACAAUACUACUUCAAAAGAUAUCUUCAAUUCACAGUUACAAAGAAAAACUAACUUGACCUUUCUUUCAAGUGUCUGCACUCGUUCACGUGAUUGUCUCAGGGCACUACUCUGAAACAAUAAAGAUGAGUUCAACAUAAGGAUCAUACAUCUUGAUGACAAUGUAGUCAAAGUGAGAAAAAGAACAAACCGCGGAAUCUUUGAUUGUACCAUCAGGAUCUAUAACUUGUUCAACCAACUUGACAAAUGAUCUAUUAAUCACAGGGUGCACUAUCUGCAAACACAAAGUGAAUAUGAGGCCACCACAAUGUCCAAGUUAAAAAAAGCAUCAAAAAUUUGGAGAGAAAACUGCAAAUACCAAUUCAGAUAAAGGCAUAAACCGUUUGUACCAAUCUCCAUCUUGCUUAAUGGCAGCUUUCAAAUCAAGCUGCAAAUUUUCGAAGAACCUAAGAAGAGAAGCAACUUCAAGUGCUUGGUCUGCUCGUAAAGAAAGCCUCCUCUUAGCAUGACGAAUUCCCGAUUCAACCUUCACACAAAUCAGUAUUACAUCAAAAACUAUACAAUUUUCAUGCAAAGAUUAUCACUUCAGAGAUUGAAGAUGAUGAAACUUACGAGGGAGAUAUGAAUACUGGAGAGGUCAAGACAGAAGGAACCAUGUUCAAGCAUUUUAAUGGCGGCAUCAGUUUCAUCUAAAAGUUUCAAACUUUCACUGAAACUCUGGUCAAGAGACCAAAGCUUUUUCUGAAAACCAACAAUCUCUGUGUCAAUAUAAAACAGAGAAUCAACGGCUAAAGGAGAAAACCCAAUAGAAAAAUCAAACCUUUGUAGCUUCUCGGCCUAAAGAAGUACGAGCAAAAGAAGCGACAACAUCGCAGAGCUUGUCCCAUUCCAACACCCUCAAGCUAUCGGUUUGAGAUUUAGACUUUGAAUGGCAAACAAGAGUCGGAGAAGAAGACGAGAUUAAACUCAACUUUACUCUGUUUCUGUUUCCGAUAGAGUUUCUUCUUCUUAUCACUAGGGCACUGUUGCAGAAAGCUAUUGAUAAAGUCUGCAUUUUUGACCUCCCCCUUUUGGUUUCAGAGAAGAAUUGUAUCAAAUCCAAUUUCAAUGAAACCAAAAUUUCCCUAUUUCAUCAUAGUUUAUAACCUUAUUAUCUUCACAAAACGGGAAAGUUAAGAAUUAAUAACUUUACCAUAACUUGGAACUGAGGAAAAGAUGUUUUUAGGAGGUAACACAAAUCACAACAAGUCUAUUGUUUCAUUAACGUACGUAUGGUAACAAUAGCAAUACAACAGUGGUGCGAAACAUAUACAUAUUACAGAUUUGAUGCACAACAAUUUUGGGGUUUUGAGAAAUGAAAAUGUGAAAGAAUUAAAGGGUUACAAGAGGCUCUUCGUUGGUUUUGGUGUAAUUGGCUGCUACAACAGCCUCCUCUUGUUUUGGUGGCUCAGUCUCCUUAACAGUUUCGACGACAGCUUCUUCGGUCUUCACCACCUCUGGAGCUGCCUCAGCCUCAGCAGGCUUGGCUACCUCAGCCUCGGCAGGCUUGGCUACCUCAGCCUCGGCAGGCUUAGCUGCCUCGGCCUCGGCCGGUUUGGCUGCCUCAGCUUCCUUCGGUGUCUCUGCUACAUCUCCAGCAGACUCUUCCUUCUUUUCUGUGACAACUUCAUCUGCCUUCUCCUGUAAAUCAACAAAACAAUCACACAUCUUUCACCUAAAACAUAGACAAAAUGGAUAAAAACCGAUCAUUCUCUAAUGAACUUGUUCUACAAACCUGAGAUACGGUUUCAGUUUCGACGUUCUUGGACUCGACAACAGUCUUUUCGGUUUCAGGGAUAUCAGAUUCCUUAGGUUUGCUCGCACAGCCUCCCAUGGUGUUUAAUAGAAAGAAAUCGGUUUGAAACGAAAACAAAUUUACACAAUGGGAAGAACUGUGGAGCUAAAAGAUUCUGAUUCCUUUCAAGAAGCCAAAACUGUUUGUUUCUUUUUUCUCCUUAUUAGAGGCUGAGCAAAUGUAGGUGAAGACACAAAAGAGAUAUAUAUAGUGGUUCGUACCAACACAACACAACACAAAGCUAUUUCAGGAAAAGGGCUAAAAAUUUCAUGUCACCUUAGGUUCUUUAAGGCUCUUCUCUGUCAACGACCUAUUCAUCAGGAGAACAACCAAACCUUAUUCUCAACCGCUCUUGCGUUUUUGGUUUUAGCCAGAUACUCUUUCUGUGCCAAUUCGAUUCAAGACAAUAGCAACAAAAUAGCAAAAGCAAACAUAACAAAAUUUGGAUAUUGAUAUAAAGAUAACAAGAGCCAACACUUAGAAGACCAAAUCUGGUGCAAAAACUCUGUCAGAAAUUUGAGAUUAGAUCUGUUUUCUAGUUUGCAAAAUGGUUAUAUGGUAAGAUAACUGUUUCUCAUAUGAAGAAAUAAACAAACUGAAAAUGGCUAAAAAGCCUGGACAAAUCAAAAGAAUAGUUGUUCCCUAGGUUCAGCUACAUUAUAGCUUCUAUUCAAGUUUGGCAACAACCACGUUAGUAGAGGAUUCUACUCCAGAAGUUUCCCUGAAACCACUGUUGGGACCUUUGUUGACAACCCUUUGUACAUUCCUAAAGCUUGAGCGAUCAUGCUAGCAGGAUUGUCGACAUUACUCGGAAGCAGCAUUGUUGUACCCUAACAAGAACAAAAAAAUACAACUCUAUUAGAUAAAUCCCAAGGAAGGACGAGAUUAGAAAAGUAAAUGGGAUCAAGUAAAUGAUGUGUUUACCUCCUUAGCAAUUUUGCCAAAAGCUUGAAUGUAUUGCUCCGCAACUCUCAAACUCGCAGCCUGCAUAUCACACCACCAUUAAGCAUAUGAGGUUCUCUUUUGGAAAGCAAAAACAAAUAAACUUAAAGAGUCAACAUUUGCAAUUCCAAUAAACAACUCAAAUCUUUAUGCAGCAUCUAGAGGGAAUCAUUCAUUGCAUUCACAUGUGAAGGGUUAAGUAGCACUAACACAUCCAAAUUUGAUAAAACAGUAUUAACGCCUAAGUAAUAGUUAAUUCAUUGAUCUCAUAAUUCAGGAAAUCACCUCCUCUCCACCAGCUUCCUUGAGGGAUUGAGAUACCAUGGCCAGUCCCUUGGCUGUUGCUUGUGCUCUAGCUAAUAUUGCUUCAGCCUCACCUGGAUAGCAACAGAACAAAUACAUAAAAAUGUUAUGGUGAAACAUACUGAGUCAGUUAUGAUAUGAGGUUAACAGACGAAUGGCUCCACAUCUUAUUAUGAUGAUUUCAUGUUUUUCAAUCUUAAAUGCUUACUAAAUACUAACCUUGUGCACGAUUGACUUGGUCCAUCAUUGCAGCUUCUGAUUCCAAGAUUACAGAACUUUUCUUACCAUCAGCUCUAUUGAUAUGGGCUUGACGUUCUCCUGUUAAAGUCAGUACAGCAGAUUAUGAGAAUCAAAUUGAGCCAAGAAUCUGAACGAAAUGAGCUGUAGCAAGCACAUAGUUCAAUCCCAGAACAUAUACUUUCAAGCAAUUUUACCUUCAGACUCAAGAAUCUGGGCUCUCUUUUUACGUUCAGCUUCAGCUUGCAUUUCCAUAGCAACUCUCACUCCAUUAGGAGGCAUGAUAUCCCCUGGAUAUACAUGUAUUAGAUACAAGGCCAAAAGGGUAUCUAGCUAACACCAGCAAAGAGUCAACAGAAAAAUAACUCACUGAUCUCAUAACGAAGGCACUGAAGACCCCAAUCUUUUGCAGCAACAUUGAUGGCUUCCUGCAAGAACAUGUCCAUUUCAAAAUGUUCAGAUACUUCCAAUAUCCAACACAUACACUACAAAAGCAUAAUACAUUCCACAACACAUACACUACAAUACUCUUAUCUAACAAAACUUAUAUAGCCAGCUAUCGUGAAAUGAACAACACAAUUAAACAAUCUGAACUACAAAUUUCACAUUAACAUCACUGACCAUGAACAUCAAAGAAUCCCAGUUUUCAAAAUGAAACGAAACUCAAGCCAUAGAGAGAGAGAACAUACCACAAUCUUCUCAUUGAGAGUGUCCCGUUCCUCAAAAGUCUUGUCAAGAGUAAUUUUACCGAGCUCACUACGCAUUGUAGUCUGAGCCAACUGCAUAACAGCAUAGAUCGGAUUCUCAACGCCAUAAGAAGCCAACUUAGGAUCCACAAUCUGCAAAAAAAUUUCAAGACAAUGACAUAUCAACAAAAGCAAACAGGAAACUGUAUACAAAACUGGAAUCUGAAACGAAGAUAAUAACCUUAACGUAGAGAACACCAUCGAUGUGGAUGCUAACGUUAUCCUUUGUAAUCGCAGUCUGAUUACCAAUAGGAAUCGCUUCUUCCUUUAGAGAAUGAACAUAAGCGAUACGAUCCACAAACGGAACAAGGAAGUGAAUCCCCGCCGGCAAAGUCGUGUGGAAUUUACCAAACCGCUCAAUCACACAAGCUUUCCUCUCCGGCACGAUUCGGAUUCCCCAGUUAGACGGCGGAUUAAUGUGGUAGCUACAAAAAAAUAAUUUCAGCGAAGAUCCGUUUAAGCCUAACCGAUCAAAUCCAUAAGGUUUCUACUAAAAAAAUCUGAAGUCAAAUCGAAAUUUCAAAAUGCGUUUAACGAAAACUAAAAUACCUGUUGAAAUCACUGCUGGGAGAUGAGAAGCUACGGGCGCCGAAAAGUUGUUGCGGAGGAGUACCGGCGGAGGAGGAUUGGUGGAGAAGCCUGGAAGUGAAGGAUUUUGACGGCGAAGGUUUAUUGAUUUGGUAGCUACAAAACAAAACGAAAUCAAUCGUAAGCUUCCUAUACAAAAUCUGAAGUCAAAUCCGUUCAAAUUUCACAGAAUGUAUUUACGAAAUCGUAAAGCUUAAAAAAAGACCUGGUGAGAGGACUUCCGGUAGAGCUGAAGUUGCGGACGGUGGAUGCGGCGGCGAGAGAUGAUAAGAUCUUCGGAACAGCUGCGGAAAGCAUAGGGAGAAACCUCACGGCGGCGGUGUAACCGGAUCUUGAAAGCGCGAGCUGAUUCAUCGUUGAAAGCUGUGUAACUAACUCUGAGAACGUGGAGAAGAGGAAAUCCAGAGAAAAACCUCUUAAAUCUUUUUUUUUUUGAACUAUAGUUUAAUCGGUUGACUUAUAUAAUAAUCAAAAUUUACUUGAAGAAGAGGUUUUAAAAAAAAACUUGGGGAAGAGUCAAACAGAGGUUUUUGUUUUUCUUGCUUAUCACGAAUUUGUAUAGGCUAAUAAAAACCCUAAGACUUGAUGAAUAAACCUGUGUUAUGUUGUCUAAUAAUAAGGUUACGACAUGUGUUAAUUAUAAGAUAAGUAUGUCACAUGUGUUUCCUCCUUGGGAAAAUGGUAACAUAUGUUUUUGUAAGAUCUUGCAUUGGUUCAUAUAACAUACAGUAAUAUAAAAUCAUAUGAUUUGAAGAAUCUUAUUACAUUAAAGCUUCCGUUUCUAGAUGAGUUUAACAAUCUUACUUUCCCUUUUUAAAAUGUGUUCAACAUUUUGGUAAUUUAGAAGGGAAAGAAAGUUAUGUUCGAACGUUAGUUAGUUACCAUAAUUACAGUUAUUUUACGAACAUAACGAAAUUUACGAAUCCAAAAUCUGUAGACGCACAAUUAGUCACACAAUCAUGUUUGAGUCUGGCUUGAAAGGAAAGAUUGUAUAAAAUGUUUUGUCCCCAGGCCAAAAUGAUGUAUGGACUUUUAAAGCCCAAACUUCCUCAGUUACAAACUCUUUUUUUUUUUUUUUUUAAUAUGUUUAAAACUGUUUUUAAUACAAUUCGAAGAAGAAUUCAAACUAGUUUUGACGUGAAGUUUCAAGGAAUAUCAAUACAAACACCAUAUAAACUGACAUUUUUAAUACUGAGUAUAACGUUAUGUGAUUGAUUUCAAAUCUUUAAAUUCGCAUAAUUAUUCUAUUAUUAGUAAUAACAUACAUGCAUAAAAUUCGCGACAUCAAGAACAUCAUUGUUCUGAAUAUCAAGAAUAUGCAUUGACCGCGACAUCAGAAACAUCAUCACAUCGAGAAAGAAGAACGGUCAUUUCCGCAAAUUAAUGACACUUUGGCUGCGUUAAAUUCUACCAAAAGCUUCUCUCAGAUUUUACUGAAUUCUUUGCUUUAAUUUUGAUUUUUGCCAAAACUUCAAUUGUUUAGGUUUAGUGUAAGAAAAGAAAGUGAUUGUUAUUCAAUUGCUUGCUUUACAAUGAACGGCUGUACAACGUAUUUGUACACAUGACUUAACCCCAAAACCCUAGACGAGACUUACCGACCAAGUAAGUUCUAAGUCGGCUAAGCCCAAUAUACAAACGCAGCCCACUAGUACUACUUAUCUCCAAUAUUUAGCAAGUCUGUAAAACCUAAUAAUGAUAUUUAUAUGCGUAGAAAAAAAGAAAAAAAAUCCAUAUACCAAAAAACACUUUUGAACAAAUCCAAAAGUUUACAUGAUGACUUGUGUUGAGAUGUGAUAUAUAUAAGCCUACCAACCAAAUGCAAAGACAAGAAAGAAUCCAAAGAUAAAUUCACGACCAACCAAACCAACUAACCAAUAAUCACUGAUUUUCAAUUCCAUUAUAUAAAUUCCAACCCCGAAAGAAACAUCCAUUGGACUUUUAUUUGUCAAAACACGUUUUCACACGGACUUAACAGAAAACUUAUAAACUACUAAAAUUUAUAAAUUCAUCUAAAUCCGAUUUUAAAGAAAAACACGUGACCCUCUCGCAGACGCAGAAGUAAAACGCCAAAACAAAACGCCAUUUUUUGUCGAUUCUUCGUCGUCCUCCUUUGAAAUUCACACCAAUUUGUCUCUCUUCCUAGAGAAACAAAAGAUUAUUCGAAACUCGGGAAAGUAUCAUCCGGUCACCGGAAAAUUGAUUAUUUCCGAUGCCAAUAGGUGACCGUCAGAAUCCGAGUGUGGAGAAGAAGAAGAACCUCUUCAGGCUAUGUCCGUUUUGGCAGAGGAGAAGCACCACUUCUUCAUCUUCAACACAGAAUCCAAACCAAAACUACCGUAGCCGCCAUGGAAAUCGGAAUACAGAUAUUUCCGCCGUCUCUAAGCCUCCGUUGACUAUGUCUUCCGUCGCCAGAUCACUUCUUCCAGCUCGCCGUCGUCUCCGACUAGAUCCUUCUAGUUAUCUGUAUUUCCCUUGUACGUCUUCUUUAUUUAAGUUUCUGCCGUCGAUUUAGCUUGAUUCAGAAAUAGUCAUAGUUCUCUGGAAAUUGAUUGAUUUGGUUAUGGAUUCUGAUUAGAGAAUCGAAGUGAUUAACAUAGGCUCUCUGGAAGUGAUUGAUUUGGAUUUCCAUUGUUAGAGAACGAAGUUAGAAUUUGUGGAUUUGUGUUUGUUUCAGAUGAACCUGGAAAACAAGUUCGCAGCGCAAUAAAGCUUAAGAACACUAGCAAAUCUCAUACUGCAUUUAAGGUAAUGGAGUUAUGUGUAUCAUUCACAUCAAUUUUGGCUAUUGAUUCUCGCAUUUCUGAUACUUAUUUGAGAACUAGUUAAGAAAUUGCAGAGAAGUUGACUCUUUGUUGACUUUAGUAUGUACUUAUUCAUCUAUGUCACUCUGUAUCUUCUUGUUUAGUUCCAAACAACGGCACCUAAGAGUUGUUAUAUGCGUCCUCCCGGAGGUGUUUUGGCUCCAGGAGAGAGUGUUUUUGCUACUGGUAAUGAGAUUCUGGAAAAGAAUGAUGUCUUCUUUGGUUUUGUGUACCCUAACUAGUUUAUACAGCCUCUGAGUAUUGCUUCUUGUAUGUAUAUGUUUAAGUGCAGUGUUCAAGUUUGUGGAACAUCCAGAGAACAAUGAAAAGCAGCCGUUGAAUCAGAAGAGCAAGGUUAAGUUUAAGAUUAUGAGCCUGAAAGUUAAACCAGGAGUAGAGUAUGUGCCUGAGUUGGUAUGUUAUGUCGCUCCUUUCUAAUUCUUAUUAGUUUACUUACAAGUCCAAUGUUGGAAGCAAUUUUAUUCAAUCUUAGAAAUAUGACUCUUAUAGGCUGAAACAUUGCAAUUGAUAGAUAGGUUUUAAAAGGAUAAGUGUUAGGUUUUCAAUAUCGUUACCUCCGAUUCCUUAACCAAACUGGCACACACUAACACACCAUACAAGAGAGAGACUAGCACAUCACUAGCUCAGCUCUCAAUACACCAUACGAGAGAGACUAGCACAUCACUAGCUCUGCUCUUAAGUCUCUCAUACCAUUCAACAACUAUCAACAUAAACCUCUCUAAACAUUCAGAGCCAUUAUUUAUACUCGAACUGAGUUUGUUCAAGAUAUUUUUAGAUCCUAAAAAUAUCUUCUUCUUCAAGCAAGUUUCUUCUCACGUGCCUCCUCACUUGAACGUGUCUUCUUUUGCUUUCUCUCAUUCACAUUCUUCUUGAUACAUCAAUCGUAUCAAUAAGCCCUCUCUGUCUCAGAGAUUCUUAGGCAUAAGUCCAUCGAUGAUGCAUUUUUGGGUGUUUAUUGUGCAGUUUGAUGAGCAAAAGGAUCAAGUAGCAGUGGAGCAGGUUCUUCGGGUCAUUUUUAUUGAUGCGGACCGCCCAAGUGCUGUAAGCUAUUCAUGCUGAUAAGACCACAUACAGUCUAAAUUCUAUAGUUUGAACAUUUCAUAAGGAGAAUUACGAUGUAAUGAAUCAGGCAUUGGAGAAACUGAAACGUCAAUUGGAUGAAGCUGAAGCUGCAGUUGAAGCAAGAAAGAAGCCUCCCCCAGAGACAGGGCCUCGAGUUGUCGGGGAGGGUCUUGUCAUAGACGAAUGGGUAACAUAUAAUUAUAAGAUCUUUGGUCCGUUUAUUGUUGUUCCUUCUUUCUCCCAUAUAUUCACCAAAGUUUGUGUCAUCUAUCAGAAGGAGAGAAGAGAGAAGUACCUUGCUCGGCAACAAGUCGAAUCCGUAGAUUCUUUGUCCUAAACGCAGAGAGCAAUGUGGACUUGUUCUGCAGAUCAUGUACAUAAUUUAUUAUCCCUCGAUUAUGUAUUUAUCUCUAGACGAUUACUUUGUGGUUCUUGUAUGUCUCUGUUUGUUGUGUGAUUCAUGCCGGUUUUUUCUCCUUCAUCAAAUUUUGUUUCGGUCGUUUUUAGUUGAUCUAGAAUCGAACCAGAGUUUGUUCAGUAUUUAGUUACAAAUGAAAAAUCCUGUUAUACCAUUCGUUAAACGUUUCUUAGAAAUGAGUCAUUAAGGUUAGAAUAAGAAUGAUGGUUUUGUGGACAAUUAUAAAGUUUCCCCAACCAUGAUCAAUUUGAUUGGAACAUUUCACAAACCAAAGUACAAAUUUGUUUUGGAUGAUAGGCUACCAUUUUCUGAUAUGUCAAUUGUCACCAUGUUUAUUUUUAGUUUUAAAGUGGUUUUUUUAUUUUGAUCAGACUCUAAACUAAAGGUCCACAAGAGUGACCUAUAAAAGACUGAUACCCACUAAUACAAAAAAAAGACUUAUACCCAAGUACUGAGAUUGAUGUGUUGCUACUUUUGCUCCUUGCAUUCAGAAACUACGAUAUUCUCUACUGGCCCAAAUAAUUAGUGGACUUACGUAACUGAGUACUUUGAGGACACAAUUAUAGAAAACGUUAUUGCAUUUAGUUUCAGCUGGUUAAGCUAGUCUGUCAUAUAAUCUUUCUUCUUACUGUAAUGAAAACAAUAAUAAUAACUUUACUAAUUUUCUACUAAUAAUUAUGAGAUUAACUGAAUAAGAAUAGCCGCCAAAGAGAACGAGAAAUAAUUAAGAAUAUUUUGGUCUUAAAACUUUGAAAACACGUAACUCUUAACCAUUUUUUCGUCUUUGUACGCUGAAAUCUAAGUCAGAAGAUUCAAUGUAAGUAUAUUUAACUAGCAUUCGAAAUAUGAUCAUAUUUGUUUGUAAAUGGUAUACUUUAUAGACAAUCAAAUCACUUGUAUGAAAUGAGAAUAUGAGAUAUAAGUAAGAUUCACGUGGUAUAUAAAAUUUGGAACAAAUUAUGCUUAAUUAGAAGCACACAAAAAUCUAAAGUUAGAUAUGUUUUAUUUCGUUAUUAGAAUAUUUUUAUUCGGAAAAAAGGGGAAAUAAAAUCGACUCGUGGAGAUUAUGAAGGAACAAAGACAACUAGAGGUGUCUUUUGAUUUCCAUGUCGCUUUAUGAAAGCUUUCGGCCAAAUUGCACAAUCAACAAAUUCGACAAUCCUUAUCUCUCUCUCUCUCUUUUUUAACCUCAAAUUUAGUCUUAUCAAAGGACAUAAGAAUAUAUUUUUGUAUCAAACUUGAAAACAUCACUUAAAAUAAAACAAAAUAAAUUAUUAAAAUAUCACUAAAAUGAAGAAGAGAGAUAACUUAUAUAUACUUUUACCAAAUAUAUAUCUAAUGUAAGAUUCUGAAAUUGAGUCAUUUUUAUCUCAGCAAAAUCAUUUCAUAACCCGGGCGAAUAAAGUGUGUGUUUAGUAUUACGUGCUUGAAACGUAACUAGAUCAUUAAGCUAAGACUUGUAGAACACGUACAUGCAUCAUAAUUCAUAAAUGAUUAGUUUAAGAAUAAUCAACAUAUGGUUAAUAAAUUGGUAAAACAAUAUUAGAAAAAAGAGAAAAACUACCGUUUAAGGUAGUUUUCCAUUAUUUGCAAAGCAUAUAUACAAUAUAUCAUUUCAUUUCAUUAUGGAACAUAAGUGUUCAAUACUCGUCUUAACACAAUUUAAGAAGAAGAAAAAAAGACUAACAAAUGAAAAGCUUAGUGACUGUGUCACUGUCUCUUAACCCGUCACUAAUCUGUUGCAACUUCUUUAAUCCUAUAACAAAGAAACUGUUUUUAAUCCGAAAACUUCAACUAUAUAAACCGGCACAAAAAAACCGUCAUCAAUCAAAACAAAUUACUUAAACAAAGAUCUCGACAACAACGUCUACAACGCAUAAUUAUGUCCAUGCAUUGUUUUUUCCUUUUCACAAAAAGAUAACAAUAAACUAAAAUAAAAACUUUACUAUUACAACAAAUCGUAUCUCAAUUUCAUGAAGAGAUGGCCGAAAGGAAUAAAAACAUGGACCCACCCGCCCAUCGAAUCGUGCGUUACGCGAAAGCAAAAUAUUCAUUACCAUUAAAAACAAUAUUUAUCAACCCCUUUUUAAAAAUGUAACGAACAAAUUCAGGAAAUAAAAUAUUUAUAUUCCUAAUACAAAGUGCUUCACCACCAUAAACACACAUUCACUACAUGCACAAGCACGUAUAUAUAUAAAUGUUCAUGAAGGAAGAAGCUUUAACAGAGAGAACAACUAAAAUAGCCUAAGCCUCAAAUUUAAUCGCUAUUUAGUUUCUAAUUUUGGGUUAAAAGAAAUUCGGGUUUCAAUUAAUUCGAAAGAGCGGUCACGACGUUUCUUAGAGAAUCGUCUUCUUCAUCUUCUUCGUGAACUUUUUGUUUUCUCCUUUUUUUGAUUUUCACCGCCGGAGAUUUUUGUAUUUUUCCGAUUAUUCGCCGGCGGUUUAGAGAUAAUGAAGGGGAGGAUAUCAAAAAUAGGAAGCUAUGCAAUCUCGUCUUCCAUUAGAGAUCAGCAUCAGCAACCUUGUAUUUCUUGUACUACUUUCAAUAUCCUUGCUCCGAUCUAUAAACGUCUCUCUCACAAGGUUCCUCUCCAUCAUCAAUUUCUUGAAUUUGAAUUUUGUGUUUUUUUUUGAGGAUUUUGAUUUUAUUUUGGAAAUGUAGGAUCAAAGUCUUCGUGAAAGUGAUAAUCGAGCGUAUUGGCUUGGAAGGAAUCAUCGAAUCAUUGAUUGGUUAUUGUAUGAGAGAUCUUCAAUCAUAUGUUUACAGGUGUUCGACGAAAUUCCUCUGUGAAGACUUUUUGUUUUUAUGUUUUUUUGGUUAUGUGUUCUGAUGAUUUUGAUUUUUAGGAGUUUUGGGUAGGCAAUGAAGAGCUUGUUAAUUUGUACGAGAAGAGACUUGGAGACGCUGGUUAUCUAAGUUACAAGCUUGGUCGUACUAAUAAUCGUGGUGAUGGUAUAUAUAAACAUUUCUGUGAAUCUUCUUCUUUUUGGUUUUUUGAUGUUUGUGUUUGUUCAUUCUUUUAACCAUUCAUUGUAUUUCAUAGGUUUGCUUACGGCUGUUCAUAAGGACUAUUUUAGAGUUGUGAACUCGAGGGAUUUGCUUUUUAAUGAUUGUGGUGAUCGAGUUGCUCAGUUGCUACAUGUAGAAUUAGUUCCUCCUUACUCUCAGUAUGAUGCUCAUCAAGAAGUUUUGAUUGUGAAUACUCAUUUGUUGUUUCCUCAUGAUUCAACAUUGUCCAUAGUAAGAUUGCAGCAGGUAGAGUUCUGUUUUAAAUCUUAGACUAACUCCACUAUUAUUGUGAUGAUUUUGCAUAUUUCUAAACAAAGAUUUUGUUUUGAUAGGUAUAUAAGAUUCUUCAGUAUGUAGAAUCUUACCAGAAGGAAGUUAAUCUCAGUCCCAUGCCUAUUAUUCUUUGCGGGUAACUAUCUUGUUUGGAUUUUACUUUUCCAUGGGUUAGAUGUGAUGAUUACAGUACUAUAAGCUCCUAUGUUUGUGUCUGUGGCAGAGAUUGGAACGGAAGUAAGCGAGGACAUGUCUACAAGUUUCUCAGGUCACAGGGUUUUGUGUCGUCUUACGAUACUGCUCAUCGGUACACAGACUCAGAUGCUCACAAGGUCACUGUCUUUCUUCAUAUGGCGAAUACUUUUGGGUAUGCUGUAGAUUUUUUCGAUGUUUUGAAUAGGCGAUCGGGAUUCUGAAACUGUUGUUGUUAUCUUUGGUUUAACAGUGGGUAAGCCACCGGAAUCAUCGGGGUAACAUAUGCGCUGUCGAUUUCAUAUGGCUUUUAAAUCCAAAUCGGUAUAGAAAGCUGCUAAAAACAAGUUGGAGCGAGGCAGUCUUUGGCAUGUUCAGGGUGAGACUCUCCUCAAUUGUGUCUUAUCACAAGUUUUCAUCUCUGAAUGAAUUUCACUGUCUUUUUUAUCCAAAAGUGAUUUACUUGUUGAUCUUUGAACUGGUUCAACAUUAACUUAAUAGUAUACCAAGAAAAAUGUCUCUUCCUUUACAAUUCUUGUCUAAAUUAUUUAUGGAAACGGAAUUGUUUUCUGGUUCCUGCUUGUAACAUCAGAACAUUUUGAUAUGCAGUAUCUACUGAGAAGAGCUUCACUAACAGCUGAAGAUGCUUUUGCUUUUCUAAAAACUGACAAUGAUGGUGACCACAUUACAUUCAUGGGCUUCUGUGAGACUCUUCGGCAGGUAUGUAGAAUCUGUAACGCAGUUAAUCAUAUUCCUAUGACUGCCUUACUCAGCUUAAUGUUUACAGAGUUUUCUCUUUCUUAAUUUCAUACUCUUUCUCUAUACAGCUCAAUCUAACAGGUCACUGUAAUGGACUCACGACAAAAGAGAUCAAAGAUUUGUGGACUCAAGCUGACAUUGAUGGAAACGGUCUUCUAGAUUAUAAGGAGUUUCAGGUAAUGUUUCUUCAUUAGACUCCCCCUCUCUAGAUUACAAGGAAUUGUUCAUGAUAAGGUAGUUUUUAGUAGAACUUAAGAGUUACAAUAGCUGAACAUAAUCGCCCGUGAACAUCUAGACAUAGAAUCGAAAACCCUUGUUCUUGUUCUUGAAACUACACACAAGUUUCUCAAUUGCUUAUGUAAUCCAUUGCAGCAAAGAAUAUGGAACCAAACCUGGUCAGAACAAAGAGAUGCAGAGGACGGAGAAGCAAAAGGUAACCAAGAACAAACCGUUGGAUUCAGUGUCAAAAACGCAGUUUUGUUUCCUCCUGAAGUUGAAAAAGGAAUGUGGCCAGAAAAUUACUCUCUAUCAGAUCACGCGAGACUCACUGUUGUAUUCUCACCCAUAAGAAUGCCUUGCUCUCAAUUGGUUUCAUGACAAAACACACUCACCAAACAAACUUUAGCUUCUUCCAUUUUUAAGAGACCUCUGAGUUUUGGUGUCCCCUUACAGAGAAACUUCGCUCUGUCUCUCCAUUGGAUCGGCUUGACCGCUCUCACGUUGCGGUUCCUGCGUUGGGUGGGAAGAAGAGAGAAAGGGGGACAUAGGUCUAUAAAUUUUUACUGUGUACAAAAACAUGUAAACUAAAUAUAUUAGCUUCAUGUACAAAAUAAUGUCGUAGUAGAGAUUUAAGAAGCAGCUUUUUGCAACUCUUUUUUCAUUUCUGUUUUUGCAAUUUCAUCAACUCCAGAGACUUUCAUAGAGAUAUGUUUAGAUAUAAAAUGAUACAAAAACAAAAUAAUAUUAAUCUUUAAAAAAGUAAUGCCGCCAAAAAAGGAAUAAAAUAUUUCGGAAAUUAAUAAGAAAACCACAAAAACGGAACAAGUUUCGAGCUUCAAGGUCAGCUUCUUCACUUAGAAUAUAACCAAGUGUCAACAAAGUCAAUUUUCCGAUCAUAGCUUUUUAGGGUUCCGUUGACUUCAAAUUUGACAUGGCUAAUUCCUCAAUCGUAGCUCUUCUUCUUCUCUUUGUUAUCGCUAGUUCCGUCAAUGGAGGAGAUCAAGAGUAUCCAAAUCAAUAUCUAACAGAAGCUUUAGGUGAUAAAGAAUGGUUAGUGUCUGUAAGAAGACAAAUCCAUGAAAACCCAGAACUCCUUUUCGAGUUACAUAAAACAAGUGCUCUGAUUCGUCGCGAGCUUGAUGAAUUAGGGGUUUCUUAUUCUUACCCGGUUGCGAAAACCGGGAUCGUAGCUCAAAUCGGAUCCGGUUAUCCUCCGGUUGUUGCUCUCCGUGCUGAUAUGGAUGCUCUUCCCUUACAAGUAAACUCGACUUCUCUCUCUCUCUCUUUGAUUGUUUGUUAAUUUCUUCUGUAGAUUGAUUUGCUUCGAUUUUUCAGGAACUUGUUGAGUGGGAUCAUAAGAGCAAAAUCGAUGGAAAAAUGCAUGCUUGUGGUCAUGAUUCUCAUACCACUAUGCUCCUUGGUGCUGCUAAAUUGCUUAGCAAACGCAAACGUAUGCUCAAUGUAAGUUUUGGGUGAAGUAAAUGUGUUUUGAAUUUGUGGGAUUAGCUUAGCAAAAGCAAAAAGGAUGAAUCUUGUUUUGUCUUUAUGUACAAAAGUAUAAAUCUUUCAUUGUUUUGGUUUGAUUUGGAGAAUGUUGUAGUUGUAGUUGGAGAAUGUACGAAAGGUUUAGUCUUUUUUAUGACUUGAGAAUUUUUUUUUGUGAAUGAAAAGAUUACUCUUUGCUUAGGGAACAGUGAGGCUUCUUUUUCAACCAGCAGAAGAAGGUGGUGCAGGUGCUUUUCAUAUGAUAAAAGAAGGUGCUUUGGGUGAUUCUGAAGCAAUAUUUGGGAUGCAUGUUCAUACUGGCUUACCUACAGGAGAAUUAGCAACAAUCUCGGGUCCUGCUUUGGCAUCCACAAGCAUUUUCAGUGUAAGAAUGAGUGGUAAAUCACCCGCUUCUUCGGAGACCUAUUCUUGUGUUGAUCCGGUGUUGGCUGCAUCAUCUACCAUCUUAGCAUUGCAACUUAUUAUCUCCAGAGAAGUAGAUCCUCUCUUAAGCCAUGUAUGUUCUAUACUAUUCCAAUCGAUAACGGUCGUUUAUGCAUAAUAUAGAUCUCCCUUAGUCUUCUGACGCUAAAAGAUCCUGUUUUUGGAUUUAGGUGCUCUCUGUUACAUUUAUGAAAAGUGGCGGUUCUGAGUUUGAUGUGAUUCCGGCAUAUGUAGAAUUUGGGGGAACUUUGAGGAGUCUUACAACCAAUGGCAUCAACUGGUUGAUAAAGCGGUUGAAAGAGGUAUGUACACGUGUUUCAAAACAACCUUAAGUAUUCGAUGCAGAGAAGAAACCGAAAUUUGGUUUUCAAUAUCUUAUGAAUCUUAUCUCAUCUAAACCCUGAUGAUCAAUUUUAACCUUGAAGUAAUUUAUUGUAUCUGUUCUAAUACCUGGAUCUCUUGUUACUCUGUUCUAGUAAAUCUUUCAUGGGACAACAAACCAUUUAUAUAUCCACAAGCUCUCUUUCCAUGAUAUACAAUCACUAAUGUUCAAAUGUAAUCUAAUCUUCAGUUUGAUCUUCAUUCAACCUUGAGCUAACCUUUAUUGUUGAUGACAGGUGGUUGAAGGACAAGCUGAAGUACAAAGAUGCAAAGCGGAUAUAGAUAUGCAUGAAGACGAUCAUCCUAUGUAUCCAGCAACAGUGAACGAUCACAAGCUACACGAAUUCACUGAAAAGGUUUUGAAACUCUUGCUUGGACCCGAGAAGGUGAAACCGGCUAACAAGGUAAUGGCGGGUGAGGAUUUUGCUUUCUAUCAACAAAAAAUACCCGGUUACUACAUAGGAAUCGGUAUAAGAAACGAAGAAAUCGGUUCUGUGCGUUCGGUUCAUUCGCCUUAUUUCUUCCUCGACGAGAAUGUGCUUCCCAUUGGAUCAGCAACGUUUGCUGCCUUAGCUGAAAUGUAUCUACAAGAGCAUCAGAAUCAAACUAAGUCUGGAGAUUGAGAAAGUUACUAAACAAAAGCUUAGUUAAUUGCCUUCACAAGUAAAUGCUAUUGUUUUUAUAAAAUGCAAUUUUUACAACUUCAAGAAAUCAAGUUGUAUAUUAUAAAAAUUGUAAGUAAUGGGUCUCUGUCUCAUAUGGUAGGUGCAGAUGUCUGAGUCUGAGACACCAAAAACGAUGUCGUUUAGUUUCGAGAUAUCGACAAAAAAAAAUCUGGUGAAUUUUUAUGAAACUAAUUAGUAAAUGAAAUGACAUUUGAACUUAUCAUAAUGACUACAGACACAAACACAUUUUGUGUAUUUUUAAAAAUUUUGUUUUUGUCUAUUUUGAUAAAGCAAACACCAAUCAAUGAUAAAACAUAGGCAGCAUCUUAGUCAGUAGAAAAGCAAAAAAGCAGCAUUCAGUCUCUAUAAAACUAAGCAAAAUAAAAGUUAUCUUUUGUAUUUUUAUAAAUUUUAAUUUGCCUUUUUCCUAAAAAACAAAAACUAGACAAGAUAAAGAUGAAUGUGUCACAUGACUCUCAAGAGAGAAAAGGCAAUUAGGAGAUAAAGAGAUUAGUUUUAAUAAAUUUGAUCUAAACCAAAAGACAAAAAGUGAUGACACAUCUGUCCCUAAAAUGGCUAAAUGCCUAAAUCCAAGUAACACGAUAAUCGAGCUCAACAACAGGCACUUCAUCUUCUGGAUCUAUAUUAUAGUAUAGAUUAUAGAAUAUGAUUACUACUAUUUCUUUUUGGAAAAUUAUUGGCUCAUAUAAUCCAUUGAUGAACCAUAAUUUGUACUAGAUAAUAAUAAAAACAUAAUAGCUAAUAAAAUCGUGAAUAAUUCGGUAAGAAAAGGUUAAAGUUGUUUCAAUACACUCACCUAAACAAGUCGAUUAUGGUCCAAAAGAAAUCCAAUUGAGAUAAAUUUUAAACUUUUCGUUGCUAGUUAAAUGUGAUUUAAAAUAUGAAAUUUUCAAUUUCAUACAAACAUGAAAACAUUUUAUUUAAUCAUGUAAAUUAGAAAAUAUAGACAUGUUAUAUCAACAACAAUGGCAAAAAGAAAAAGGUCGGUUUUCAAAUCUAUUGAUAUUUUCCGUAUCCUAUUAAUUUUGCAUGCGAUUUCUGAAGAAAAAGUUAUUUUGAUUAUUUAGAGAAUUUUUAUACUAAACCUAAUUUGUCACUCGUGAUAAGCUCUUCUCUCCCUUGGAAAGCCAUGAAGAAGACUAGUGUUUUCACGCCCGACCCGAACCGUCCGGUCCGACCGGUUAACCCGUGACCCGAACACUUUUUCGGUUUGGGUUUAGUAUUAAAACCCAACGAAAAAAACCACAAAAACUCGCAAUUAACCCGUGACCCGGUGAACCGGUUGAACCGGCCGGGUGUGGGUUUUAAAAAGUUCUCUUGAUUUUACAAUAAAAUAUGGGAUUUUAGACUUUAUUCAAUUAUUUUUAAAAGUUUUUUCAGUUUUUAAAUUCAUUUGAUGUUUUAGAUUUUGGUGAAGACUUUACAAUACCGCCUUAAAAUUGAAUCGAAUGGUGAGAGAGACAACCGAGAUUAGUUGUUUGAAUUCACGAUGUUUUAUUAAUUUAUUUCUGUCAUUGAUGAUCUCCUAAUAUAUUUGUUACGGUGUUAGACAUUUAGUUGGAUUUCAAAUUUUUAACCACUUUAUUUAUUGUUUGAUUUUUUCUAUAUAUAUAUGUAUAUUUGGGUAUAAAUGAUUUUAUAUUUUGUUAAACAUAAUAUAAUUUUAUAUUUGAUUAAAUAUGAUAUGAUUAUUUUUGUUUUAUAUUUAUAAAUACUAAAAAAAUUUUUUAUAAAAUACUCUAAAAUUUUUUUAAAUAUUAAAUUUAUUAAAUAAAUUUUAACUAAUUAACCCGUUGUCCAACCCGGUUGACCCGAUGACCCAGUAACCUAAAAUGUAGUCCAGUUCAUCGUACGGGUCGGGUUUCAAAACAUUGAAGAAGACCUUCAAUUACUUCUGAAACAAGUUAAUCAAUCACGUCGUUCGAUAAACUCUUGGAUCACGUGACUCUCGUUGGAUAUGUCAAUUUAUUAACACUAAGAAUUUCUCGAAACUAAAACUUUUAAAUGGCCAAACAAGAAAGUCCACACAUUCUUUAAUUAUGGAGGGAGGUUGAGAAAAAUCUUCAUCAUAUCUUUCUAUAGAACAUGCAUGUAUGCAUGUAGUAUGUAGACACGUACAUAAUACAUAUAUAGACUCUCCAUUAUUGGUUACGGUGAGUUAUAUCGUAAAUUAAACCCCCAACAAAAUCAACAUACGUAAUAUAAAUAAUACUAUUUCCCGAUAUUAUUCUUCUUGUAAUUUAAUAUUUGGACCCAAAAAAGUUUAUGUAUCGUUGCAGUUUACACAUACUGAAAGAGAAGCUACUAAUUAAGGCGUUAUUGAAUGUUUUUUUUAUCCAAUCAUGUCAAUUUACAUGUAUUAAGAAGCUUAAAAAAUUCUAUAAUGUAUAAUAAAUAAUAGAUUUAUUUUUAAAAGUAUCGAGAGUAAAUGUUAAGGGUGUCUGAUCAUACAACUUUUUUACAGUUUUUAAUAUAUGUAACCUUCUUGGAUUAGUCGUUUAAUCGCUGUAACUCUCAAAUAAGUCAUUAAAGGACACAGACUUUGUUACUUUAUUAUAGAAGGCAAAUUAUGUUUUAUUAGCCACUUUUCGAUUUUUUUUACGUUGAAUACAUGGAAUUGACUUAGAGAUUUAUUUCAUUUAUAAUAUUCGAGGUCACACAAAGCUCCGAAAAGAAAAUAUACUACAUAUAAUAUUUAUUUUCCCCAAGGUGUGAACGUCUAGUUGUCAAUAGACUGGAUUGUGAGUAUAUAUAUAUUAAAAAAAAAAAAAAAAAAGGAAAUUGAUAACUUGAAAAUAUUUCGUUUAAAUUAAUCACUACAUCGACCAAGUAACAUAUUCAAUCCCCUGUAUCGGUAUCUCAAGAGCUGCAAUUCGAUUUCCCCUAUUCACAAAGGGUUAAAAAAAGAGAGCCAAUGGGCCAUAUAUGUAAUAAAAGAAGAAAAAACGCAUUACACAAUUACUUUUCAAAUGCUAUUUUACCCAACAUUUAUCAAAAGCUUAUGUUGAUCAUUUCCACUUAAAAUUUUCUAUGUACUGACCUAUUGAGAAUGUAUCUACUGUCUUUAUGGUUGAUUCUAUGAUGCUCUUAUCGAUCGGUUCUUUUACGAAUGUAUAAACAUAUCGGAUGUGCUAGAUAUAAGUUACAGUUUAUGGUAAUUAUAGAUUUGCGGACUGAAUCCGGUCGUUGAGAAAACAAAAUAUAAAUACGUAAAAUUUCUAAGUGGAAUGGGUAUAUAGUAAAAAAAAGGUAUAUAGAAAAAUGCUACUAAUUUAAGAGGCGGAAAGGGAAUGGCAAUCAUAACCAUAUUACCAUAUAGUAGGAAGACAUGGACCCCCUCGCUAUCCAAUUGAUAAUAUCUCCCAUCGUGUAUGUGAUUUCAAAGAUAUCUAGUAUCAAAUUUUGUAAUUUGCAAGUCCGCUCUUUGAUUUUCUGCAAAAGAAAAAACCAAAAUAAAUAAACAUUUGAUUAGGGACCUUAUAAUUGCGGUCAAGUUCUUCUUCUUACUUUGUUUUUAAAGUGUUCUAAGUUAACAUCUCUAACCACCCACUAUCUUUUCUAUUACAAAAAUCUAAAUUAUUAGACUCACAAUUCAGAACUCAUCUCAAUUUUCGGCUGAUUAAACACCUAUUAAUUAAAUGUAAUGAAUCUGAUGAUGUAACAUUAUAUCAGGGCAACAUGUGAACGUGGCAAGUUAUAUACACACCAUUAAAUAAGCCAUUAAUUACUAUUCAAUAUUAUCCCCAACAAGAAUCGACAUAUAAUAUUUGAUGUUCAUAUACAAUAAUACAACUACAAAAAAAAUCUGGUCCAUCGUUAACUUUUAAUCAUAUAACGAUCGAUCAUUGAGCUCUUAAAUCCUUUGGUUGGUAAUCCAACAAAAAUAUAUGGUCGAUAAGUUUGGCAUAUAGAUACAAAGGGAUUCACUUUGGUUAUUAGAAAAAGUUUUAAUGACAAAAAGCUUAUGUUUUACAUAUCCUAGAGAAGGUUUUGGUUUCGAUAAAAAGUUAUAUUUUCCCAGUUAUAUAUACAUAUUGAUUAUAAAUAAGAAAACGCUGUUUUUUUUUUGUUGAAAAGACAUUAAAUUAUUGAUAUGCAUGUACUAUGUACAGUCCUAAACAAAUAAUGGAUACUAAAGCUAUGUAUAUGAAUGCAAAACAACAAACUCUGAUGAAUCCAGUUAUAUACUACGUAUAAUUUAUAGCUUCCCCUGUAUACAUCUGUCUGGUUAUAUAUAUAUAUUUUUUUUUUAAACCAAAAUAUUUUCGGCUAAAUUUGAAGAUCAAUGAUGAAGUAUCAACUACAGGACCGACCAUUUAUUUAUUGCUAGAAAUGUAGCUUUUGAUGAUGAUUAUUUGUGGAAAUUAAGAAAUCCAACCUGAUCUUUUUUUAAUACUUUUACAUCUAAUGUACACUGUGCGUGAGAAGCGGGUAAUUUUUAAAAAAGGAGAGAUAAAAAAACAAAAGAUAUAUAAUAAUGUAAAGAAAAAAUAUACAUAUUAUAGUAUUGAUUAUUGAAGUGUUAAAUGGUCGUCUAUAUAUUGACAAAGAAGUCUCUCACAUUCUCACACUACUCAAAUCUUCAUCGCUUAGAUCUUUCUUUAAAAACAAAUCAGAAAUUUUCUUAAGAGUCAAGAAAAUUUCAAGAACCAAUUCUAUAAUGAUCUCAGUGGUGAUUCUUACUGAGCUACUAGUAGAGUACACGGCAGCUCUAGCUAAACUCACCGCCGGGAUUCUUCCACGGCGUACCGGAGAUAGAAACGCCGUAAGGAUCGGUGGUUUUCUCCUUCCUUCACCUUCUUCAACGACGUCGAUGAUUCCUGAUUUCUCUUCUCAUCUAGUUGAUUUCUGAUUUGCCAACUUUUUUAUUUUGGCUGAUUUAUUCAGUUUUUGACUUCAGAUCCUAGCUCCCUUCUAUGAUCUAGUCGAUGAGAAGCGACUGAGAUUUUUACUGAGUGUCUCGUCGUCUUGAAUCACGUUUUCUUGAAUCGUAUAGAGCUUUGUAGAAUCUGUAUCUAAUUUUUAUAUAUAGAGAUGGUUGAUAGUUUUGAAGAACUAAUAAGUUUACUAGAUCUUUUUUUGUUUCCAUGUGAUUUGUGUUUUUAUAGUACUUUAACAUUUGUUAAAGGCUAUGAUCUUGAUCUGUAAUUUCAUAACUAGACCUCUAUUUUGCUUUAUGGUCAAUGAAAACUUGCGAGCAUUUGUUCACAAAUCACAGAUGAGGGUUAUCGGAGUCUCGAAUUCGAUUUCGAAAAUGAGUUAUUGAAUUUGUUAACAUUAGUAUUUCGAUUAACUUCUUGACAUUUGAAGUCCUUGAUCACGUCCGAAAAAAAAGAAGAAGAAGGCAACUUGAUCAGUAAAAAUUGCUUUAAGUUUAUUAAUUUUCUACUUAUUAAAAUAUGACUGAAGUAGCCACAAGUUGAUAUAUAACGGAGUAAUUGGUAAUUAAGACUUUGAAGUUUGAACCUUCAAAGAAGUUAAAUAAUGGAGAUUUGUAACGUACGCCAUCUUUAUUAAUUUUAUGAGCCAAAUGUUACUAUCUACACUAAUUCCAAAUUAAGCUACAGAAAUUAAUAAAUUUGUGAUGGGAUAUGUUUACUGAAUCAAAUGAAACUAAACUAGCUGAAUGAAUAUUCUCUUGAUGACGUUGCAAAAUUGUGAACGAAUGUCAAAAUUGCGAUCUUUUUGUAUUUUCAUCUCUUAUUAUAUUUUCACAAUUACAUCACUUAUAUAAUAGAUAUUUAAAAAGAGAAAAUAUAAUAAUAUAUUUCGAUUACAUAUAUGCAAGUUUAUAGUUCAAAUAACGUAACAGUGAUAAAUAAAUCAGUAUAGUCGGAGAAAAACCUCAUUAUGAUUAUCUGCAUUUUAGUCUGUACAAAUAUAUACACUAUAGUUAUAUAUGGUCUUAAGACUAUGCACAAGUGCACCGACUCGUUUACUGAGCGGCGAUGUAUAAGGUUGUUGGUGUCUGUUGUUUUGUGGGAUUUAAAGUAUAUUGUUGUCUACAUGAUGCUAGACAAGUAAUGCCUUUCUGUCUUGCAAAUUGCAAUAUAGAAACUUUUAAAAAUCAAGAUUCGAAAAAAUUCCAAAUAUUGGUAUAUAUAAAUACAUGGAGGAGUAUACUGUAGGAGAUAGCUAAAGACAAAGUUGGUUGGAUAUAUAAUGGAUGAAAAAAGGAGCCAAAUGUCGCAAACGAUUUUUUGUUGAUAAAAGUGUUGGAUCGAUUGGUGCCUUUUAACUUCUCAUAAUGCUAUAAAAUUCUACGUAAAAACGAUCUUUUUUCUGUCAACAACAUCAAAUGCUAAUUAUUCAUGAAUAUUUUUUUAUUUUUUUUUGAUAAACUGUUUCAUUCAUGAAUAUUUUGUUUUUAAUAACAUGCAGAAUGCGAAUUUGAGUUUAGUAAUGUAUCAAAAACAUAACACAGACUACUUGUAUGUCUUAUUCACUACAAUAGAAACAAAAUACAAAGAAUUUUUAAGUGUUAAGAUUUUCAAUUCAUGUCCUAAUUAAUAGUUGACAUUUUUAUAUAUGAAAGUCUUCCACACUUGGUUUAAAAUAUACUGUAAAAUUUCGUAGACUUUAUUUAUUUAUUUAUUAAACUACAGAAUAUUAGAUGAUAUAGUCCAUAUCUUUUAUUUGAAAGAAGGUUACUUUCAAAGUCAUUUUCCAGUUCUUUUUAAAAUAAUACAGUGGAAAGUAGAAGAUAAAAAUUAAUAAUAACGCAGCAAGGCUAGGUAGGAACAGUGUGAAAGCAAUGGUUUAGUCGAGAUUUCUGCGUUCGCUAACGCGUCAUGGCAUCUGCCGGCUCGUGGGUCCUAACUCCUAACUAUUGUCACCUAAACUCUCAUUUUUAUUAAAAUUAACUAUUAAGGAAAAAUAUUGUUAUUUUUAUUUUAUUUUGGUAAAAAAGAUAAAAUAUUUAACUAUGUAUAAACAACUUUAUAAAAAAAUAAAAAAAAAUAAGUAGGUUUAAAACAAAGACCUUCACAAAUUAUAACAAUUAAAAAAGCUCUUUUUUUACAGCUCAUCUUGAAGAAGAAAAAACAACUUGUGAGACUUGUGAAGACGACUUGACCUAAUAUAUAUAUUUUAAAAACUAUUUAACUAAAUAUCUUAAGGUUAUUAUUUUUUAAGACCAUCUUUAGUACUUAGCAAAAAAAAAGACUUGUAUCAUCAAUUUUGAUUGCAUCAUUUCUCAUCUCUUAGUUGGUGGUAGUUAUUACCAAUUUGCAACCAGUUACAAUCAAAUUAUUAAUAUCAUUACUGCUAUGAAUCAUUGUUGAUAUGAACGAAAUUUAUUGAAGGUCUAUCUACUCUCAUUAUGAAUAUGACCCAUGAUAGACUGUAAUUGAGGUAUACAUCCGUUGACAGUUGUUUGUUGAAGACAAGUUUUCCACUAAAUAGAUAGAACGUUUUGACCAAAAAAAUAAAAAGAUAUAUAGAUAGAACGAAAACAUAAGGUUCUUCAAAGGAGUGUAAGGUAUCAAUUUAGAGCAUUUUGUGGCAAUAGUUUUAUAUUAACAAUAUAAUUCACUCAAUAUGAAUAACUUGAAGUUUCACAAUUCGUUCACAACACAAGUAAACCAUAGCUGUAGUUGUUUCUAAAUACAUGUGUUUGAAGAUAAUCUGAAUCGUGGCAGCCAAGCCUUUUAAUUGUAGAUUGUGUACAUGACACUAUUCAAGAUCGAAUUUUCAAAGUUGGUUUUAAUGUUUGGAAUGUAGCGGUUUCACUUUGAAGCUGACUAGUGGGAGAUAGUAUUUAUGAGACUAGAUUACUAGAUCCCACACACGAUUGAAUUCCUCAACCAUGUGUACUACUAGCUUAUAAUGGGGAACAUCUUCGAUGGGUCAAAUAUAUACCGAGAUUUUUCAAAUACAGAAGAUUUAAGCCAAAUGACCGGUAUAGCUAUUGGAAUUGUGAACAUCAUCAGCAUUAUUGAUAGGAAGUAGAAAGUAUCUAUAAAGUCAAUAGUCAACGUUCUACAAAAACAAGUCCCAACCAAAAUUACAGGCCCAUAUUAGAACAUUUUCCAAGUCUCUCUGUUUUCAAUCGCUUAGGGAUUUAAACAUUUGAAGUUAUGGAAGCUAUAUCAUAUUUAGGUACUAAAAGUUGUUUGUUCUUCAAGAGCCUCUUUAAUUGCAAAUUUUCUCAUGAUCUUAAAAUCACCAUCAAGCCUUUUAUGCAUUGAACCCCUUAGACAUUCUUUGAGCUAUGGUUGAAUCUAAAUGCUCAAACUGGAUCAAAAAAUGUCAAAAAAGAUUAAUAGGAAAGAACAAUUCAGAUGACCCAAAAACCGUGCUCUUACUUCCUCCGUGAACUAUCGAUAGCGAAAAACCUAAGAGUUUAAAAGUAGUAACCUAGAAGCAACAUUCUCCAUUACUUUUCAAGAAAUUUGCAAAUGAAACUUCAAUGCAUAAUAAACAAGUUCAUACUAAGGAAAUGUCAUUACGUCACAUUACUUCUCUAAAACCUAAAUCAAUCUAUUAGUCUAGCCAGAGAUGAAGAAACUACUUAACUGAUGAAGUCAUAAGAAAGAUCUCUAAUCCGUAGAAGUAGCCAGAUUUCACUAUGUCCUACACAAAUUCCACAAAGCAGAGUCAUACGCAUUGCAAUGUGAAGUCGAUAUAGUCCACUCUGCACAAGGAGCAGGCUUAUCACACACGUAACAGUAACACUGCAUUGCAAGACAAACACAAAGUUAAUCCAUUUAAUUCUUCAAAUCCACAAAGAAGAAGAAUAAGAAGUGUUUAAAUUACCAAAUCACAGUGGCUUGAAUUAGGAGUUGAUCCAAAUGGAAAAUUCAAACAGAAAUGUCUUGGAUGUGGAUAAUCUCUACAAGCCACCCAUUGAAUCAUAUCAAAUUCCAUUAAAACAUAAAUUUUUGAAAUAAACCCUAAUUUCAAAACCUUGAAUUUCAAAUCUCAAACCUGGCCUGUUUCAUGGAUGAUGGAUAAAUCUUUGUCACCUUCACGAACAUCAUCGGUAAAGGUGAGUUUUUUAACGUCGAACGAAUCAAAAGGAUCGAAAUCGAGGAUAAAGCAAUCCUCUGUUUCUUCGAACCUUUUCAUGUCUUGUCUUGUUUUCAGACAGAAUAUCCCUACGAGUGGCGUGUCAUCUUCUUCCUUUUUCUCCAUUUUUUUCGCUACAAAAGUCUCAGAGAUCGAAACGGAAGAGACGAGUGAGAGAGACACCGAACCGUUGCUCUUCCUUCAGACGUAGCGUUUAAAAAGGCUUUUUAUAUAUAGCAAUAUGGGCCUAACUAUUAGCCCAAUUAGACUUCAUUAUGUGAUUGGCUUAUUAUUGAGUGCUUUAGCAUAUAUGAAUCAAUAAGCCUGCUUGUCAAAGAAGUUGUUGGUUCAAAGUUAGGUCUUUUCUAUAAAACCGCAUCGUGUUAUUCGGUCUGAACGUAGACAAAUGUUCACGGCAAAUAUAACCCGUCUAUCCGCAAGGUCUAUACUGGAAUAAUUCAGCCAGCAACAAUUCGGCUAGCAAAUUGGUUUCAAACAUUACCAAUCUCAUAAUUAGUUAGGCAUUGUCAUUACAUAAUCCUCCAAAGCUAAUCUUAAUCGGAGUAAUAAUAGCUCUCACUCUCAUUGGUUGGUGACUUCGGAUCCACAGAGUCCGCUGAAGCAUUGCAAUGAGAAGACAUCCACAGUGCACAAGGAGCAGGCUUAUCACACACGUGACAGUAACACUGCAUAAUAUUGUUGAUCUCUACUGUUAAAACAAUGUACAUAUCUAAGCGAGAAAAAAGACAGUUUCAUAGAAUAAUUUUAGGAAAACAUUAAACUACAAAAUUAGUCCAUUUCAUACUUCACUUAAUUUUUUACUUAAACCCUUCAAUGAAAAGAUUAACAAUUACCAGAUCACAGUGGGUUGCAUUAGAAGUUGAUCCAAAGGGAAAGUUCAAGCAAAGAUGUCUCGGAUGUGGGUAAUCUCUACAAGCCACCUGCUCAAUAUAUUUCAUCACAUUUUGUCAUGAUUAUAAAUAUGUGUAAACCCAUUUGACCCCCAAAAAAGAGAAGGAAAAUCAUAUAUAAAACCCUAAUUAUAGCCUUAAUUUUAAAACUCAAACCUGGCCUGACUCAUGGAUGAUUUCCAAAUCUUUAUCAAGGGAAAAUGAGAGCCUUUUAACGUCAAACGAAUCAAAAGGAUUGAAAUCGAGGAUGAAGCAAUCCUCUGUUUUUUCAAAUCUCUUCAUGUCUCGUCUGGUUUUCACACAUAAAAUGCCUCUGAGUGGACUCCCUUCUUCUUCCAAUGAUGGUUUCGUUGUUCUCGCCUUCGUCCCCAUUUUUCCCAACUCGUAGAGGUCGGAAGGAAAGAGUGGAAGACCAAACAUUGCAGCUAGUGAAGGGUCUUAAUGUUUUAGUUUUUUUUUGUAGUCAUAAAGAGUAGUUUCUAACUUCUAGACUUGUAAAAAUCGAGUGAGAGAAGGGACAGUUGCAAUUAGAGUAAGGCCUUAAUGCUUUAGUAAUAUGGGCCAACUUAUAAUGGCCGAAAACUACAAAGUGCAAACUUGAAUAAAAUCAGACUUUUGUAUGUUCGGCCUAAAGAAACUUGGUAGAAUAUUGAGAAUUUGGUUGGUUACGAUAACAAGGAAAUUUGCAAAACUAUCCUCAAACAAAACAAUGAUUUGAAAACACCUCUCAAAAAACACCAAAGGCAUAAGCUAGUUCCGAAAAUGCUAGUUCUAAUGUUUGCGUCUGAUGAUAUAUAUUUAUCGAGGACGUGAUAUUCAGGUGUGAAGUCUGAUACUUACGCUUGUGCGUAAAACUUCAAAUCACCACCCUUUAGUCUAAAAUAAAAAUAAAAAAUCAUAUAUUUAUGUUUGUUCAUAUAUUAUCAUAUGCAUGAAAACUAAGUGUACUGGAACACCGAACAUUUAGUUGUGAAUUUCAUGUCGAGCAACCACCAAAAGGAUACAAUCCAUUUCCAAUCCUUUCUAUUUAUUUUACGAUUUAAUUCAUUUAGGUGUCAAGGUUAACAUGUAACAUCCAUAAAUACUAUUUUACUUAUUCUUUUAUGGAUAAUAUAAGGCACGUUCUGUGAUCAUGACGUAUAACACGGUAGUAGGUAGGAUUUUUUUUUUUUUUUUCCCUCAAUAAGACUUUGAAAAUUGAGGUUUCUCGUCCCAUUUUUAUUUUUUAUUUUCUAUUUUCUAAUUGCUAUUAUAGAAUUUUUCAGAUUAAAGCUAUACUUUUGAAAAUAGAGGCCAUACUCCAAAACCUUAAUUAUAUUAUUUUUACUAUGAUUAAGAAAAUUAAUCAUCGAAGUCAACUAACUUGGAUGAUCUAAGUACAUUGGAUGAUAACUUGACUACAUAAUUUAAAUUUAACUCUAAAUGAGCUUGUCGGGUAACUUUGUCAAAAAUAGUAUUUUGUUUUUCCACUAUAAUUUUUAUAUAUUACUUUUGAUCUUCAUAAACCUUGGAUGUGUUAUUUUGGUUGAUUUUAAAAUUUCCAAUGCAAAAGUCAUUUCCAAUCAUAAACUGGAAACUGGUGUAUAUGACACAUGACUCUUAAUUAAGCUAUCUCGUAUACAACAUUCGAGGAUUGUCAUAGCACGAUCCUCUUUAUUGAAUCAAAUGUUGGACUUUACAUCUUUACUUCUGUAGUUCAACGUACCAAUUUCGACGGACAGUAAAACAGUAUAUGUAAAUUAUAAAUAUUAUAUAAAUGUUGUACUUUAUAUGUAAAAUUUGUAUAUAAAACACCAAUUUCUUCAGUGAAUAAACUUAUCAAUUUCAACGGACAUAAAUAAGCAAAUGUACUUCUUCUUUUUUGUGUGCAAAAAAAUCCGUAUGUACUUGUUAGUCGAAACUAAUAAAUAGUUGUACCUGACUUGUGGUCCUAUAACAGUUUGUGUUUGUUAUCUGAAGGCAAUGCGAAGUGUUGGAGAUAUGUUCACAAUGAACAUCUUUCAGAGUAGUAGGUGAGAGAUGAGAGAUGCUUCUCUUUUUGUAAUACGAAAUUCUACCAAAUCACAAGUUCACACGUGUCUCGUUUGAAAAGAAUCAAUUUUUGUAUCAAUAGUUAUAAGAAAAUAAAUUAUUUGUCUUGUGGUUGUGGUUGUGGUUGUGGUAGGUGAGAAAUAUCAAAUAUUUUUCUUUGUUAAACAAUUCAAACAAAGAUAACCAACUCUGAUGACUUACAAUGGUAGUAUUUUCUUCUUUUUUUUUGGACAAAAAAUGGUAGUAUUUUCUAAUCAUGGAUUCUUAUCAUAGAUUACUACGAAUUUAUUUGGAUUGGAUUUAGUUUACAAACAAAAUUUCACCUUACUUAAUUCAACUGCAAAGUUAUUUGAAGAGUAUAUACAUAUUUUGAUGAGGAUAUACAUGUGUUCUUUAUAUUGAAGGGUCUUUACCUACUAAUUUUUGUGUAUGCAUGUAUUCUUAACUUAAUCUUGUUGUUAAAGCAUUUAAGAAAAUUAAAAGUGAUCUAGAAAGUGAAGUACAUCGAAUCUGGUUUAGUGAAUUAUCUUUCACAAUUCAACACAAGUUGUAUAGAAAAUUAAGAUGGUGUAAAAGUAUUCGUCAUGCUAUGACGACGAUAAAUGAUUUUAAAAUUUUCACUUAAGUAUUAGUGUAUUACGUAUAUGUAUCUUAAUAAAGAAAACAAGAAUAAUCUUGUGCCGAACUCAAUUUCAUAGUUAAAAACUUUUUUUUUUGGACAACCAAAUGAAUUUAAUUAAAGCAUUUCUAGGUAAAACUUUUCAAUCCUUUCUUAUUUUCUAUUGAAGUAGCUGACAUUCUAUGAAAGCAAAUGUCAAGGAAAUGAUUUAGCGUUGAAAAAAAUGAAUGAUAACGAUUUUAAGCAGAAACUGACAAUCAAUUAGGAACAAGUGUGUCGUCUGGGUCCUACUCACCAUACUAUCUGUCCGACUUUGAUUACACAGUCCUCUCAAGUCUAAUCUUUUUCCUUUUAUUAAUCUAUUUGUUUAUCGAUUAAGAGUUUGAUCACUCUAUAGUUUGUAUAAAAACGUUUGGUUUCAUGAGAAUUAAAGUUAAAAUGACGACCCAAAAAAAUGUUUAAGAUUGUCAAGUGUAAUGACCAUCCAUACAUUCUUAGUUAACCUACUUUCAUUUACAUAUCUGCUAAUUCCAAAUUUUAGUACCGUACUUUUUCAUCUUAGAGAUACUUUUCUUUUUCCAACUUUUUCUAGAAUUAUUCUCUCUAUUUAACAAAACGUGUCAUUCUACCACUGUUUACAUAAGUUAAGAAAAAAUGUGAAAAAAAUAUUUUAUGUCCUUUGAUAAUAAUCUAUAACAGUUUAUCUCUCUAGUCAAUAGACUGAAAUAAUAGGGAUUAAAAAAAAACUGCAAAACGACAUUCUUUGUUACACAAAAUUAUUAUAUUAAAACAACAUUCUUUGUGAAAAGGGAGUAUUAUUAAUUAGAGUAAACGGUUAAAACAUUAUCCUAACACUAAUAAUCAGUUUUGAAAUUAUUGUUGGGCUUUGUAUGAUUUUUUUGAUUGUUUUGUUAAAGAAAUAUGAUGAUAAAUUUAGAUAUCACGUAAUUAAAGAAAAUCUGUUAUACUAGAAAAUCUUAAUAGUACAACUUUUAGCGUAGUUUCUGUUCUUUCAAAAAUAUGACAAACUUGCUUACUGUUACCGAAUUUAAUAGCUUUUUAUUUUUGGUGUGUGCGAAACCGAAUUUAAUACCUUUAUACAUAGCAAGUUUAACAUAAAAUUUAGUAGUACAUAACAUUGUGAUACUAGCUAGGUUUCCUAAAAAAAGGCAUACUUGUUGUUACUGUUAGCGAAUGUAAUAGCUUUAUAGCAAGUUUAACAUAUGUAAUAAAUUAUAAAAGCUACUUUAGUUAUAAAUUUGUAUUUUUUUAGAACGGAUCGUAAUAUAUUUGGAUGUAUUAUCUCCGAAAUAUUUAUUUUUUCAUGGCCUAUUAUUUAUUUUUAUUAAAUUUUCUGACAUUAUGGCCUAUUAUUAAUUGAUAAAAUACAAAAGAAUGGAUGUGUCUCGAUUUUCAAUUGGACCAAAUCAUUAAGCCAGAUCAGAAAAUUGCGUUAAAAUAUGCCAAUCGUCUCUACCUUCUUUAAUAUAUUUUCAUAUAAAUAAACCUCUCAACCUCCACACUUUCUCACCCAUCACACAAUCCUCAAAACAGAGUAACCCAAAAAACAGAGCAAUCUCUAAAAAAUCUCAAGAAACCUCACUAAAAUGGGUUCAACGGCAGAGACACAAUUAACUCCGGUGCAAGUCACCGACGACGAAGCUGCCCUCUUCGCCAUGCAACUAGCCAGUGCUUCCGUUCUUCCGAUGGCUUUAAAAUCCGCCUUAGAGCUUGACCUUCUUGAGAUUAUGGCCAAGAAUGGUUCUCCCAUGUCUCCUACCGAGAUCGCUUCUAAACUUCCGACCAAAAAUCCUGAAGCUCCGGUCAUGCUCGACCGUAUCCUCCGUCUUCUUACGUCUUACUCCGUCUUAACCUGCUCCAACCGUAAACUUUCCGGUGAUGGCGUUGAACGGAUUUACGGGCUUGGUCCGGUUUGCAAGUAUUUGACCAAGAACGAAGAUGGUGUUUCCAUUGCUGCUCUUUGUCUUAUGAACCAAGACAAGGUUCUCAUGGAAAGCUGGUGAGUUUUCUUCAUAUUACUCGUAUGAGUUCUGACUUUUAAUAGAUCGUUAUGGUAAAUCAAGCUAGACAAGACAAAUUCUUUUUUGAUAAUGUUGUUUCAUAAGUUAUGGAUCUUGGUUAAUGGAUUAAAAAUGAAAUUGUGCAAAGGUAAAGGUGAGAGAGAGGCACAAAGUGUCAAAGACAAUCAGACAAAUACAGACAAUACGACACGUAUAGUCUAAACCUGCUCUCUCCACUAGAAAACUAUAUUAUAUGCAAUUCUUUUAGUUAGUGGUUAUAACGAGCUACUUAAAUGAAUUUUGUUGCUGUGCCAAGAUUAUACAAAUAAUAAGGAGAAACUUCAGAAACAUUUAUGUUAGUUGGUCCAAUCAAAAGAAACACUCUUUUUUUUUUUGCAGAAAAAACACUCUUUGUUUCUAUGUUUUAGUUCAUGGCUUUAAAUAGAGAAGCUGUAAUCGUUCUUCCUAUUAUUGAGUAACAAAAUAAGGAGAUAGAAUAGCAACAUGAUUAGGAAGAGAAUUGUUCUUUUCAUGAUCUAGAAAACUUCAAAUCUGGUUUUGGUUUUCUUCAAUCGAACCGGCUGGUUCUCUAUGCAAACCGGCUGCUCUUUAUCAAACUGUACAAUCAACUUGCCGUGGAUCUAGUUCAAUCUUGUGGUCGAAUUCAAAAACUUUAUUAUAGUUAGUGGUAAUCAAAAGUUGAUGGUAUCGAAUUUGAAAAAACAAAAGAAAGUUGAGGGUUUAAGUUAAGCUAAAAGAGUGUAUAUGUGUUUUCUUAAACUAAUGCCAAAGAGUCAUGUUUUAGGUACCAUUUGAAGGAUGCAAUUCUUGAUGGUGGGAUUCCAUUCAACAAGGCUUAUGGAAUGAGCGCGUUCGAGUACCACGGGACUGACCCUAGAUUCAACAAGGUCUUUAACAAUGGAAUGUCUAACCAUUCCACAAUCACCAUGAAGAAGAUUCUUGAGACCUAUAAGGGUUUUGAAGGAUUGACUUCUUUGGUUGAUGUUGGUGGUGGCAUUGGUGCUACACUCAAAAUGAUUGUCUCCAAGUACCCUAAUCUUAAAGGCAUCAACUUUGAUCUCCCACAUGUCAUCGAAGAUGCUCCUUCUCAUCCUGGUAUAUUAACAUUUUCCUAACAUUUCGCAAAAUGAGAUUUCCUUGGAAGAUUAUGUCAUCUUAUGACUAAAUUAAUGUAGGUAUUGAGCAUGUUGGAGGAGAUAUGUUUGUAAGUGUCCCUAAAGGUGAUGCCAUAUUCAUGAAGGUUAGUAAUUAAUCAAGUAUUUUACACCAAAUUCAAGACUAAUUAAGAAAAUUCUUGACAUUAUACGUAAUUCAUCAAGGAAUGUAUCUCAAACAUUUUCUCAUUGUUGUAACAGUGGAUAUGUCAUGACUGGAGUGACGAACAUUGCGUGAAAUUCUUGAAGAACUGCUACGAGUCACUUCCAGAGGAUGGAAAAGUGAUAUUAGCAGAGUGUAUACUUCCAGAGACACCAGACUCAAGCCUCUCAACCAAACAAGUAGUCCAUGUCGAUUGCAUUAUGUUGGCUCACAAUCCCGGAGGCAAAGAACGAACCGAGAAAGAGUUUGAGGCAUUAGCCAAAGCAUCAGGCUUCAAGGGCAUCAAAGUUGUCUGCGACGCUUUUGGUGUUAACCUUAUUGAGUUACUCAAGAAGCUCUAAAAACAAACAAUGUUCCUAUGAAGAUGAUUUAUAUGUAAACAUUAUCUCAUAUCUCCUUCCACGGUUCCAAAACUAUGCUGUUUAAUAAUGGUUUUUACAAGAAUUUGAUUAUGAGUUUGUAUUUUUGUUUGUUUGGAACAAAAUUAUGUGAUUAUAGGGAAAAAUAAAAUGAGCUAUUAUUGAAGAAAUCACAGUGAAAAAAAAAAAGAUUAUCCGAUUACAAUCAAUCACGUUCAGAUAGUUUCCACGUGGACUCUGUUCGUUCACCGACCAAGCUAGUUUCAACGAAUCUUGCUUGAUUAACUCAAAACUUUUCAAACUUCUCUUACAUUUUCUAGACUCUUCUAGCUUUACUUCUCUCGUUACCGAUUAUAAAUAUUUCACCAGCCCCUUCUUCUUCUUCUCGUCAAGAAACAAAAAAGUUACAAAAUCUCAACAAAAAGAAUUCGAGGAUGAUGUCUAUUUUUAGCCCAUUCGAAGCUCUUUACGCCGAAUCCAACGGCUUCAAGAUGAUAUUCUCAGGCACCAAGAAGCAAAGCUCCGGUGAUAAUCAGUCGCCGGCGACAGAUCAGCAAAAGAACGCUGGAAAAACUCCGAUUUCGUCAGACGAUGAAAAGAGUAAUAAGAAGAAGAUCCAACCUAUGAGGAUAGCUCCAGAGCUCGAUGGUCUUCAUUGUUUUGAAACUAUUCUUCCUUUUUAAUGAUCAUGAUUCAUGAUAAAGAGAUUUUAUUCAUUACUUGUAAAAAAAAUGUUCCUUCCUUUGUAUAAAGAUUAAUAAUCAUACAGCUUAUUCCAAUUCUAUAAACUAAUUUUGGAAUGGAUUAUUCUUAAUCUACUUAAAACGAAUCUAAAUUUAUAUGUUGAUCUAUAUUCUUGGUCUCAAGAUUCUAUGAAGAAGUAGUCUGACUCUCACUUCUUGUUGUUCCUUCGAGCUGACGUUUUCUUCCACCAUUAACAAACCUUUUCCCAAAACCUAAAAGAAACGCAGGAGGAACAAAAGCACCUCCGCUUAAACUGCAGACAACCGCAACAGCUCCACCGAUAAUCAACAGUUUCUUCAGAUUCGCAGCUCGGUUUCCUUGGUUUAAUGUAACGGGAGUUUCAGUGACAGGCGAUGCACCGUUGCUGAGGGAGAUGAGAUGGUCUUGUGUGAUCUUGGUGUUGAUUUGAGCCAUGAAAGCAGACCGAGAAAGCUUGGUUCCUCCAUCUGAGAGUCUAUGCGUUUGGUAAGCACGUAAACCGGGUUCCAUCUUCUUCACUGCUCCCCACAUUCCUCGUUUCACUCCAAGCUUUGCGAUUUCUCUAGGUAUUCCCAUGUCUUCGUGGUGGAAUAGAAGUACUUCGCAGGCACUUGUUACCCCAUCGUCUCUUCUUGAUUCCACUGCAUAAAUUUACCAUAUUGAGGAAAAUGUUUCACUUUGUUUAAAGUUAUUCGGUUCUUGAAAGAUCACAGAAGAUAUCUUUACCUGGUCGAAUGCACCAGCUUGAGUAGAACAAAUCCACGCGUUUUUGUUUGUUGUUAGGCGGUAUAGAAGGAACCGAUACUCCCUGAACCAAGAACGAGAUACAAUCUUAGGGUGUUGUUAUUGUAACUGGUUCUUUGCAAUGCAAAGUAAGAGCACAAAAAAUGAAUCUAUUCUUCAUCUCUUUUCUAUAUAACCUGUUCAAAUCCCAAACCAACUGAUUUAGAGGUAAGCUGGCAAUUCAAUUGCAAUUCUAUGCAGAAAAACUAGCCUGACAUCGAAGCUAACUCGAGCUUCUUUUUACUCUUUAUCACAUCAAUGUAAAAGAGUCCAUUUUUGUUACUAGUACACAUACCUUUGUAACACAGUAAUAAGAGUUUCCACAAUUCCAUAUCCUGCGACCGAUUACAUACUCUCUAUCACUGCAGAAGAACGGGAACUGCAACACCGGAACAUACAUGAAAGGAAAGAUCAAUCUAAGAACCACUCAUCAAAAUGUUACAAAACAAGUAAAGUAACUAGAGAGGCAGAGAGUAACUAACCUUGCGUAUCCAUCUAACAAUCAUGGUUCCAGUACUGGGACACUCUUCAACAGUAGUGGAAUUAGAAAGCAUUGUAUCCCAAGUUGGUCUAAACUCAUCAUCCCAGAAAAAGUCUCUUAACAUCACAGGAGUUGCAUCUUCAAACACAGUUCUACUUCUAUACUCAGUAGGACCAUUCUAAAACAAAACACAAAAGACCCAUCAAGAACAAAAAGAAACAAAUCUCUCUAUCUCAAACACACAAGAGCAAGUAAUAUAUUACCUUAGGUUCUCUCAACCAAGCUUGGUAUCUCAUACCAGGAGUAAAACGAUCCAUCAUCUGAAUCCAAGCUUGACCACCAUCUUUCCUCUCAACCAAUUGCACAAGAUGUCUCAAAUCUAACUCUGUUACAGUAUUAGGCAAUCUCUCCUUUGUUUUCUUCACUCUACAAAAAAUCAAAACACACAAAAAUUAACAAACCAAAACAAAACCCUUAGCUAUAACUAAACCAUCACAAUCAUCAAAAUUAGCUUUACCUUGAAACCAAAUCCAAAUGUUGUUCAGAAGAAUCAUAUGAAGAAGAAGAAGAAUCAGGAGAAACUGUUUGUCUCUGUUGUCUUAAAGCCAUAGUCCAUGUAUCACAAACAAGAGCCUUUAAGCAAGGAGCUGAUCCAAAACCCUUCAAAGGAGAAGUAACAACAGAACUAGGAGAAGAAGAUGGUAAAGACAAAUCAAAAGAUCUUGGAGCAGAACAUUGUAAUUUGACUUGUCGAUUAUUAGAAGAAGAAACCCAUCUUGGUUUCCAUGCCCAUCCAAUAACCAACCCAAUAACAAAAGCUAACCAUCCUGUGAUUAGCCCUAAUAUUAUACUCUCAAGCAAAGCCAUAACUUUGCAGAGGAUAAGUAAGAGAAAGGGUACGCCUUUAAAUAUGUUAAGAAGAAACUAAAAAAGAAACGAUUUUUUUAUUUGGAUAAAGAUGAAAACUUUGAAGGCGGUGAGAGGAAGAAGACAAAGAAAGGGACAUGAGUGGUGAGAAGAAGAGAGAUAAAUCUAUGGACUUAUGGUAAAGGGGUUAUUAUUCGUAGACGCUAAGUAGUAGUAGCCAUUGAUGGAGCUUGAAAGACCAUUGCUUUUUAGAGGAGGAGAAACAAAAAAAAAAAAUGGUGGACGGAGAGUGUGAAACGACGACCACCGUCCAUUAAGGACCAUUUCUAAAUUACGGUUGAUUAGGAGGAACACUUCAAAUCUUGCAGGGUUUAUUUUUCUUUCCCCAAAUUAAAUUCUGAGUUUUAUUAGUCCUUUGAUUUUUAAUAUCGUAACGUUAUUUUAUAGCCGCGUUUUUGAUGUCACAUUUUAUAAAUGUGUUAAAUGUAAAUAUUGGUUACAAACUUUUAUAACAUGAUUGUUUUGACUUUUUUUUGGAAGACUUGACUAUGGAAUUUUGCUCACUAGCAUUAACUCAUCUGUUUGAUGUAUUCAAAGUUUGAACAUCUAUUUACUAGGUCUUUCAUCUUCUUAAAACUAAAAAUUUCUCACAUUUCUUAUUACUUCUAUCAUAAUAUUUACGUAUCCAAAAAAACGAUCAGUCAUGUCAAAAUUGUUUGAGUUAAGAAUUAAAAGAUCAUUUUCCAAGUUUGAGUUAGUUUAUGAAAAUCAGAAAAAUAUUUUGUGUUUUAAUCAGUACAAAAUUGUAUAUUUGUGCUGCUAAAUAUGUUAGAGUAAUGCAACUAUGUUUGUUUUGGACAUUAAACAAAAAAAGAACAAUAUUGCAAAGACGAAUUUGGAAUCCUUUGACCUUGCCAAGGCCAUAGACACAUUACCACUUGUGCAAGGAGCAAAUGACGAUUUAUAAUAAAUUACAAACAAACUUAUCUUAAUAAAUUUAUCACUACCUUGAAGGGGCAUUGAGACCAUAGCAUGUUACAUGAGGAAAAGAAAACCUUUGUACUGAUUAAAAGAACACUUAAAGAGUUAAUCCAUUGUCACGGCUAUUGUCACCACCAUUACCAUUGCCACGCAUGAUCGUCUCCAUGACUCCAUUGUUGCCAUUACCACAUCGUUUCCACAAUCAUGGCAAAUGCAAUAUAGUGGCAAAGGUGAAAGAGAUAGACAGAUAGUAAUGUUCCGAUACUAGGGGUGGCUUAAAUAAUUUUUCUAUCGUAAUGUUAAGAUGAUAGGUACUAUUGCAUUUUUGGUAGAUGAAGGGUAAAUUAUAUAAGAUUAAAAGUUUGAGGAUUCUUUUGCAAUUUUCCCAUAUUAGAAACGAAACAUGUUCUCUUCUCAGGCCCAAUAACAUUUUUUGUUAAAUCUUUGAUUAUUAAAGUUAACCCAUCUUGGAAUCAAACACGACCGUUAAAAUCAGAAACCUUGGUUUUGGAUAUAGCCAGCCAUGGUGAUCUUAUCUCUCGUCUCUUGUUCCUUCUCCGUUUUCUCACCGCCGAUUAGUCUCCGGCUUCAUCUCCCGCCGGUAACUUCUCUCUGCUCCCAUGGAACCUUCCCUGCUUCUUCUACAUUUCGGUCUCAGCUACAACCAUUGCUUAUCAGCUGCUUAAAUCAUCGAGAACCUGCUUUAACUUUCCGAUGUAGCUGCCUUAGCUCUCCGAUUGAAUCCGGAAGUCAAAUUGGUAGGUGAAUCUGACUAUCUGACAUUUCUCUGCAUUCAUUUGUUCUCUGAAGCAUAUUUGCAAACACUUGGUGUGCGUUAAUGCAAACACUUGUGUGCGUUAAUGCAAACACUAAGUAUCUCUCUUUUGCUUUGCAGAAUCUCUGUUUUCGUUAUUCCGAGAUAUUGGGUUUAUAGAAGAAGAAACUGAGAUGAUUUUAGCGAAGAACCCAGAUAUAAAGUCGACAUCUUUGGAUAAAAUCGGUGCUCGUGUUGCUUCUCUUCAGUCUCUGAAAAUCAAUGGCUUCCCGCUUCAGGGUUUGAUAGCUAAGUGCCCUAAUUUAUUGACUUCAGAAGAAUUUGAUCUCGUUAUUAGUUUCUUAGUUGAUGAACUUGAAGGAAGGCUUGAUCCUGAAUUAGUUGAGCGCUUACUCUCUGUGGUAGACACAUCUAUCUUGCUUAGUUUUAAUCAGAAGGUGAGAUUGCUUCUCCUCCAUGGGAUACCUAAAGAAAAGAUCUCUCAUGUAUUGAACAAAGUGUACCUAAAUAAAUUGCUGUAUCAGAAAUCAGUUGAAGAUAUUGAGAGAUUGAUUAGUUUCUUGGAACCUUUUGGUGGAAUUGGUAUAAUUGCUAGGCGGCCAGUGAUUCUCAAUAGUGACUUGGAUAGUCAGUUGAUUCCUAGGGUUGAUUUCAUUAGGAAUCUAAGCGGGGAAGACGAUUUCGCUACUGGAACGGUGCUACGUAGACUUCCUGCCAUAUUGAGUUAUAGUGUUGAGCAUAUGAACGGCCAAGUAGAGUUUCUCAAGUCUUUUGCUGGCUUGACGAGUGAGCAAGUGUUUAAGAUUGUUCAUGUGUUCCCUAAUGUUAUCAGCACUAGUAAAGAGAGGAAACUGCGCCCGAGGAUAGAGUUUCUGAAGGAAUGCGGCUUUGAUUCCCCCGGCAUGUUCAAAUUCUUGAGUAAAGCACCAUUGAUUUUAGCUCUAUCCGAAAAUAAUCUCUCGCACAAACUCGGUUUUCUGGUGAAGAUUGGAUAUAAGCAUAGAACAAAGGAACUGGCCUUUGCGAUGGGAGCUGUGACCAGAACAAGCUCUGACAAUAUGCAGAGGGUUAUUGGACUGUACUUGAGUUAUGGUCUUUCAUUCGAAGACAUUCUAGCAAUGAGCACAAAACAUCCUCAAGUCCUGCAGUAUAAUUAUACUUCUUUAGAGGAAAAACUGGAGUAUUUGAUCGAGUACAUGGGUCGUGAAGUCGAAGAACUUCUUGCAUUCCCUGCAUUUCUUGGAUACAAGCUUGAUAGCAGGAUCAAGCAUCGGUAUGAAGAAAAGUUGAAGAGCAGAGGUGAGAACAUGUCUCUUAACAAGCUUUUGACAGUAUCAGCUGAAAGAUUCUCUAAGGCGGCUGAUAAUAUCGAAAUGAUUUGUUUAUGACCAAGUUUGAGUUCAUUGAGAACUUACAUCAAUAGUUUUUAUCACAAAUUCUCACUUCGAUAUCAACAGUAAUACUCUAACUGUCUUGAUUUUAUAGAGUUAAGCUUUUCAUUAUGUAAAACACUUACAAACUAAGUAGAGAACAUGUCGGUCAGAAAAACGAGAAUAUUGCAAAACUGGAGCACUAAAAAGGAUCCGAGUAGGGACUAUUCAAAGCAAACUCUACCCUGCCUGGAUUUUAUUUGGAGCAAAUAAUAUAAGUUUGGGCUUUUCGUAAAUAUAAGUUAAGUGGGCGUUGGCCCGUAUAUCGCCAAAUCGAGUUAUGUCAUGUGCUCCGUAAAAGUCCCACAUCGCUUGCCUAGAAACUUAACUUCUUGAAUAUAUAAGACUGUGAGAGCGUUGAUGGUCACGACCUUACUUGAACAGGAUCUGUUCUAUAGGCUCGUACCUCUGUUUCCUUGAUUUCUCAAGAGACAGGCCUUUUACCCUGGUUGAUGAACCAUGACCGUGCGGCUAGAGCGUGAUUGACGGCCACGAUCGUCUUCGGACGCAUCCGGUGCUGUAGAGGAUCGUUACUCGGCUCGGUUCUACCUUGCCGGGGUGGUCGCACGGCGGUCUGACAGGUCCCUUUCCUUCUUUUUUUUUUUUUCCUUUCUCCGGUUUUUUUUGCUCUGUUUUGAGGUCUAUUGAACACUCGCUAAAUUAAAAAUAAAAACAUAUAUGAUUGUAGGUGAUAUUAGAGUCUCUUUAUUUCUAAUCUUUUUGUUAUAAAGCUGUAUGACUCUGCUUCUCCUUGUAGUUUACAAUCUCUGUUUCAUGUUCUUUGACAAAAAAAACUUGAAAAGUGGAAUUAUUUGUUUCAUUACAGAUAGAAUCAGCCAAAACACAACUACUAAAUCAAAGUUGUUACAGGCUUUAUUAAUGUCUCCUUUUUUGUUUGUUUCUCAUCUUAAGCCAAACCAAAGGUUGAAACACCGAGGAAAAAUCUCAUAUCAAAUUUUAGGCCAAGCCUACGAGCUUCUCGCUGACUUCCCAAACUCUACGAGCCUUCUCGACAUCGCUAGCUUCUUGAGACAGCUGAUUCUCAAAUGAAGCCGAGGUCUUGUUCCAGCUCCAAUACACUCCCGACUUCGUCAAGCUUGGAUCAGCCACCACCUUCAACAAAUCAAUACAUAGGUUGAGUACAUAGCAAGAAUAAUAAACUGAAAGAAUGGUUUCUUGCGUCACAAACAACGUUAGGUUUUGGUUAAUUUUCUAACCUGAGCAAGUCUUUUCCCAGCCUCUGACUCGGAGACGUAACCUUUUGUGAUGUACUUCUGGAAAGGAGGGAAGAGGGUACGGAAAAGAGGAAUAUGCUCUCUGAACAAACCAGUCGUUGCAAUACAACCGGGGUAAAGGGAAGCAAAAGUUAUGCCGGUGUCUUCAUGGAAACGCCUAUGAAACUCCUGCAUUGUCAACAUGUUGCAGACUUUGCUAUCUUUAUACGCCUUUGCGCCAACAAAAUCUCCUCCAUCUAUCAUCGCCGAGCUGUUUAGCCCGUUCAACCCGCCUGCUAGUCCCCUCAAAUCACCAAGAUUAGCCUUUGGAGGUACAUUACCAGCCAAUGUAUUAGUGUUUCCUGCUCAAUAAGAAACAAAACGAAUAAGAUUUCAGAUUUAGGGUUUAGAGUAAGUAGUAAGUACAUAAAGCAUUCUUCUUAUGAGGAGACUACAGACCGGUUAUGGAUCCAACAAUGAUGAGACGUUUUGAUGGAUAAUCGGAGUUCUUCAAGUCAUCAAUCAACAAUCUUGAAAGAAGAAAGUGGCCCAAAUGGUUUAUCCCAACGCUAAGCUCAAACCCUUCAGCAGUGAAAGUAGGUUGAUUAGCCGUUGGCUGAUAGACUGCGGCAUUGCAGACCAACACAUCGAGAGGCAUCUCAGCUCGCCUGAAGUUAUCAACAAACUGCCUCACGCUGUCCAAAGACGCCAAGUCCAAAUGCAUCACAGUGUAGCUGUCCUUAGGCAUCCCUGCAGAUUGAGCGGCUCUCUCAGCCUUGAGGAAGUCUCUGCACGCCAUUAUCACGUGCCAUUUACCUGUCUCGGCUAAUGCCUUUGCCGUUGCUAAACCUAGCCCUGAAGAAGCUCCCGUGACAACCACGUUUCCUUUUCUAAGUGUUUUCUUGCGGUCUAAGGAAGAUUUUGUGACUGAUGGAGUUGAAGUCGCGAUUGCUUGAGCUCGAAUAAUCGCUUUAUUAUUCCUCAAGCUCUGUUCCCUCUACAAAGUAGAAGCAUUUCAAUUGAUUAGAUUAUUACAUCAUUUUCCAAGAAAAAUACUCAUAAAAGAUUGUGUUUGGUACCUUGCAUCUCAAUGAGGAAGAGACAAAGUCAGCUUUGCUUUGCUCCGAAAGUGAAACACCGAACAGACUAGACUCUUUGAAUGAUGAUGAUGCUGAAGCAUUUAAUUUUCCCUGCAACCAAAACAUGCGAAUUAAUCUCCGAGACAGGUCAUAAACAAAAAGGAAACGAUUACUAAAACAAAGAAAGAGAUAAUAAAAUACAUCUUUGCGGACAGAGAAAGCAGAGGAGACCAAAGAAGCAGCUUGAAGGGCCAUUGUUUCGUUUAAGACUUAAAGAGUGUAAUGUGAAUGUUAUGCAAAUGUCUGUGCUUGCGUGAGUUUAUAUAGAAGUUGAGACAAGAGAAAGGUGGUCCCCUCCCAUAUGUGUUUCCUAGGAUAUGUGUGGAUAAGAUUAUCUUUAGGGAAAGUUUUUGUCAGUUUCUUUUCUUAAAGCCAAUGAUAAUUCGAGAAUUAGAUUUUCUGUCAGUAGAUAUUUUAAUGUAUAAUUUCAUGGGACUCCAUCUCUUUGUGUAUGGGAGGAUUAACAGAGAGCUAGAGCCCUAGAGGUAUGAAACAAAAUUAUACUCUGACUUGUUAUGGACACUCUGAUCUAAAGAUAAAACUGUUCAUUGAAAUGAUGAAUUGACAAAAAUACCCAAUUAUUUUACAUGUAAAGAUAAACCUAAAGACAAUUACAAAAUGUGUAUACAAAAGUUUACCAUAUAUUCUCUCCUUGAAGAGUUAUAAUAUCAGAGACAAAUUCUACAAACUUCAAGUUGAAUAGCACAGACUUUCAUCGAAGCAAACUAUAUUGGUAUAUGAAGUUUCUUUUUCUGCCUAUUUGAAUCUUUCUUAAAAAUAACAUUAUAUAUAUUUGCUAGAGAUUUGAAUUUUAGAGAUAACAAAUCAGAUAAAUAAAAGAAGCGUGGUAAAAAAAAAAAACGAGAGAAGUCAGUGGAUGAACCAAACCUUCUCUCAAUCUAUACACUUUUGACAGGAGAUGGUUUUACUAAGGGAAAAUUUCACUUUGCCUUAGGAUUUUGAUAUUGUAAAACCUUCUCCUUGCAUCAUAGACGAACUGGAAAUCCAAAAUUCUGAAAUAUUCUGAUUUCGCCUCGUAGACUGCCAGUCACAAUCACCAUAGACCACGCCGAGGCACUCGGUUUUGUGUUAACCUGUAUGUUAGACAUGUCCACGCUCACACGAGGGCUUGUUCUGGCUCGGUUUUUUGCAGCCAGCAAGAGUUUUUCUUCAGGCCAUGUUGCUGAGACUCUAUCGAAGAAGUAUCGGUUUGUGGCGCUUGAAAUGAUACCGUUGGUGACGGUUUUGUUGUUGGUUGGAUCGUUGACAGGUGUCGGAGGGUUAUUAUUGGCUGUGAAGGAUGACUGUUCGGGGCUGUUGUUAGUGUGGUUGUUACUGAUUUUGCCAGGCCAAGGUGCAGCCACAGAGACGUCACGACAAUAAAAGUUUUCGUAUGAGUUUGUGACUGUGACACGUUUGCUUCUUCCUGCUCGAGAGUCUGAGUCGUAGUUCCAUACAUACACAUUAGAGUCUUCGCUUGCUGAUACUAGGAAUUUCCCGUUUGAUGUAAGUGAAGCCGAGAUUUGGCUAUUCGUGUUGCGAAAUCCUGCGAACCCGAAAAUUUUCUAAAACUCAGAAAAACACACAUUACUUGGCAAGAACGUUGAGCUUAUUUUACUCCAACACCAGAUCAAGAAAAAGCGAAAGAACAUCAUGUUCAUGAAAUGUGGGACUCAUGUGUAUCUUAGAUGACGAUAGAGCGAGAAAUUCACCUCCAUGAACAAUAAAGUUAUUCCUAACUCCCGAGUUCUAAGAAUGGAGAAGAGAGUUUUAAGCUUAGUAUUGUUUACCUUUAAACUUGUGAACAAGGUCAACACCAUCAACAACACGCGUACGUGAAUCUGCAGAUGUGACGAGAACUUCCGAUGAACUUCCUGCCACAAACUGUGAAAGUUUCACGAGAAUAGUCAGAUAAACCAGUACAGCAUCCAAAACAAAAUUGUAGUAUAAAUGAAAAGAUGAGAACAGAACGGUGUAAGUUGUUUUAGCUUUACCUGAAAACCAGUGAUUUUCUUGUGAUGGGUUUUCUUUUUCCUGUUCUUCAGAUUGAUUUCGCGUCUCUGCUGCAGUUUGUUAUCUGAAUAAACAAAAAAGAUAAUAAGUUCAAAAGACGAGAUGGAGAAACAACUCAAGUUUCAGAUGAGUAAGUUCUCAGCUUAUGUACCAUGUGUGUUGUAUAAGCAGCAUGUUCCUUUGUAUGAACCAACCAAUGCACCCUUUACAAACCAAGAGAGCUUUAUUAAGGUACUGCGUGAUUUAGUUUUACCCAAAGUCACUUCAAUGUAAGAAAAACUUUUAAUGGCAUACCUGUCCAUCCGGUGUGUAGCAAGCAGCUGUGACCAUCUCAUGAAGAUCAUUCCAAUCAACAACUUGAUGAUCAGGAAUACUCCAUAUCCGAACUUUUGCAUCCAAUGAUCCGCUGAUGAAGUAAUUGUCAUCCACGGGAUUAAACUGGAUGCAAGUCACUGUAUCGAGGAAACAGAAAACUAGAUGAGAGAAAAUUUUAUGUUACAUAACCAACAUAGAAAUUCUUGUGUUUCAGGGAUUUAUUUACAAGUGGAAGAAGCUUGAUUCAUACCACAUUAUAUUGACAUAUGAAUCUUUCCAGAACAGAGUUGACACCUAAAAUGACUUAAUAUUCUUCUAACAAUAUAUGCUUAGUUUCAUAAAGACUAAGAAGAAAAGUAAAUCAUGAUCACUGGUGGGGAAUAGGAUGGUAUAUCCACUCACCGUAGUCACUAUGUGAGAAGACUUUCAAACAUGUCUUGCUAGAUAAGUCCCAUAGACGAACAGUCUUAUCCAUGGAAGAGGAAAGCAGGUGCUGGAAACAAAAAAAUGAAGUGCAAAGUCUUGAGAAUUCAAGAUUUUAUCUGAUUAAGAAAGACGAAGCAGAUUCUCACAUAACAAACUUAGAAAACCUAAACUUAGCACUAGUAAGAUGAGCAAGGUUCGCAUGAAAAUUUUUGCUCCACAAAAUAAAGUUACCAGUUUGAAAACAAACUUCAUGCUUUAAAUAAGAAUUUGUAGCGAAAUGAGAUGAUCGGGAACUCGUACCCACCUGAGAUUUUGACCACGAAAGAUCAAGUACGUCAUCCAAAUGCCCUACAAAUGAACACACGGGUUUCUCUGAAAGACCAAAGACUGCCUCUGGAACAAGAACAUUGUCCAAGCUCACUGAUUUUCGGCUAAAAGAUGUUCUUCCUCUUCUCUUUGGAGACAUUGAAACGGGUUCGGGUGAUCCAUUUGCUAAAAGAAACAAAUUUAUACUUCCAUCUUCUUGUUUAUCCAUCGACAAGAGUUCCCCUUUUCUUUCUGACUCAACAACCUUCCAAAUCUGAAUAACACAAUCCUCACCAGCACUAGCAAGAUACCUCCCAUCCAAACUAAACUUAAUACUCCAUAUCGAUCCUUUAUGAGCUUGAAUCUCUUGACUCUUGAAAAGUGCAGUAAGCUCUUUACACGACUUCCCAUACUGCCUAACCUUAACUCUCUCAGGGUCAUGAAAAGACAUAUCUCGACUAUCAUCAGUUGCAGAGCUAAACCUCUGACCACCUCUCUCAGACGGUGAAUCCCUAUCAUCGGUGCUCCGUCGCUCUUUAUACCCAGUCACACUACUAGCAACAUUCUUAAUACUCUUUAACCAACUCCCUCUCCUUCUAUGUUUAGUCACCCUGCUUCCACUAACAUUAGUAUCCAAAUCCACAGAGUCUUUACAAACAUCUUCAACAUUUUGCCUCCUCAUCAACUCAAGCACAAUCGGUGACGUACCAACACAAAUCUCAAACUCCUCCAGAGUCAAUUGCCGAUCAGUACCUACUUCCUUCAACCUCUCCAACAUCCCAUCUUCUCGAACUUCAUUCACCACAAACUCUCUCCCAGUAUCUAAAUUCCUAAUAGUACACAUUUGCUCCUCUAAAACAACAUCUCUACCAUUCUCUUUCUCUACAAUGUCCCUAAGAGAUCUUUCCAUUGGCUCUUUGCUUAUAAAAUCAACACCAUCGUUUCGCAUACGAGAUCCAGUAUACUCUCGAUCGACAUUGUCAGUACCUGAUACAUCUGAUCUCAACACACAUUUACCAUGAUGAUUCGAAGUCAAAACAUCAGAAGGAACCGAUCUAGAGAAAUGAGAACUGUUUCUCCGACUUCUAGAACGUAACUGACUCGCCGGAGGUAGAUCCGGCUCAUUACUAAGUCCCAAACCACGCAAUAACCUGAUUCGUCUCUCCGACACAGAUUCAGGCUCAGAUUUCCACAGCUCGAACCCAGAGGUAAACAUAGGAACAGGAAACGGAGUCGGAUCGUGGAUCGAAUCGGAAACAUUCGGGUCAGAGUCGUAAUCAGAGUUUGAAGUUGAACAAGAGCAAGACGAUAGUACACGAUCUAGAGACUCAUAGAAACAAUCGUCAUUGUUAUCUUCUUCUUCUACUUUGUCUUCUUUCUUAGCUUCAAAUCUAACGACGUUGCUUCGUCUUCGAUUCAUCAUCAUCAUCUUCAUCAUGACUGAAGCAAAAGUAUUAUCAUCUGAAAAUGACUUUGUCUCUCUCUGCUACAGUCUUUGGUUGGAGAAAUUUUUGACUGUGAGAGGUUCGAGAAGAGGAAUUAGGGAUUACGAGAAUCAAAAACGAAGUUCGCCAAUGGAGGUUGAGUAAGAGAGGAGUCAGAUCGGAGAUUAAUGGAGAGAGGAAAGAGAAAAAUAGAAAUAAACUGUUUUAGUGUUUAAUGUCCAGACUCCAGAGAGAGGAAGGAGGAGGGAGAGAGAGCUCGCAACGAUUUUAAUUCAAUUCAAUAUGUUUUUUUUUGUUCAUUUUUUUUUAAAUCAAUAAUCUAUUAUUUCUGUUAAUUAUUAAUCUAAAUCGUCAUUUAGUUAAAUAAAUUUGAUUAUCAAUUAAAGCGAAAAUUUAGAAUCGAAAUGUAGUUACAAAAUUUUAUGUAAGUAAUAGUAUAAUUUGAGUAAAGUAAAUGAAAUUGAUAUAUAUGUAGUUAGGGCUUUUAAUGAAUGCAACAAAGUUAUCAACAUAAUUUAUUACUAAGUUUAUUCUCAUAAAAUGGAUAUGUUAGUGUGCAACAAAUUAUUUUAAUUUUUUAUACCGAUACAAAAAUCAAAAUUUAAGAAUAGUAAAAUGAAUAUAUGUUCUACGGAUUAAAUUAUGAAUUAAAUUAAAGAAAUUGGUUCUACAACUUUUCAAAAGAAAAAAAACUAAUAAUGUAUUUUUAUUAUUUUUUCAAGGACAAUGCUAUAGUUUAAUGGAAGAACUAGGAUGAUACUUUGGUGUAUAAUAUAUGCUUUAUUAGUCUAAAUUAUUGCAGAAAUCGUGCCUAGUAAACUAUAAUGGAAAGCAUAAGCACAUGCUGCUAGACAGUAUUAAUUUCUUUUUUAUAUAAGAAAUAGAAAGAAAAAAAAAGCUAUUGUUCAUACGUAGAGAGGCAUAGAGCUUUCAAUUGGGUGUACGCUGAAGAAGAAAACGAUAUAUCAAAAUCUUACCAAUAAAUUUCGACAUAAAUUAUUGAAAUUAAUACGACUGAUGCCAAAAUGAAAUAAUGAAAUGAUUCAAAUAAUUUUAAAAAGUUGAAUUAGGAACGGUUCAUUUGUGUAUGGAUUAGAUUAAACAUGUUUUGUUGUAUCAUUUUGAACCUUUCGUCUAAAAAGCCAUUGAUCUUGUUUCACUAUAAUUAACAUUUUUUAUUUUGUUAUCAAAUAGUAAAGGGUGAGCAAACAAAGGCUAAGAACAAAACUGUUCCAAAUACACAAAUUUAGAAAACCAACAAUCUAGUAUUUGAAAGUUUACAGAGAAACAUGACCGAAAGAAACGAAAAUUUCGGUUCAGAUAAAUGAAGAUGGGAUGGUUUCUUUUUAGUUAAAGCAGCUUCAUAUUGUAAUUUUGAUAUUUUUUAGCACAUAGCUUUAUAGCUACUCAUUUUUUUCUUCAAAUAUGUUGUUCUUUUGGAUAUGAGAAACAACAUAUUUUCCUCAAGCUUUUUUCCUACAUAACUACUUGAAAAUAUAUUGGAAAAAUCAUGGUAACUAAGAAAUAUACUAACAAAUUUUUCUUGGCUAAUACUGAUUACAAGAAAUCUAUUUAAACGGUUGCAAAUACAACAAUUUUUUCUUUGAUAAAAUACAAGAAUUGUAUUUAAUUGCACCACGCAUUAUUAAUGCACGUUCGAAGCAUAUAGGGACAAAGCUUUUUUUUUAAUUUUUGUCAUCGAAGGAAUAAAAAGAACGAAAAUAAUCAUGAAAAAUGUAUAUAUAUUUUAAAGGGUAUAUACCAAAACUCGUCAAAAAUGAAGUAAUUAUGUGACCGAUGAAAUAGACGUACCGUGACUAAAGACUCUCUCAUCUUAAUAUUACACGUACGGGAGAUGAUAAAAAUAGUGUGUUAUUAUUCGUUUCUUUCUCUAUACUACCACUAAAAUAGGAAUACAGAAAUAUGAGAAAUUAAAUUGUAGUAUUUAUUUGUUUUCGAGUCCUUAGACUUCGAGGCAAGAGAUAGCUAUAACUCAUCUCUCAAGCAGCGAACGACCAUAUUAAAUGUGAUUCUCUACCUCUUCAAUUCAAACAUUAAAUUCAAACAUUAAAUUCAAAAUCUAUUAAGGUUGUAUAUUUGUUAGCACUCACUAGUAUACGUAGUAGAUAAUUUAUGAUCUUGUUAAACUCUUAAAAAACUAUAUUAAAAAGUAAUCGAGAGGUUUAUAUUAACAUUAUUAUAACUGUAUCAUAAUCAUAUACCCAUGUACAUAGAUUGUUUUAUUAUAUAGUAGCAAAUGACCAAUAUUUGGUUUCGCAGUGAAAAAGUUCUACAAUUUUAUUCAUAUUUUAAAAACUAAGAUUUUUUUUUGUCAACAUUAAUUUGGAAUGAAUUACACCAAAAGAAGUUUUCUAGUCUCACGAAAGAACAUGAGAAAUAAUCACAAUUGGUAGAGAUCGAUGGUUCUAAGGAAGAUGUUUGCUCGAUUAAGAAUACGAGUACUAUACUGAAGAGUAUAAAUAAUUGGUAAGAAUGACCAAAAUCUACUAAGUUCCCAAACAUAAGAUGUCGAACGGUAGUUAGAAUAACUUAUUGGAUGAGAAUGCAAGUUAAAAUGAGUUCCGAUGCCAACAAUUGUAGUUGAAUCAUAUUUUAAAGUUGGAAGCCUUAAUUGUGUCUAAUGCUAUGUCAAAUCCAAAAACAGAGCAUAUCUUCAAAACUACGAGUUUGAAUGCUAGGUGGAAUUAUAUUAGCUAACUUCAUGUUACUAUCCACCAUUUGUUGAUCACAACCAUAAUUAUCCUAAAUUCAAAUACCCAAAGAACAAAGUUUCAAUAUACAAAAUUUGCAUUAGAGAGUUGAAUAUAUGUGUAUAUAUAUAAUUAGACGACCAAAUCUUAAUAAGAAUCCAAUUAUAUAUAGCAAUUAUGAUUCUUAUAAAAACUUUAAUAGAGAAAAGGAGAAAAUUAGAACCAGAAGACAUAAGUAAUUAACGACAGGCUAAUAAUAGAAAGAACUACAUGUAGAGCAGGUUUCAAUAUAAUAAUCACAGACAUACCACAUGGGUUGAUUCUUAUAACACAGCUGUUUAGUUAAUUAAGCCUAUGAAGACGAUUACUGUCCUAAGCCACUGGAUAUAUCAAAAUUAUAUAUAUGUAUGUGAGGUGCUUAUGAUGAUUGUUUAAUUUUAUUUCAAUUAAAUUCUAAUUUUGCCUUAACAGCUCCCAACACUACUGUCAUGGGCCAUUUUCAAAUUAAAAUUUGUUUAUCAUAUCUUCAUUCUCUUUUAUUUACUUAGUUUCUUAUACUAAUUAGUGAAAACGCUACUAGUUACUAGUUAGUCAAACUAAACAAUUUUAACUGCCAGAUUUGCAUUAUCAAUGAUAAAAAUACUUUUUGGUUCGUGUUGUUAUUGAUGAACCAGUGAUUUCGUAACAAUGUUGAUUUAUUCGUGGUUCAAGUUUCAUUAUCGAUGUUGUUAAUUAUUUUCCUUAUCAAUUACGAAACGAACAAAACUAUUAACAAAAACUUUUCGAAAAUACAUAUUCAAAUGUAGCAAGUUGAUGAAUUCGUUCUCCUUUUAUGGUGAUUUUAAACAAUUUUAAAUCUAGCUAACUAGUAGGCAUCUAUCUAUAUCAGUACUUUCAAAGGCUUAAAAUUUUAUCAGGUGCAUGUGUAGGCAUGCAUGUAUGUGUUAAUCAGUUGGUAUAUGUAGAUCUAGCGAUAAUUUGAAUCAUGAUAUGUCAUAAUUUACGAUUCAUGUCACAAUAAAACUACCAAAGAAUGCUCUUACAUUUCUAUACUAAUGGCCAAUUCGUUAAAUAUGGAGUAAUCAAAAAUGUUUUCUUAUAAAUUAAUUAGGGAUUUGUGUUAGUGACAGUGUUGUCUUGCAUCACUAUUCAAAAUGAAACCUGCGAAAACAUGUUAUUGUGUUUUUGAAUGAGAAGUGUUUUUGACACAUAUGGACAUUAUAUUAGUCAAAACGCCUUAUCAAAAGUCAUAUUCAUACACAAAGUAGUGCAUGGAUAGGUCUAAUUGCUUUAUUGACUAAAAUGUAUAUAAAUGUGUGUUCCAUAUCAUAAAACAUUUUCAAAUAAACCAACACACCUAUAUGAAUUCAUUAGGUAACGUGUAUAAAACAAGAAAUAUUAAUUAAUAUAUUGAUUUGCUCUUGAAUAAGUAGGCAAAAGGAUUUGUAUGCUAAGUAGAUACUACGCUAAAUAAAGCCGAACAAAGAGACAUUGGGCCCUAUUUCUUUAUAAAUGAAAUAAAAACAAAGAAAAACAUCACAAAACUGUACAUAUUAAACCUUUUUUAUAUAUUGAUACUAGUAAAUAAAUCUUUUAACUAAAAAAUUUGUAUUUCAGUAUUUGGUAUCGUAUAUACUUUAGAUAGUGGAUUCGAAAUUCUGAUCUCCAUGAGUGAAUUUAAUGAAACCAAAUAACACAAUAUUAUAUAUAUAAGGUUACUCAUUGAUAUAAUUUACAGAGAUUUUAUAUAGAUGGAAGACAUUAUUGUUAAAUGGACCCAAUGAAACAGUAUUAAUCUGUUAAUGGAAAUGAAAACCAUCCGACUUCUUUUAACUUCCACUUCAUUAUGUUCCCCUCUGAAAACAUCUGAAAAUAACUGCCAAAUGUCAUAUGCUCUAUAAAUGAUUCACAUGGUUAAUUUCAGAAUUUAUUAUUGUUUGUUUUACCUACAAUGUCAUUUGUUUUCCAAUUAAAAACAGUUGAAAAAAAAAUAGCAACACUUACACUUAUGGGCUUGAUACUCAAUGGGCUUUAUGCACAAAACCAUAUUGGGCCUAUCAACUUGUUAUUGCUUUGUUUCUUCUUUUUUUUUUUUCUUGUGUGUAUUUUCUUUCAUAUUUCAGGGGAACUCAAAAAAGUGAGACUUUGAGAUAAAUUACAGAGACAACAAGAUCAAAAGUUUUACUCUGCCAUUGUUACUCAAGAGAAUGGAGAAAACAUUCUGAGAAACUUAAGACAAGAUGUAGUUUGGUUUAUGUUGUCUUAUCUUAUUAAAGAGGCGUUAAAACCUUACUUAUACAAAGCAAAAGAUAUAACCUAAAGUGUUACACAAAGGAAAUGACUAAACAGGAUAUAUAUUGUUGACUAAGCUAACUAAAAUAUUGACCAGCAAUAGCUUCAACAUCCUCCCUCAAGUUGGAGCAUGCACAUCGAGAAUGCCCAACUUGCGCAGAAAGUAACGAACUUCCUUUUCACCCAAAGCCUUAGUUAGAAUAUCUGCAAGCUGCUUGUGAGAGGGAACAAACGAAGUCGCAAUUAUACCAUCAAGAAUAGCAUCGCGGAUAAAAUGACAAUCCACCUCAACAUGUUUGGUGCGCUCAUGCUGAACUGGAUUGACACUGAGAGCAAUUGCAGAUUUACUGUCAGAGAAGAUGCGCAUAGCCUGAACGUGAGAGACACCAAGAUCAUAAAGCACCCGCUUGAGCCACAUGAGUUCUUGAGUAAGGAAUGCCAUAGCUCUAUAUUCAGCCUCCGCGGAAGAGCGACUGACAGUGGGCUGCUUUUUCGUUUUCCAAGAUAUGGGAGUAUCACCAAGCUGUACAAAGUAUCCUGUGAGAGAGCGACGAGUGAGAGGGCAAGCAGCAUAGUCACUAUCACACCAACCAUUAAUCUGCAGAGUAGAGGUGCUAGAGAGUAAAAUCCCUUGUCCUGGGUUAGAUUUCAAAUAGCGAACAACACGAAUGGCGGCGUUCCAAUGGUCCUGACGCGGAUUCUGCAUAAACUGUGCAAGAGUGUGAACAGAAUAUGAUAGCUCAGGACGUGUUACAGCCAAGUAAAUGAGUCUCCCAACUAGACGACGAUACCGUGAAGAGUCUGAAAGCAGAGGAGAUGUAGACAACGAGAGCUUAUGAUUCUGUUCAAGCGGAAACGCAGACGGCCUAGCCCCCAAAAGUCCCAUUUCAGAAAUAAUAUCAAGAACAUACUUCCUUUGGGAUAGGUAGAAUCCUUGAGCAUUGCGGCUCACUUCAAUGCCAAGAAAAUAUUUGAGCAAGCCAAGGUCUUUCAUGUGAAAACAUGAUUCUAGAUAGGAUUUAAAUUGAGCAACAGCAUCAGGGCAGCUACCCGAAAUGAUCAGGUCAUCGACAUAUACGAGGACAUGAACAAAGACACCAUCAUUGUUGUAACUGAACAGAGAGUAAUCCGACAAAGAUUGUGUGAACCCAUAUUGUUUUAAAGCAGAAGAGAGCUUGGAAAACCAACACCUUGGAGCUUGUUUCAAACCAUACAGAGAUUUAUGAAGACGACAUACCUUGCUAGGAUCAUCACAUUGAAAUCCCUGAGGCAAUUUCAUAUACACUUCCUCCUUUAAGUCACCGUGAAGGAAAGCGUUAUGCACAUCCAUUUGAUGUACAUGCCAAUCACGGGCCGCAGCCACUCCCAAAAACAAACGCACCGUGCUCAUUUUUGCAACCGGAGCAAAAGUUUCAUCAUAAUCCACGCCUUCUUUUUGACAAUUACCCAAGACUACCAAACGAGCUUUAUAUCGCUCUAUCGCCCCAUCCGAUCGAUACUUGAUUUUGUAUACCCAUUUGUUGCCAAGAGCCCGCUUUCCUGGAGGCAAAUUUACAAUCGAGAAGGUUUGAUUAACUCGCAGAGAUUCAAUCUCAGCAGACAUAGCCUCUCUCCAAGCUUUGUCAACCAUAGCCUCGUUGUAAGUUGUUGGUUCCAUUCCAGCAGUAACAGCUGCGAGAAAAGCCUUGUGCGACGAAGUGAAUCGAUGGCAAUCCACGUAUUUCUCAAUUGGAUACAGAGAGGAGCAAGAAGCCUCAGGGGAAAUCGAUUCAACACAGUAUUGGUGACAAAAUUCUUCAACUUCAUCGGUUUUUGUGUUUGGCGAGAACUACGUCUAAGUUGUAUUGGCGCCGGUGUUGUAGAUGACAGUGGAAGAUCUGCUGUCUGUACGGUGCUUGAUACUAAAAAAGGAUCGAGAGAGAAGAGAGAGACAAACUCACUUGGACUUGAAGAUUCUUGAUUGAUUUCAGGUAUUAUUGGGCCAGUUGCAACAUUCGGCCCAACUGUAGCUUCACCAAUAUUUCGUCUAAUAAUAGUUCUUGGCCCAAUAGCUUCUUCAAUAAAAGGUGGCCAAACACAAUCCACCAAUACACGUUCAUCUUCCUCAUUGCACGACAUCUUGGAGUAUGGAAACUCUGUUUCCUGGAAAAUCACAUCUCUAGACACGAAGAAUUUUUGUUCUUCUAAAUCAAACAGCCUCCACCCUUUUUGUCCAUGUGGAUACCCAACAAAUACACAUCGUCUUGAUCGUGCCACAAACUUAUCUCCUUUGUGAUUUUGGUUAUGUGCAUAACACAAGGAACCAAAUACACGAAGAUGAGAGUAAUUCGGAGCCGUUUUAUAUAACAUCUCAUAUGGAGAUUUACCUUGAAGAAGCAUCGAGGGAGUGCGGUUGAUAAGGUAAGCCGCAGAUAAGAUACACUCUCCCCAGAACUGAAUUGGCAAAUACGAUUGAAAUCGCAAGGCUCUCGCGAUAUUCAAAAUAUGUCGAUGCUUCCUCUCAACCCUUCCAUUUUGAUGCGGAGUCCCAACACAUGAAGUUUCAUGAGUAAUGCCUUUGUGUAGAAAGUACUCACGCAUACAUAGAAACUCAGUCCCAUUAUCACUUCUUACUGUUUUGAUCUCAGUGUCAAAUUGUCGUUCAACUAAAGCAAUGAAAUCUUUCAAAUGUUUCUGAGUUUCACUUUUAUCAGUCAUCAAAUAAACCCACACACCACGAGAAUAAUCGUCAACGAUUGUCAAGAAAUAUCGAGCACCGGAGUAAGAAGGUGUUCGAUAAGGCCCCCACACAUCACAAUGAAUUAGCUGAAAACUAUCCAUACUUCUAUUAUCACUUAGAGGAAAAGUAUCACGGGUUUGCUUAGCUCGCAUACAUGUAUCACAUACAUUCUCCAAAAUCUCUUUACCACUAGACAAAAGUUCUCUAGGCAACAAAUUAACUAUCUUGUCUGAUGCGUGUCCCAAACGCCUAUGCCAUAGAUCAAAAGGGGCCUUCACACUCGUGUGCACAGCAGCAGCAUUCUCCAUUCCCCGAAAACAAAAACUUCCAUUCUCUCUUUUACCAAUUCCAGUCACCAUCCUCGUAGUGCGGUCCUGUAUCACAAGGAAGUGAUCAGCAAGUUGAACCACACAAUGAUUCUCAUCCAUCAUUUGCCCAACAGAGAUUAAAUCUGAUUCCAACUCCUUGACAUAGAAAACUGAUUUUAAUAUCAGAUGCGAGCCUAAUCUAACUGUUCCCUCACUGACAGCAACUCUCUUAUUUCCAUCAGCUAAGAUAAUUAAAACAGGAGACAUGGAUCGCAUAUCACUCAACAAUUCCAGGUUUCCAGUCAUAUGGUGUGAAGCACCUGUGUCGAGUAUCCAAGAAGUGAAAAGAGAACAUGUACCUGAUUGAGUUUCAUGAGCAUUGGACUUGUUAUCGCUUCUUCCAGAAUUGAGAAGCUUAACAACUCCACGCCAUUGCUCAUCAGUAAGCCCACUGACUGCAUCACGAUCGCUAUCAGUGAUAACCCGGUUCACAUGUUCAGAAGAUGGAAACGGUCCAGUCAUGACGACAUUCACAUACGUUGGACGAGGUUGUCCUCCAUUAAAACCAGGCCCAAAUCUUCCUCUGCCACGACUUGUUGAGCCAUUUGAAUUUGAUUUUCCUCUUGGGCGAUCUCCCCACCACUCUGGAUAUCCAAUCAACACAAAGCAAUUUUCCGGCGAAUGACCUCCACGGUUACAAUGAGUACAAAGUUUCUUGUUUUGAAGCUUCUCUGAAUUUGCAAACUUCUUUGAGAUUACCUCAGAACGUGGCCGCAUUUGAACAGCAAAAGCAGUGACAUCGGUUCUCUCUUCAUUAGACGAUCUGUUGUUCAACAUAUCUUCUUCUUGUCGCACAAUGUUGUAAACCUCUUCCAGCCCGGGGAGAGGAACACGAGACGUCAAACUUGACCGUAUGGUGUGAAAUUUAGUUUCAUUCAGUCCAUAAAGAAAUUGAUGAACCAUGUCAUCUUCUCGAUCUUUUUCUUGGUCUGUUCCAAGAUUGGAGAUACACCUACCACAUUUACAUAUCCGAAGAGGGCGAUAGCUGUUGAUAUUAUCCCAAAUCUUGUUGAGUUUUCCAUAAUAUCCUUCCAUUGUCAUACCCUCUUGCUUGCAAGUCGCGAGAUCCGCCUUCAUCUUCUGAUUCUUUGGCCCAUUAGAAACAAAAAAACGCUUCCGAAUCUGUUCCCACAAGUCUCUCGCCACAUCACGGUGGGAGAUAUUUGUCAGCAGCUCUGAGUCAAUAGUCAUCUUCAUCCAAGAGACCAACAAAGCAUUAAUCGUUAACCAAUCUUCUAGAUCUGGAGAACCAUCUAGUGGUUGAGGAAUGGUUCCAUCAAGGAAACCAAACUUUUUCCUAGACCGCAACGCCGUCUUGAAACCACAUGCCCACUCUUCAUAGUUAUUUGUCUUCAGUAUCGGAUGGGAGAUCACAGCUCCCGAAUUGUCAGCUGCCGUCAAGUCGUACGGCGAAAUUGUGCGUCGGACCUCAAUUACAGAUGGAGGUGGUGGUGGAGCAUCAGCCAUAGCUUCAGAGAAAACUCACUUGAAAUACUCAAUUCGAAAAACCCAGAUUGCGCUCUGAUACCAUGAGAAACUUAAGACAAGAUGUAGUUUGGUUUAUGUUGUCUUAUCUUAUUAAAGAGGCGUUAAAACCUUACUUAUACAAAGCAAAAGAUAUAACCUAAAGUGUUGCACAAAGGAAAUAACUAAACAGGAUAUAUAUUAUUGACUAAGCUAACUAAAAUAUUGACCAGCAAUAGCUUCAACACAUUCACUUCAGAAACCAAACAGAGUAUUCCUCUCUUGAAUCCGUAUAAGAUGGGAGAAUUUCAAUCUUUCUCAUAGGUACUUGCUCUGUUUUAGUCUUGAUUUUUUUUAAUGCCUUCCAUGUGUUCGAUGAAAUUCUUAGCUGAAAACUCUUGACCCUUGCAAUAAUAGUAUAUUAACCUUUUGUUUCUUCCUUGCACACCAACAACUUUUUGCUCUGGAAGUACGAAGUUUGACGAUUUUUGUAACCUUAUGAUUCAGGGUUGUUCUUGCACCAUUGACGAGGCAGAGAUCGUAUGGUGUUAUAUAUUAUUCAGAAAGAAUGACUCCAGGAGGGUUUCUCAUUACUGAAGCUACUAAUGUUUCAGAUACAGCUCAAGGGUUAUGCUCGUUUUGACUUAAAGUAUACGUUUUUAUUAAUGGGUUUUGAUUAAAGCUAGCUUUUUGCUCAUCUCCCACAUAUCUGACUUGUUUCAGGAAGCUAUGAAUACACUCCUGGAAUAUGGACUAAACAGCAAGUGAAAGCUUGGAAGCCAAUCGUAGAUGCUGUUCAUGACAAAGGCAAUAUCUUCUUCUGUCAAAUCUGGCAUGUUGGAGUUUCUAAUCGAGGUUUUGCCUAAACUUACCAUCUUUAACCUGGUUAAAUCCUUAAUCAAACAUGGUCAACCAGAUGGGGAAGCUCCUAUUUCUUGUACCGACAAGGCAAUGAUGCACACCAAAGAUCUGUUUACGCCUCCAAGACGACUAAGUACCGAGGAAUUUCCCGGCAUUGUCAAUGAAAUGCUAUGGAAGAUGGUAAAGCAUAACACAUUCAAUUGAAAGAAGCUAUUCAAGACUCUCUUCUUUAAAGUUUCAUUGAAUGGUUUUGCAGGCUUUGGUGAAGUGGAGCUUCAUGGUUACUUGAUCGAUCAGUUCAUUGAAAGACGGUGUUAACGAUAUAACUGACCAAUACAGUGGAUCAUCAUUCCAAAACCGUUGCAGAUUCGCUCUACAUGUAGUGGAAGCAGUGGCUAACGAAAUCGGACCAGGUCUCUCUCCGUUUGCUGAUCUCAUGGAAUCUUGAGACUCUAAUCCACAAGCAUUAGGGCUUUACAUGGCGGAAUCUCUAAACAAAGACGAAAUUCUCUAUUGCCAUGUGAAUGAACCAAGAUCACAUAAACUUUCACCAAUGAGAAAGGCUUUUCAAAGAACGUUCAUAGUCACUGGAGGUUACACAAGAGAAGACGGUGAUGACACGGUGGCAAAUGGAUUCUGGUGGCUUAUGGUCGGUGGUUUCUGACGAAUCCGCAACGUUUUAUACCGAUUACUUUUGUUUAUAUUCUAAACCCUAAAUAUUUUGUGUAAAUCAUCAACCCACAACAAACUCUGACGACCAAAAUAAAAUACAGAAUUGAGCACAACAAUUACAAAACAAUCAUCAAUUUAUGUCAACUUUUUGUCAAAAAUACCAAUUUCAAUUUCCUUUUAUGCUUUAUUGUCAAAUCCUUAAUCAAAAAUAAAUUAAAACAAGAUACGAUAGAUAUCUAAAAAGAUACACGCGCUUCGAAAAAAGGAAAUACUCAUGAAAAGGUUUCCUAUUUGUUUUUUGAACUCUAUCCUCUAUCUCUGUCUCUCCUCUAUAUAAUAAGAUCCCAAGAGCAUUACUCAUCACAAAAGCAAUUGUAAAAAUUCUCUAGGGUUUCAUCGCUAAUCUCUCUGUAAUAUUUGAUCAAGAGAAAAUCAACAAAUAUGUCUGUAAUGCAACAAAAUCUUUCAGUUGAACCAAAAUCUAAAAAACGAAAGAUCGAUUCAGAGAUUAAUAAUUCAUCUUCUUCUACGAAUUGUGAUCACUUUUUCGUUCGUUACGGAAUCUGUUGUAAUUGUAGAUCAAACGUAGAGAGACAUAGAGGACGAUCAUUCGAUUACCUAGUUGAUGGAUUACAGUUAAGCGACAUAGCAGUCACGGUUACAAAGCGAGUCACAACACAAAUCACUUGCUUUAACGACAAGAAGCUUCACUUGGUACUUGACUUGGACCACACGCUUCUUCACACCGUUAUGAUUUCGAAUCUUACUAAAGAAGAGACGUAUCUAAUCGAAGAAGAAGAUUCAAGGGAAGAUCUACGGAGGUUAAACGGAGGAUACUCAAGCGAGUUCUUGAUAAAGCUUAGACCUUUUGUUCACGAGUUUCUUAAAGAAGCUAACAAGAUGUUUUCCAUGUAUGUUUACACGAUGGGAGAUCGUGAUUACGCAAUGAAUGUGUUGAACCUGAUUGAUCCGGAAAAAGUAUACUUUGGAGAUCGAGUGAUAACUAGAAACGAGAGUCCUUAUAUUAAGACGCUUGAUCUUGUUUUAGCUGAUGAGUGUGGUGUUGUGAUUGUGGAUGAUACUCCUCAUGUUUGGCCUGAUCACAAGAGGAAUUUGCUAGAGAUCACCAAAUACAAUUAUUUUAGUGACAAGACAAGACACGAUGUGAAGUACACGAAAUCUUAUGCAGAGGAGAAGAGAGACGAGAGUCGAAACGAUGGAUCUUUGGCGAAUGUUUUGAAAGUUAUCAAGCAAGUUUAUGAAGGAUUCUUCAGUGGAGGAGUUGAGAAAGACUUAGAUAUUGAUUCAAAGGAUGUGAGGUUGUUGCUUCAUGAUGCACGUAGACCAAAGUUCUACUGCUAAUUUCACUAUAUAGUCGAUGGAUUACAGUUAACAGACAUAGCCGUCACGGUUACAUAGCGAGUGAUCUUGUUUUUUUUUUUGUGUGUGUGUAAUAAUUUGUAUACAGAUAGUGAAGAAUCUGUAACAAUGUUUGCUAUCUUGAAACAAAUGAGUUGAUCUUUGAAAAGAAAUUAAUCCAAUAAUUUUUCCUUUGCUUUAAAUACUCAAUUUGCUAAUGUUGAUCUUAUAAAUUUGCAGUGCUCUUAUCACUAGAUCUUUUUUCUUUUAAAUGAUUUAAAUUUUGACCAAACAAAUGAUUUACUUAUCUUUUAUGAUUAUUUAGUUUGGUCAAAGAUAUAGAUUUGUAGUAAAAAAUCUACAUUUAUUAUAUUAACAAUAUUAAAGAGGAAAAGAACUUGGAUAUAGUUAAAAAAAUUGGACAGAAUCGGAAGUUACGAUUAUGAACCUUUUUUAAUGUAAUUGUAAAUAGAUUAUUCAAUCAAUGUAAAUGAAACUCUAUCUUAGAAAUACACAAUAAUUGGUUUGUUAAAAUGGGUUCCUCCAGAUUGAUGAUUACAUUCAUUGUUGUUGCUAUGCUGGCCAUUUCCUCUGACCUUUUCUCUGGUAUAUGUUAUUUUCUCUGGUAUAUAUAUGUUGUUUUUAAUAUAGAUUCAGCUAUGUAUAUACAAAUUCGUAAUUUUUUCGUUUAAUGACUGAUAGUUCAAAUAGGAAUCAGCGUGCAAGCUGCGCCUCCCACUUGUGGACGAGACUGUACUGAGAAAUUCUUGACACAAGACUGCGAUAAAUAUUGUGUAGGUUUGUCUUAUAAAAAAGGUGUUUGCAUUCUAUCCGAAGGACUUCCUCCGAAAACUUCUACAUAUCGUUGUUGUUGUUCGUAAAUGAAAUAGAUAAUUCUUCAUCCGCUUUGAUCAAACAUGUUCAUGUUUUUUAUCCUUUAACUAUAAUAAAGAGUUUUAUAUUUCAAUGGGAAGACCAUACAUAUAUGAAAUUCCAUUACAAACAAUAGAACUCUUUUAAUGAUUAAUUUUAAUUAACGCAUAAACAUAUAUAUAUAUAUAUAUAUGUAUGUAUUUUCUUUCACGGUUUCUAACUUUUAUAUAAUAUACAGAUUAUUUUCAAACAAUUAUGUAAUUUUUAUGUUAGUAAAAACAGUUAGUUGUAAAAAUUAUGUGAUGUUAAUAUAUAUAUAUAUAUAUAUAUAUAUAUAUAUAACAAAUAGUUGUAAUUCAAGAGGAAAAGUAUCUCAUCAGAAUUAAAGGGAAGAUGAGAUCUACAAAGGUUUAAUUAACACAUACUGAAAGAGUAUGUAGAUAAACCUUAGACAUUUUCGAUGUGGUUCAUUGGCCCUCUAUUAUAUGCACAAUAGCGAAACCAAUACAAAUUGGAAUUUAAAACGUUCGAUGAAACAAUUAAUUGAAAUUUCAUUUACAACUUACGAAAAGUCAAUGUAAAAAUAAGAAUUUGUUAAUGUUUAUUAUGUGUCUUUAAAAUUUGUAGUGCUAUUAUCACUAGAUCUUUCUCUUAACAUGAUUUAACAUUGACUAAGCAAAUGAUUUACCAUAACCUUUUAUUUUUUGGUAAAAGAUUUAAAUUUUUAAUUAAAAAUCUACAUUUAUUAUAUUAACAAAACUAAAUAGGUGAAGAACUUGAAUAUAGUUUGAACUUGUACAGACUCACAAAAGUUAUGCUUAUCAUGAACUUCUUAUUUUUUUAUAAAUAGAUCAUUUCAUACUCAACUAAUGUACAUCAAACAAUAUUGUUGGGCCUUCUUUUAAUAUAAGCAUUAAGCAAAUUGAGUGUCCGAGAGAAUUUGAAAAUGGGUUCUUCUAAAUUGUUGGUUGCAUUCACUCUCAUCGUCAUGAUGACCAUUUCCUAUGACCUCUUCACCGGUAUGUCUCUUUACAUAAUACAGAUUUUGUUUUUUUUUACUUAUUUCAUACUGAUUUUUUUUUUCUUUUUCUUUCUGGUAUAUUUAAUUUCUAAUUACUUCUUAUGAUGAUCGUAGGAAUAGGAAUAGAUGCGAGAACUGUGCCUCCGACAUGCUAUGAAAGUUGUAACGCGACAUUUCAAAAUCCAGAAUGUAACAAAAUGUGUGUAGGAUUGGCUUAUAAAGAUGGUAGCUGCAUUUAUCCUCCUCCUGAGGUUGAUGGUCUUCCUCCUAAACGACCUUACUUUCCUCGUUGUUGUUGUAAUCCUAUAAUUCUUUCACCUCCUUCUCCUUGAUCAAUAUAUUCCUUUUUCAAUAAAACCUUAAUUUCUAUUCUUAUUUUAUUUCUUCCUUCUUUAGUGAAAAAGAAAACAAAAACUUAUGUUCCAAUAGGGAAAUAAAACUAAAUAUAUUUGAACAAAUCCGAAUUUGUCCGAACAAAUUGAACCAAACCAGACAUUCAAUUUGGUUUAAUUCGGAAACAUGUUUUGAAAACUGAACACACCAAAUUUACGAAGUUCAUAACCAGAUCAAACCAAAAAAAUUCAAAUGUUGAGGCAUAUUUUAAAUUUUAAGUUAAGUUUUGCCUAUCUAACUCUAUAUCAAUGUCCAUAAUCCAUGGUAAAUAAAACACGUGAAGAAAAAAGGACAACUUGAUGUUAAACAGUAAAGAAAAUAUCUCAGCAUUAUGACUACAACAAAUAAUUUGCUCUAAGAUAAAUAAUUUUAAAUAAAUAGUUAAUUAUCCACUUAAGUUAACAAAACCUUAAAACAGAAACAGAAAUAACUUGGAAGAAGUGAAGGUUAUGACUUAUGACCAUUAUAAUUUAUAUCAAAUCACAAUAGGCCUUCUUUUUUAUUUUUGAAACCUUUUAAAUAAUAGACCCUUUUCUUUGCUUUUUUUUUUUUAAUUAUUGGAAGAAGAUAAUAAUAAUAUAGCAUAUUUCCUUUCUUCUUUCUAUAAUUGGAAUAAUCAUAUUAUAAUAUACCCUUUUCAAAGAAAUUUAUGUUUCUAAUCUUUUUAUGUUUAUUUUCACAUCAAACCAUUUUCUUAAGAAACUGGAAGAAAUUUAUGACCACUUUAGCUAAUAAUAAUGGACCCUUUUCUUUGCUAUUUUUAUUAAUUAGAUUUUCUAUUGUUUAUUUUUACAUUAAACCAUAACUAUAGUAGAAAUUUCUAGCUCUUUUUAUAUUAAACCAUAAUUAUUGUUAGUAAUGUGGUCAUAAUAGAUAUAUCUUUUGUUUUAUAAAUUGUCCCCUUCACAUCAAACCAUAUCUUAAACUAUAUUUUGUUUUAGAAAAAGAAAUUGAGUGCUAGAGUCAGAGAUAGAUCAAGUUUAAAAUGAGUUCUUCCAAGUUGUUAGUUGCAUUCUCCCUCGUGGUUAUGGUGGCCAUUUCCUAUGAUCUUUUUUGUGGUGUGUUUCUUUAUAGUUUUGAAUAUAUUAUCAAUGUAUCGUAAUUUCCCCCAUAGAUAAUAAUAAUUCUUUUAUGAUGGAUUGUAGAGAUGAAAAUAAACACUACAACGCAGACGUGCUUUGACCAUUGUAACGAGACUUGCGAGAGUAAGGAGAGUAGGAAUUGCAACAAACGGUGUUUGGAAAUUGCUUUCACGGGUGGUACUUGGCUAGUUAUAUUGAACAACAUGAACUUCUUCACAAACCUUUUAUUCAUCGUUCUUGUUCUCGUAAACAUUAUGUAUAAAGAUUAUUCUUUUAGUGGGAGGAUGAUAUAAUACAGAAUUUCUUAUGACAGGCGACGCUAGUUGCGAGGUUCUUCUUGUUAUUUUUAUUUUGUAAGUCUGUUUAUUUGCUUUCUUUUAACAUAAUCGCAUUUUAUUUAUUGAUUAACGAAAUACAAGAUCGGUAGCGGUAAACCAACAAAAAACAGAAAUGCUAAAGAAAGAAAAAAUAAUGCUGCGCUCUCUAGCAUUCUGUGUUAGCAAAUUCGCCCUUGACGUUGCUAAGAAGUUUGUUCAGCAUUUCAUGUGGUUGAUUAUAAUGUUAUUAAUGUCCAUUUUUGCCAUAAUAAUUGAUCGAAAAUUCAUCUUUUUUUAUAUUAUAAAUCAUAGUAACGUACUACAUUUGAAUGCAGGGUAGAAGUAGAAUUUCUUUUCUUUGUAUUUCAUUUGUUUUGUUAGUAAUUUGCUGUGGCAUAGCUGUUCUCUUACACAGAUGGUAUAAGAACAGCUAUACCACAGCAAUUGGUCAUACUAUAUAUUAAUAUGCAAGUAAGUAUGUAUGGUAAAAGAAUUAAAAAACGAAUUUAUGGUUAUGAAUAAGUAUUGACCAAUGACCAUUUCUUGUAAUUAUAAAUAGACUUAAUAUGUACAUGCCUGCAAAUUGAUAAGCAAGAAAAAACAAUAGUAAAUAUAACAAGAUUUAGUUAAAGGAUUUGAAAGUGUGUAAGAAAUUGAAUUGUAUGAAGAUGGAAUCCUCAAAAAUGUUGGUUGUAUUCACCCUCAUGGUUCUCAUCGCAGUCUCCUCCGAUCUAGUCUCCGGUAUCUAAAAGCUCAUUUAAAAUUUUCAGCAUUAUUUACCAAAAUACCUCUUCAAGUUUUUAAAAGUAUUUUUAAAACAGAAAAGUAUUCUUUAAAUUAUUAUUAUUGUAACAUUUGUGGUUUUAUUUUAGGAGUGGGUUUUACUUAUUUGUGUGUCUUAAAUACAUUUUGUCAAUGAAUUUGAUUUCCGAAUAGGUAAUUUUGCAUCCGGGGAGGCUUCGAGUCAACUGUGCUUCAAUCCUUGCACUCCUCAACUUGGCAAUAACGAGUGCAAUACGAUUUGUAUGAACAAGAAAUACAAAGAAGGUUCUUGUGUUGGUUUUGGAAUUCCCCCUACUUCCAAAUAUUGUUGCUGUAAAACUUAAAUAGUUAUUAAUUAGAGUUUGAACGAUAAUAAUAUUGAUAUGUUUUUUACUAGUUGAAUAAUAAUAUAAGAUUUGAUCUAAUGAGAUUAGCACAUUUUAUUGAUUAUGUAUUUAUGUUGAUAUAUUUUGAAUCUGAUAACACGCUUCUAGCGAUAGGAAGUGGAUCUCGAUGACCUUGGCACGGCUCGCGAGUCCGGUCAAUUUAGAAGUGAUUUGCGUUUCUAUGAAGUUUGGGAUGUUAUAACAAGUUGCUUCAUGGUUCAUGCAAUUUGUUUUUGUUUUUCAUGCAAUUUGUUAGUUUUAUCUUAGUUUACUUUGUUUUGUAUCUUUGGUGUGUAACAAGUUACUCCUCGUAGAUUCGAUUACAAUCGUGCUACAAAGGCAUUUCAUCAUGCAUAUGCGAUAUAACGUAGCUGAUUGGCUUUGCGAAUUUGAGAAACUUAAGGCCCAGCUCAGUUUAAACCUGUUGUAAGAAACAAAAUUGUUGUGUUUGAGAUUUAUUAUCUAGUCUUGUCAUUUGGAUCGACAAACGCAGACCCAUAUCCAAAUUCUAUUAUAUAUAAUAACACAACUUGUUGAAGUCAAACUUAGGAUAGAAAGAAAUCAAGAUUUUUUUAUCUUCCUUUGAAAUGUGGGCAGGUUACUACAUUGCCAAAGACUACACAAUAAUGGUCAAUUGGCUUGUAUAGUUAAAAAAAAAACGAAAAUAAUGGAAAUAACUAUGAGUUAAUAGUUAAUUAGUUAUGACUCGUAUGGCCAAACGACCAUGUCAUGUAACUACAAAUAGACUUAAUAGCGUGCAGAGAGAUUUGUGUGAUGAAGAAAUACAAAGGAGGUUCUUGUGUUCCCUAUGGAAUUCUCUUUGUUUUCCAAAAUUGUUGUUGUAAAAACUAACUAAUUAUUACUUAUAAAUUCUCUCCCCAGUAAUAUACACAUUUUUUCUCAUACAAUAUCUAUAAGUACAAGUAUAUAAUUUAUUUAUUUCAUAUCAUUGCAUGAUUUUAUUGUAUUUUUAUGGCCGCAAGGUUCAAUGAAUGGUUAGGCGUAUGUAUUUUUUUUUCCAAUAAUCCAAGAGACUAGAAUGGACCACAUAUUUAUAAAAUACUAUGAUGUGUAUGUCUCUAUACACAUACAUAAGUGUCAUUCAGUCAAUUACAGAAUUUCAAAGUAGCAUCUAGCUACUACUUAAUUUAUGUUAUAGUUGAUAGUAGCUAUUUUUGAUAUAUCUCAUCUCACUGUAUGAACAGUUUUAUAACUUGGGUUUGGUGUUUCGAACAACGUUGACUAUAUAUUUUCUAUUUUAAUCUUUCAUACACAUUUUCUCAUAGUGGAUAACUAUUUAAAUCUUCCUUUUAGGUGUAUUACUAUUUAUUUGUGCUGAUUUCAAACCAAUCAUAAGGGAAAACAAGUCGAUUAUUUCUUUUUUCUUGUAUUAUGAAAUUGAAAACUCCCCUUUAUGAGUCUAUGACCAAUUAAAUAUAAUCACUAUUGUCUCCUGCUCCACCAAAUGUGUUCUUAAUCAUCAAAAUCAAGAUGGUGCAAAUAGAAUAAUAAAACUAUAACACCAGAAAAUUUUCGUACAAGUUGAAGACCUUUUAGGUAUAACGAAUGGAAAGUUCUUCGAAUUGGAAAAUAAGAACAAUUAGUGGAAGAAAAUGCACAAGAAAUCCAAGAUUAAGAAUACACUUAACUCUUAAAAUACUAAGUAUGUACGUAACACACUUAUCAACCAUCUUAUGACCUUUUGAGAGUCGACUAAUGUAAAGUUCUUCGAAGCAGAAAAAACAAUUAGUAGAAGAACAAAGUCAAGAUAAAGGUACACUAGCUGUUAUCCUCUUAGGUUUUAUAACUUUUUUAAGUGUAAACAAAUAGAAACCUUUUCGGAUCAAAAAAAGUAGAACAAAAAAAAAAAAAAGAGUCAACAUAAUAAUAGACUAAGCUCUUAUAUUACAAAGUAUGUAACACAAUUACAAACCCCCAUUAAAAAAAAGUAAAAAUAAAACAAAUAAGAUCAAGAAGCAAAAUAAAUAAGACAUUAUGAUAGAUUCAAAGCAUUAUUAUUAUGAUCAUGAUGAUGAUGAAACAUCAACAUGUCGCUACCAAAACUCUCUCUAUCAUCUUCGCUUCCACCAUUGACAUAAAAAGUCGAAGACGAAUUCAACGGUGUCGAGCUGCUCGAUGAAGUUCCCGCUAGCAUUGAUGAACUGAAAUUCCAUCCGGCCUUAAAAUUCUCACCAUCAUUAAUGUGGUCGGAUACAAAUGCGGCUGAUGAGUAGUUUCCGGCUUGAGGGACUUUGUUAUUAGAUGGAUCACCUGUACCGGUAUAACUGUGAUAAUCUCCCAAGUAUUCUCCAUUGUUUUGCCAUUGAACGGGUGGUGUUGAGUUGAGCAAACCGGUGAAAGUGGUUUGGUCAGUGUUUAGGUCGUUUUGAAGCUGUUGGUUUGGUUGGUAUGAUUCGGUCUGAACGUUGUUGAGAGAGGCAGUGAGAUGAUUCAAGAUAUCAGGAUUAAUAUUUGAAGUAGUGAGAUCAAAUGGAGUAUUCAUCGGUUGUGACAUAGAUUUAAACAAUGAUGAGGUAAGAAACGAAGAGAGCUGGAGAAGAUUAAUGCGGGGACAAUGAGUCACCGGAUCAAUCCCCAUUCGUAAGAGUUUCUUUUUAAUAUGUGUGUUCCAAUAGUUUUUGAUUUCAUUAUCUGUUCUUCCUGGUAAGUGAAUAGCAAUUGCGGACCAUCUAUAGAAGAAAAAAUAUCGUGUUAUAGAUUUUAAGUUAAAAUCAAAAAGAGAAGUAUAAGUUUUAACUUGUUAAGAUAUUAGCUGCAGCGAGUUGAAGAUUGCAUGCUUAGCUUUAGACAUUUGACCUUGGUAUAGUGCUUAACUAUGUUCUUGUCUUUUAGUUGAAUAAAAUAAAAUAUGCAAGUAAUAUUAUAACAAAAAUGUAAAGACAUGGAAGUCCAAUGAAGUAGGUGUAGUAGUGGAAAACUAGGUCAUUUUUUACUUAAUUUAAUCAUACAUGUAAACAAUUAUACACUAAAUGAAGAAAUGAAAAAUUGCAGAUAGACUAACUUGUUUCCAAGAAGACGAUGAAGUUGAAUGAUGGUUUCUUCCUCUUGAAGAGAGAACUCUCCUCUCUUGAUAUCGGGUCUUAGAUAAUUCGUCCAUCGCAAUCUACAACUCUUCCCGCAUCUUUUUAACCCUUUUAAGAUUCACACCAAGAAAAACGAAUAAGAACCAUGAUUGUUUUAAUUUUAAUUCUAACGUUGACAUGAUCUAGCAUGAUAAUCAUUAUUAGUAAAUUUUAAACAUAAACGUAAAACAAAACGCAGGAAAACAUAUUGUAGCUGAUAGGAUUUAGCUAUUUGUAUAUAUACAUGCGUUAGGGUAGGAAUUUACCGGCGUUCUUGGGAAGGGUACGCCAUUUGCCGGGACCGUGCGUUUGAAUAUAGCCUACGAGCUUCUCGUCUUCCUCCGGAGUCCAUGGCCCUUUCUUCACUUCACUUUCCUCCGAGCUUGAAGAUUUUCCCAUCUUUUUCAAAUGUUAUAUGUGAGAGAACUAGAGAGAGAAGCUAAUAAGCUUUGAGAACUUGAUUACAGAGAAAAUUUGGUUUCUUCAUGAAUUAUGAUUUAUGUAUAUACAAAUAUAUAUAUGGUACAUGCAAAGUCAAGUCAAGGAGAUUUGGUACCGCCCUUCCAUCAUCUAUCUAAAUACGUGUCUUUUCUUGAUGAAAUACGGAGACAAAAUGAAGUAGAAAAAAACUGCUUAUUAUGUUGACAAAACAAAAGAGUAAUUUUUACUCUCUAUCUUUAAAGUCCUUACUAACAAACAAAAAGCUCUGACCAAAGAAAAAAAGUAAUAAACAAAAAGCAUGAGACUAAACCAUCUCUAUUAACCCUAAAAAUAAUUAAUAUUGAUGGAGUGAGAACACAUGGCAGAAUAUGGGUGGUGUAUGAGGACGUGUGAUAGAUAUGUGAAGAAGGUUCCAUUUGUUUUGGUCUCUUUGUCUCAAAUCAUCAAACAGUUUUCAAGAUAGCUAUGUUGCGUGUAUGUUUAAUGUUUACUCAUCUGUCAUCACUAUAGCAAUAUCAUAUACAUAAAUAGACAGAUUCAAAAUAAGAAUUUUAUUGAAUAAGGUGUGGUUACAGUGAUUAUACUGAAUAAAUAUGCUUAUUUAGCCUUCUAAGUUUUGUAUACAAAUAAUUUCUCUUCUAAGGAGAAAAUAAAAAGGAAAUAUGUAAAGAAUGAUUACGAUAGUGUAAAAAAGUAAAAACAAUAAAAAUCCAAACGGAUCUCCAGUGUGCUUCAUCGGUUGGAAAUAGAUAUAUAUCAUCGUGUCAUCAAAUUUCAGUAGCAAAGCUAGAUUGUCCUGCUUGAAUUAAGACAUCCGAUCGAAGUGACUCAGUUUGAGUAACGUCCUGCAUCGCACCAGAGUUUCUGUUUACUUCAAUAACAAUUACAUAACGACAAGUUUGAAUAACUGAUAAUCUAAGACAUGUAUUUUGUUUUUACUAAGUUAGGUAAAUUAACGACAAAGCGUUGUUGCAGUGCAACAUACGUAAAGAACAAGGCAUGUUAACGGUCAAAAUACAUGUGUGAUUAAUGAAACAAUACUAUAUAAUAUACAUGUGUCAUUGAAUUGCAGAGACUUUGGUCUCAGUCCGAAACAUGGUUGAUUUGACAAGUCAGGGAUUUGAAAUUUUUUGAUUUGAUAUUUGUAAGAAAUUAUUACUAUUUUAGUUAAAUUUGGUUAGUAUAAGUUUUAGAUUAUUUGGAAAACAAGUUAUCGGCCGGUUUAAGAGUGAUUAUAUAGAAAGGUUUGGUAUUAGAGAAGAAUGAUAAAGUGACUUUUUAAAUUAGGAGAAUGACCAAUUUAUCAUUGUUUAGUGCAUAGGCGUAUUUGACAAGUAACCCCUUGCUCUUGUUACAUGUUAAAUAUUAUUGUGUCAUAUAAAGAGGUAAAAUUAAUUCUACACUUUAUGCGGUAUAGCCGUAUAAAACAUGUUAGGUUGAUAAUAAACAAGUUAUCAUAACGUUUUCAACAAGUGCCAAAAAUAUAAACUUACACUAACACUAAACCGUAUAUAUCGUUUUUUUUAAUAUAAUAUUAUUUCUAUAACAUCGAUAUAUCUAGUAAAUAGUUAUUUUGCGUCCAUAUAAUUCAUAUUUUUCGUUAUAUAACAAUGAAAUGAGUGUUUUUCCACGGUAUAGAAUAUUUUACAUGUAAACUUUAAAUCAUAUCAUUGUCUCACAGGGAAUUGAUUCAUGAAGGUAAAUUUUGUGAUGCAUGUUUUAAAAAUAAAAGACUGCUUUAUCAAAAAAAAAAGUAGACCCUUUAACAAAGAAAAAAAGAUCCUGCCAAAAAUGAAUAAUGAUAAUUAGUUAUUAAGACGACAAGAAAAUUCAGAUAAUGUGGUCAAAUAUUUAAUUUCUCAACUAAAAGGAAAUACAAUACAUUGUUAUUGGUAGAUUAUGUUAUUGCCUGGUUUAUCUACAACAAUCCCAACAACCCAAUCGUCUUAGUAACAUUAAAAUAAUCGCUGUCACAGGAAAUUUUGAUGAACUCAAGCCUCGUUUCAGAUUUAUCAGUUUUCUUAUAACUUUGCAUCUACCAAUUAUGCAAGUCUUUUCAUAAACUAAUCUAUCGAUUAUGUAAGUCUUUUCAUAAACUAAUCUAUCGAUUAUGCAAGUCUUUUCAUAAACUAAUCUAUCGAUUAUUUAAGUCUUCCGCAUGUAAAUUCGUUAAUCAGCUACCAUCUUCAUUUUAGUUUGGUAUAAGAAGUUAUUUAUACUGUAUGAUCUAAAUUACAUUUAAAUAUUAAGGGUUAUUUUUUCUUUUUUCCGAAUGAAGUUCUAUUAUUGUUUAAGACUUUCACGCCUCUAAGGCCGAUGGCCGACCAUAGAGACAAAGACAUGGACUGAAACUAAUGAUCGAAAUCACCUUGCUCAUUUAUCUUUCCAAUUUCUUUUAUAUAAACAAAUUAUAAACAAACACACACAAAAUAAACAGACGUAACUUAACCUUUAAUUCUUAUUUUUAAGAAACAAUGACGUAACGAUUUAGCAAAAAACACCUAACCUUAGAUUUCAUGGUGUAUAAUAUAUCCACGACGCCUUGAACACGUACAAGUGUGGUAGCAAGCACUAGCAACAUAGUAAACUAAAAAAAAA
rnacentral:lncRNA from 1 species